CCUUCCAGCAUAUAUAUUCUCAUGUGUAGGACAGGAGCAGCUUACAAGACACAUACAACACCUAAGGUAUCUUAAUCUGUCGUCACAUGAGUUCGAGAAACUUCCUGAAGGUAUAAGCAUUAUGUAUAAUCUACAAACGUCGUCACAUGUUCAGGACAGGAACAACUUACAAGACACAUACAACACCUAAGGUAUCUUAAUCUCCCACCUUCCCUCAAACAAUUAGGCAUCUGCAGCUGUGAGAAGCUCUGCUCUGUGUCAGGAGACCUGCGUGCACUCGAGGACCUACAUAUUUCUGACUGCAAUAAGUUACAGUCAGUCAAUUCCUUGGGAGACCACCCAUCAUUAGAAACACUGAUUCUUUCUCGCUGCCGAUGCCUUGCAUCUUUAGGAUGUGAUGGUGGUCGUGGGAGUUACUCUGCUCUUCAGAGCCGUAAGAUUGUAGACUGCCCAGCCUUAGACAUGAAGCAGUUUUACUAACGCCAUCAAACAGCUGCUUGACAGCUUUGAAAAUGAAGACGUAUCACACGUUCAUUCAAGCAGCUCUGAUGAAGGUAUACGACCUUUCACUUUCCUCUUAUUCAAUUUGUUUCCUUCAAAUUUCCCUGCUUUGCAUGCCCUCCUAUUUUGUUGACGAACUGGUUGAUAGAUGGGUUUGCGGGGUGGGAUUUUGGGGUUUCAUCUUCAUUCCGGCUUUUAGACGGUCCUUUCUCACUGAUGUAAACCCACAUAUUGUUGGUUUAUACGGCUAUUAAUUGGUUUUCAGUCUUGGAUGCAGUUGACGUGCAUAGAGAAAUUCUGGAAAUAUGUGCUACCCCUUGGUGUUGAGAUCAGCUGAUGCGGAAUCAUUGAAGUACUACUGAAACGACAUCCUGAUCGGUCUCAGUUUUGGAGAGCAAUUUGUGGUGAAUGGAAGCAGUCCCAAGGCUUGAAGAACUCAUGGAGUCGUGCUUCAAGAACUCAUGGAGUCGUGCUGUACCAUUCUCCACUGCUAGGGCCUAAACUAGGUACGUGGAAGGCGCACUGUGUUUUGUCAACAACACAAUUCCUUUAUAUAAGUUGGGAUAGUAAAAAACCAUGCCUUCGUCUGUGUUAAUCAAAUCUCAUUUAGCACAUAUAUGGGGGACGUGUUGUUAACUUGUUACCCCCAUGCUUUUCAUUUUUUCUGUGCAGACAUCACCCAUUUGUCCUUAAAUUAAAGCAUAAAGGAGGGGCACUCACUUGUACACAUGUUCUUAAGCACUGCAACGACUGCCAUUUGUAUACUCAGCUUCAUUGCAAGCCUUUGCUAAUGACGACAGGCCUUCAGUGGAUGACAAAAACGACCAAGUUUGUUUUCACGGCACUACUAGCUGCUGGUAUUCUCUCGUCACUAAUGUACAGAACUCCAUUCUGUCAUCCAUCAAAGCUGUGGACAAUAUGAUGUCACUCUUGUUUUAAACGAAACCGGCAGGAGAGCUGCCCCGCUAUAUUAAAAAGAAGGGAUGCCCGAAGGGCCAGAGAAGUGUACAUGAAAAAGAGUGUUAAAACCCCUUGACAAGGAAGAAAAAACUAUACACACUAAAAAGAGAAACGGUGCACAAAAACACCCUCAAGAAAGCUGCAAUAAACAUGCCAGGUGCUUAGCCCUGACCGCCACCCAAGAAGCGGCCUCCCCUUUUAUCUUUGAGAAAACUUGUAAUGAAGAGGAUUCUUUGUGGUCGAAAAUUCUUGCAUUCCUUUCAAUCCAAAGUUCCUAACAGACCAAAAUGAUUAGGCUCCUCAGCCCACUCCUAUCGACGCUUGGUGUCCUUACCCGCGCUGUCCACCACUCAUGCACCAAAGUGCACGGCUCCUAGUUUUAAGACCUUCAUUUGCUACCCAUGCAGCGAUCGCAUCCCAAAUGCGCCUGGUAAACCGGCAGUCAGUUAGGAGAUGCAUUUCAGACUCUUGAACCGUGCAACACAAAGCGCAUGUGUCAUUGUGAGGCCAAUUUCAUUUUGCUAACCUAUCUGACGACGUCCAUAUCCAAUUUUGGAUUACCAACCACCUGGAAAAUUUGCACUUCGGGAGCACCCACGGCUUCCACAUGAUCGCUUUGAAGUUUGUGAAGGUGGAGCCGACACGGUGUAUUGAUUAUUCUCUGUUAUUUUCCAUACAAUGUUGUCUGGGUUGUCUGGUAUGAGUUGAACCUAGACUACCACUGUCCACAAAUUGCAGAACUCCAUAAAAUACCCCAAUGCUAAAUUUACACUCGAUCGGACGUUCAUAUCGUCGUGGUCGACGUGCACCAGUCCUCCCAUCAGCCCAUCACGUGGGCUCCACUCCACUUUUCCCCUCGCGCUCUCUCCCCCCUCUCCAUUCCACUUCUCAUCCUUCUCUUUCUCGAUUUCUCCACGAGAUCCACCUAAGCAACUCUGCGCAUGGAGCUGUUUCGCCUAGCGUUGAGCACAACGGUGGCAGGCCUAGUGGCGGGCGGGGAAAGCAGCGAGGCUCCGCCUUGCAGCACACGGUGGCGCUCGAGAUCAUCCGACGAGGCACGGAUGUGGGCCUGUCGGUGCGCGGGGGAAGGAUCACUAGGACCAUCGAGGGCACCUCCGCGCCCCGACGGUGAGUAGCCGACGGAUCCUGGCGAGCUCUGCGGGGGUCGCGGUCGACAGCGAUCUGUUCAUUUUUUCCCUUCCUUUUUUCUCUUCUACUUUUUGUCUCAAAAUCUUUUGUCUGUAUAAAGUUUUUGUUUCCAUUUUUUUAUUUCUUUGCAUCGUGAAUUUUUUCUCCAUUAUUUUGCUUCAAAACUUUGUGGACAAAAUUUCUUUUUCAAAACUUUUCCAAAAAUUUUGUCUCAAUUUUUAUUUUCUGAGUUUUGUUCCCAAAAUCUUGCAAAAUUUUUCCUCCAAAUUUUUGUUCGCAAACUUUUGUUUCCAAGUUUUUCAAAAAAAUUAUCCUCAAACUUUUGUUUUCCAACUUUUUUUAAAAAAAAAUUCUCAUUUUUGUUUAAUGAGACGGGAAUCGCACGUGGGAAGCCGUUCCGACGUGUGGUCGGAAAUCGAUCGCACGGAAGGCUCCCACUAGUCGCGUGUAAACUUGCGUCCCCCAUAAAAUAAAUCUGUGUGAGGCUCGAGGCUGGAGGCCUAAUAAGGCCAGCUACAAGACUAUGCUUGAUAGUAGAGAGAAGUUUUGGUUGCUAGCAGUCGAUGCUGAGUUAGAGCCCCAAUGCUUGGUUAGUAAAAUAUUGCUCCAUAGCAGGAAACAGGCGUCGCUGGGCAAAGAGAAGUGCAGGAGAACCAAAAGGAAAUAGGUACAACUAGCUAAAGAAGCCAGCAGAGAGUAUUUAUGUAAGGUUUCUUAAUUUAUAGGAACCAAAGCACACUCAAACCAUAUUCCAGAAUCUUAUUACAUGCAGAACCUGAAGUAAGGGAGAUUGAAACAUAGGGCACGCAUGCAUGCCUUUAAUUACACUACUACCAGAAAUUAAAAUACGCUGCUGCCAGAAGUGCUAUAUAUUGAGAGGUAGCUGGUGCAGUGUCACGCCAACAUAUGACGCAUGGUAAUGACGGGGAGGACCUGGACGUAGUACUCGAUCCUGUAGGCAACCUUGAGUAUGAGAUCGGGUUGCUGCCAAUCGUAGCCGCCGUCGACGCCGCAGAGGAAGGUCUGCGCGAUCCUGUAGUCGAUCUUGUGCUGCUGGUUGUGCAACACGAUCUUGUACGCAUCUCGGAGAUGUUCUUUCAGACUGCUCACCAUCGACCUGGUGUUCUGGUCCCGCGACAGCUUCCAGGACUGGGGCUGCUGCAUCAGGUCGGCUAUCUGCUGUACGAAUUGUACCAGCUGCUGGAUCUCCCCCCUGUUCUGCCUCAGCGCCUUCGCCUCCUGCACGAUAGAAAGUGCGAGGCGCACGACCUCAUCAUGGUCGCCGGUUCGAGCCCCCUGCUGGUCUCCACGUUCUCCUGGACCUACCGACAACGUGCUGCUCCUCACUGCAUUCACGUCCCUGCGCAUGCAUGCCGAUCAUCUCUGGUUAAAUUUUUCGUUAUUUACGUACUCCAUAUAGGAAGUACUAUAUGAAUGUUUUAUAUAUCAGCACACGAUGAAUACCCGUCCGUGAUGUCCCUGAUUAUCAACUCAAUCACACUUUUAGCGUCGGAUGACAUAUUGUCCAUGUUAGUCAAGUUCCUGAUAGAUGACUUCAGCUCCUCUUUUUCAGUCUGAGAGUGGUCAGAGUACAAAAAAUCCAAAGCUUCCAUGCAUGUUAAAUAUUCAAUAAGACAUGCAUAUAGUAUGAAUAUAGUCAUAAUGAUCAUGUCAUGCAUAAGCUUGGUCAAAAACUAUUAAUAUAUCGCAAAAUCAGGCAACAAUGUUAAUCUACCGCUCCCUCCAUUCUCUUUAGAUAUUAAUCCUUUUCGAACACUAGUACAGUCUAGUAUUGUGCACCUAAAAUAGUCCAACGUGAUGUAACAUGGUGCUGUCUAUAAAUCGUCAGUUUAUGUUUUGAACUUUACUACCUUUUAUUUUUUUAGAUAAUGGAUAAAUAUCCGGCUUCACCCUCCUCUUUCGACCAGGCGGAUCAGUCCACAAUUAUUACAAAAGAAAUGAAUUCACACUAUGGUUUCGACCAAUCAAACCGACUCAAAGAAAUCAAUUCUGGAAUCAAAAGGUAGCUUGUCACUACCUUUUAUUUAUGUUGCAUUGUUCAUUGCCACAAAUUAUUUGCAAAUAUGAAUCUUAUAAUGCUAAACUUUUAUGGUACAAUCUACGUACAGUUUCUUUCUCAAGUUUGCUGUAGUUGUUUGCCGUUGAGUAAUAUGUAAUUCCGAUGGAUUCAAGAGUCUAGCUAGCUAGAUUUUGGUACCUGUGGAAGGCGCUUGCAAGCACCAUUUCGAAGCAGCUUCUCAAGCACGUUCAUGAAGAAGCGCUCCUUAUUGAUGCUUACAAUGAGGAUCAUGUUGGCAAUGUGGAACGACUCCAGGAUUUUGGAUAUCCGUGCAUCAACGGCGACGAUCUUGUUGGCUUUCUUUUUGGUUUUGAAGACAAGCGACCAAGUCCUCUUCUCCCUGCAGGACUCAACGAGCGCCUUCCCGUCGUUGAGCGCAUCUUCAAGAUGUUUCAGCAUGCUGUAGGUCACUGGGUCCGGCAUCCACUGGCUUUUCAGCUCCGUCAGGAGGAGGUUAAUCAUUUGCACGUGGUCUUUUAGCAUAGUACAUUUCUCCCUGUUGCGCUGAGCCGCCUCCGCCAGCCGAUUGAUCUGUUCCACGAUGCUCAUCAACGACGAAAUAAGCCCAAUUGCUUCGGCCACCCCAACCAUCUCGAUCGAUUGCGCUGCGCCUGUAUGCUUGCAACGUCAGAUUUGCACGUAUAUGAGUAUACAUGUCUACCCUCCGCCAUCCAAAAACAAUUGGAUGCCGACAAGUGGUAUUGACAAGUCUAUGCACAACACGCGAUGUCAUGUCAAAUUUUAGCUAAUUUUAGCUUUUCUAGAUUCAUAGAUAGUAUUAUGUAUCUAGACAUCCACUAUAUCUAGGUGCGUAACAAAAGCUAUGCAUCUAGAAAAUUCAAAAUGACCUACAAUUUGGGAGGGAGUACACCCUAAUAAAAAGAUUAAUGGUGGAGCCUGAAGCACAAUUUAUCGUAUAAAAAUAAUACUUGUAAAUAUAUAAAUUUAUUAUAAAAUAUAGAAACUCGAUUGACUAUCUUCUUAAUUAAUGGAGAAAUAUAGGCUGUGAAUUUUCAAAAGGAAAAGGAAAAAGUGUAUUUUUCAUCCUUCAAGUAUUGCAAAAGUGUAACAUUCCUCCUUCAUGUUUCAUUUGGUGCAAAUCAAGCCCUUAACUAACUAAAUCGGUUGCAUUUAUCAUCCCCACCUUAGUUUAAUAAUUGUUUAGUGUCAUAUAACAUCGCUUUAGGCCAUGUAAUCAUCUUACUAAUCAGUAUUUAGCCAUGUAUAAUAUUUAGUCAAUUGAUUUAAUAGUUUGGUGUGAAUCGGUUCCGUUAAUUUUUCCGAUAAAAUAGUUAUAUGGUAGUCAAUUUAGAGGAUUUACUUUUUUUGUGGGCUUUAUAUCUUUGACUUAACAUAUUACAUCACUAAGCAGUGAUUUAGAUGAAUACAUGGCAUAAACCUUCAUUAGAUGUUACUAAACCAAUUGAACUAACGUGAGGAUGAUACAUGCACUGAUAUAAUUAGUUAAGGGGUUAAUUUGCACCAAAUGAAACAUGAGGGAUGAAUGUCACACUUUUGCGGUACUUGAGGGAUGAAAAAUAAACUUUUUCCAAAGAAAUAACUUGAUCGAUCCUGGUCCCAACUAUUUUAUAAAUCUCUUUUAACAUGAAUUUUGUUGAGCUCGCAUGAACACAAAUUGUGGCAAAAUUAAAGAACAUCUACACCGUUCAAUAUACCUACAAUCCCAUACUGCAUGCAGCCAUUUUAUAAAUUUCUUUUGAUGUGAUUUUUUUAGUUCCUAACGCAGACUAUCCUUCAAGAGAAAAAAAUGGGCUAUGGAAUAUAUGAUUAUAUAGUACGAUAUCUCCUGUACAAUGUUAGUAUAUGAGUUGAACCGGUCUUGUACGACAAGAUGAUCCAAGCAAAUGGACUCAGUAGGUAAGGUACAGUUUUGUAGCCACACAACUUUGGUGUGCAAGGAUAAACAAACACUUCAAAUGGAUUCCGUUAAAAUAACUUGUAGGGGAUGCAAUAUGGCAGAUCUGCUGGAGAUGAUCUAAACUUACAUUCACAUAUAUAGGAUAAACGAACACUUCAAGUGUUAACCCUAGCUAAUGCUUGCAAACAGAAACAAUGGAGGUUCCUUGACAUUUGACUGGAUAGUAGUGUAUUGUAGAAAAAAGGGAAAUCAAUAACCUGCCAUACCUUCUCAAAGCUCCAACCAAGAAAUAGCGCUACCUCACCCAAUAGGCUGUGUCGCCUUGCUUCAGCACAAGGUAGCGAGCACACGGCUAUUUAUACAAAUAACAUUGUAUAAAUGAACGCAUGCAGAAAAGUAUACUUUGCCUAGGUACGCAUGGAGACUUGCUUAGAUUGACCUGGUUACCUGUACUGUACUCACUUCAUACUCUUGACAACGCAAUUCAGCUACCAAGGAGUACGACCUGCGUCGACGAGACGAAGACUUGUUUAUACUCAGGGCAACGCAAUUCAGCUACCAAGGAGUGCGACUUGCGUUGACGAGACGAAGACUUGGACCUCGUCUUCGACUGCAUGCAUGCAUUGGACUAAUCUAACCACGCGGCGACUCGCCCCGGCCCGUGAUGACCCUGUAUAUGGAAUAGUGUGCAUGGAGGAUUAUUCACUCACGCUGCGCUGCCGACAAUGAAAGUACCGCAUGCCCAAACAGUACGUUGCUCAUGGUUGAGUAAAUGUAACUAAGUACACCCAACGUCCUGAAAUAUACUUACGGUAUAUUUAAGAACGGAGCUGUACUUACGGUAAAAAAUCAUUGCUCAUGGUUGAAACUUCAAAACAGACGGUUUUUGCCCACCAGCAGCGAUAGCCGGGACCGUUUCCGCGCUCAUCGGUGCAAAUUGCGCAACUAGCAGGACGAGACAUGCACGCAAACAGCUGGUGAAACAUGCAUGCACCUAGCAUGGCUAGUCGUCGGGCAGCAACUAGCACGAGACUAUAUGUUCAUGCAAGUGUCUCAUUAAUCAUAGCGCGACCUAACACCAAAACACAUCAACCAGCAGCGUAUCUAGAUUUUCGACCUAAUGUUACUAAUACAGACUAGGCUAUCACCGUCAGCUUAUCACCACUGGUUUUCGGUGAAUCUGCGGUGAUAGAGUGUCACCGCCGGUCCAAUAUUUAGUCGUACUCAAUGUUCAUUGGUCAUUAUGUCUUUACUAGAGAACCGGGCUUCAAUCCCGACCCAUCAAUCCUGAAUGCCAAUGCUCCCGGUUCAGUGGCUACAUAUCACGUCCGGUUUCUAAACAAAACCGGUAGAUGAUCCGUGGGGCUAACAUCUCUCCUAAUCAGUGGCUCAAACCUGCUGUCAAGUCCGCUACUGCUUGCUCAUCCUCCCAUGAAGUUAAAGUGAAAUCCAGUUUGGCUUAAAUAAGAUUUAUAUUUUUUUGGCCUGUUAGCUUGAGCUUCUUCCAGCGGUUGCGGCUGUUGCUCAUCUUCAGAGUUACCAUCCUCGCUCUUCAUGUUCACCCUUCCCAGCCAUUCUCAAGUCACCCAGAGGGGGGGUACAAAGGCUCUCCGCUAGAGUUCGGAGGCCGGACAAUGCCCGUCACAUCCGCCUUCCAUGAAGGUUUUUGCUGGCAGCCAGGCAUUUCGAGGGUAACAGAUCAAGUGGUGGAAACCUUUAGUAGAAUGCUUAUCACUCAAUUGACUCACAUCUCUUUUGUUUAAGGAAACCAAGCCCACUACUACAAAAUUAAUAUCAAGAUAAUAUGUUAUAAAACUUAUUUGUGAAAACUCAAGAUAAGCAUGCACAGGAAUUUCAGGAAAGUGCCGGGUGCCUCACAACCAAGCUCAUUAAUACCAAAGAAAGAUCAACAAACAAAACAAAUGGACACAACGUUCAGAACCCAAUCAUUUGCCCACCAAGAAUGCCAUACCCACACCAGAACAAAUAAGAACAGAAGUUUAAAAGGGUAAAAAUUGGUUGAUGAUGCAUGGAACGAAACGUAUAGAAUGCUUAUUACUCAAUCGACCCACAUCUCUUUUUUUUUCUAGGAAACCAAGCUCUCAUUACUACGUUGGAACAUCUAACCAACCAAAUGGACGAAAUUGUUUAUUUGGCCUCCAAGAAUGCCAUACGACCUGAAUAACUGAAAGCGCUAACAAAGCCACUUAUUGUUGUGCAUAGCAGCUAAGCUUGACUUAUUUGCAAACGGGUGCGAAAUGCGAUACAAUAAUUCAUAGUUCUAGACGUCAUGAGCCACGCGUGGGAUAAGAAGAAGCUUCUCCUUACGGUGCACAUCAACCCCAUAUGACUCUGUCAUAUCGAUGCUUGUCGACCCUGGUGGAAGCUCGGCUUGCAGCUUGCAGCUUGUUCAUUGAUUGGGGAUUCUGCAUCAGCUCAGCCAUGGCGUAGUCGAGCGCUAUGUACGUUGUGUCUGUCCCAGCUUCGAACGUGUCCUACACGCAUGUAUCAACAAAAUUCAAUCAAACUUUAGCAAACUAGUCCAUGAAACAUGUCCUAUGUACGUCUUGUAAGGAUUAGCUUGGAAGCUUCAAAAGAAACCUUCAAUUAGUAAAAGUUUGAUUUUUUAAAAAAAUUUGAAGUUUAGUUGCAUACAUGCGGUCGGUAGAAAUGGAACUCUGCAUAUACAUACCAUCAGUAUUGCCUUGAUAUUAUCUCUGGUCAGGCCGUACUCUUGUUGAACGGAGAGCAACACGUCGAUAAAGUCCCCCUCGUCCUCACCAUCCAGCGUCUUGCUCUUGUGCUUGUCGAUGAGGCUGUCCAAAAGGUCAUCCCAUCUCUUCAUGUGCUUCACGGCCUUGGCCGACACCAAAUCAAACCUUGCCAAGCUCGGGAAGUAGUCAUCCAGGUUGAAUCCUCCCAGGAGCUUGGUGUUCGUCUCUAGCAGCUCCCGGAAGAGCUGGUUCCGGCCUUGUUCCCUGGGGAGCCUGCCCGUCAUGGCCUGGCACACAAUGUCAUUGGCGAAGAAGCCCAAGAUUUCGCUGACGUCGAUCGCCGUGCCCGCGGCGGCGGCGGCCCUCACCCUGGCUAAGACCAGCCGGACCUCCUGCUCGCGGGCGGCGCGGUAUGACCGGACCUUCGCUGCGGUGAGGAGGUGGGUGGUGAUGACCUUCCUGGCUCGGCGCCAAUACUCGCCGUAAGGCGUGAAGCUAACGUCAGUGGAGCCGUAGAAGAGGAUGUCAGCGACCACGGAGUGCGGUCGGGAGGCGAUGACGUGGUCGUGCGUGCGCAGGACAGCCUUGGCGGCGCGGGGGGAGGAGACGACGAGCGUUGGCACGGCGCCGAGGCGGAGGAGCAUCACGUCGGGCCCGUGCUUCUUGGCGAGGUCGCGGAGGGAGUGGUGGGGAAGGGAUCCGAUGAGGUGGAGGUGGCCGAUGAUCGGGAGCUUGAACGGAGGCGACGGUAGCUUCCGGAGCAGGUUCUCUGUUCUGGACCUUGGUGUUGCCAAGUGCACGGCGACGAGGAAGAGGAAGAAGAGGAGGGCUAGGGACUCUGGAGAUGCGUGUUCGUAUAGAGGUGCGCUAGCGCUGGAGCCGCCAUGGCUGAUCAACCUGCUCGUUGCAGUUUUUGUAGAGCUCGGAAGUCGUGAUCCGUCAGACAGCAAGAAGAGUAUGCUACCAUUUUUUUUCUUUUCUGCAUCACCGCCAGAUCAGAUCAGACAGGAUUUUAUGAGAGAAUCCUAUGGAAUCAUCAUCCUUUUUAGUAAACUUCACCAGACGCAGGAACGCGAGCCGAUUAAUUGGCAAGCUUUUCUCUCAGAAUAUGUGUUUGGUGCUGGAUUAAUUGGCGUGCAGGUUGAAGAAAGGCUGCUUUAUAGAUUAGCCCCCGAAGAAAAAGGAAAUUCCGACGGAAAGUUUGUGUCUUGUGGUUUUGCAAAAAGGACCCUGGAAAGGCUAGAUUCUCAAGUUCCAGUCCUACCCGAGAUCUUUUGCAAAUAUAACCCUAUAAAUUCUGUUAUUUGCAAGUACUUUUACGUGUGUCUUGCAAAUCUUUCUUGCUAGCCCCUGCCGUCUAUGGCUAAUUGCAUCUGGGUCCCUGCCACCUUGUUUGUCUCAUAACUUCUUCCUUCUAGCUCCAUUUUGAGUGAUUCUUUCGCUCACACGUUCGUCUUAACGAGUAGAUUAGUUUGGUACUGCUUUUAUGGUACUGCUUUUAAGUAAUAUUUUUGAUGAUUGGUGUACUGUUUUUAAUUAAAUGCAUUUGUUUGCUUGUAUGUGCUUGUGUGACGCGUAUAGAAGAAGCGUAGUUCGAGGAAUCCAAAGAGGAGGGAGACUGAAGACUCUGAGCAGCAGAAGGGCUUGGAGGAAGGCAAGUGUCCUUGGUCAUUCCCGUUUAUACCUAAAUGACAUGCAUUGAUUCACAAUAUUUAUUUAUCGCAAGCAUUAAUAUGAUGGGUUCCUAUUAAGGAUGAUGCCUAGUUUCUUUUGAUCAUACCUUGCAGCCAGGUUGUUCAAAUAAUCUGGAGGGUAGAUGAUGCUUAGUUUGCUCAACUGGGUUGGUAAAUAAACAAUAUGGUUAAUUUUAUUUAUUUACUCUAUGUUCCUUUAUGUUGAUUUAAUUACAAGACCAUAUGUUCUAAACGAACAUGGAGCGACCACCCAGGAAAAUAGUACAACCACAAGGACUACAUGGCUCUGGUCUUGGCUAACUAAUUAGAGGACUCUAGUGUUGGAUUGGUGUUAAGGGGGGGCAUGUCUCGCGGAACCUCGUGCAUUGGAACACACUAGGGAAGUCUUUGUUAAGGCCUCUAGCGUCCCUAUGCAAUCACACCUCGGAAGUGUGGUAUUGUGCCUACUUUUGCACAGCAUGGUUGAAUCCAAAGUUCACCUGAACUUUUAUGCGACUUGUGGGUAAAGAUGUACAACCUCUGCAAAGUGUAAAACUGUUAUAACAGCCGUGCUCACGGUCAAGAGCGGCCUGGACCCUCACAUGAUUAAUUUACUUGAAGAUGAUACUAGUGUGUUAUUUAUGUUCAUGCUUAUGGUAUAUCAAUGCUCUAUAUUAAUUGUGGGAUGGUAUAAACUUACAUUUGCUAGUGAUUAGGUGUUGAAUAAAAACUUGACCAACUAAAAGUGCUAAUCGCAGUUAACCUUGUCAGCCUUCCACCAUAUAAAGCCUUGCAUAUCAUAGAUAUUUCUCUCUUGCUGAGUACGACAUGUGCUCACGCUUGUGUUUUAUAUAUUGCAUCUACAACGUCCGGAUUGCUGCUCAGACCCGGAGAACUUUGAAGAUUACUGAAGUUUUUGGAGGAGUUCUAGGUGAGUCCACCAGUCAGCUGCCUGUGGAGUUGUUGGAGAUGCGCUGCCUAUAUUAGAGAUUUCUAUCUCAAUUCUAGUUACAUAAUUUAUGUAAUUCUCUCUCUACGCUAUAACACAGUAUUUGAUAUUUACUGAAGUCAUCGUAUGUUUGAAACUUGAUCCUGGCAUACAUAUGAUAGUCAUCUGGUUUUACAUUUAAAACCGGGUGUGACAGGAUGCUACCGAUGGCUCUGCAACUUGAUGCAAUUCAUGCACGCUGCUGGGUGGCACCCAUGGUGCGAGAUGUCCAGGAAGAGUGCAUUGGCACUGUGGCGGCGGAUCCGACCAGUAGCAGCAGCUCGCACAGGUCACGACAAUGUGCAUCAUCACAAAAAUCCGAGGCUGCCCGCGCAGGUCGAGCUUUUAUUUGCUUGGAUCGGAUAUUCCUUCCUACUAAUAUCAUGGCUAUCUGUGUGAGGCUCAUAGGCUGGAGGUCUAAGGGUAGCCAUAGACACUACUAUAGAACUGACCGAGGGCUGAUUAGGCUCAUAGGCUCAUAGGCUCAUAGGCUGGAGGUCUGAUUAGCUCAUAUUCUUUGUCUCACCCUAUGGGUAUCGUGGAGGCACGGCGCCAAGCUGGCGGCACGGUGUAGCCUCAAUUCAGAACUUUCCUAGCCAGGGCGUGGCCGAGGGCGAUUGGUUGCUCAACCUGAUGAGAACUUGGGUGGGUGCUCCUAGAUGGGAGAGAAUAGGGUGACGGAUGAGAAUGCAGAUGAGGGACGGGGCUCAGACGAGGGGUGGGUUGGAGACAUGUUUUCACUGUUGAACUCUUAGCGUCAAGAUGAGAGGUGAGAUGAGAUACCGGUAGGACCUGCUCUUACCAUGGCACUUCAGCAACCCCACCCCAACCCCGCGCGCAAGUCAAAAUUUGAGGACCAUAUGUACAAUACGUGUGCAAACAGAACCAUAAUUUUACUAGUAUCGAGGGAUUUUAGUUAUUUCUUCUAAAAAAUCUCUUGGGAAAUCGUAUUUUUGUAGUACAACAUAUAUAGAAAAUAAGUAUUACUCACAAAUAAACUGCCCUUUUCUUUAGUAUUCUUGGUUUUUGUUAUUAUUUUAUUUAAUCUUAAGAUUUAUAUAUGCAUAAAAAAGUAAUUUAGUAUCUUCAAAUAUGGAAACGUGGUCUUAGGAAUAGGGCUCAUAUUUUAUUCUUGAGCAUGCCUAGUGGAAAAAUACUAUCUAAAAAACCGCAAAGAAAUUUAAUACCUAAGCCUUCGAUCCACUCUACUUUUUGUAUACUAGUUUACCUGCAAUCCACUGGCUUGCACAUUAUAUUUCAUCAUACGGAAAUGUCUGAGAUUGUGAACGGAAGCAAUUUCAUCUGUCUGCAACCCUGCAUAGCAUGUGACAGCCCGGGCUGCGUGCCAAGAAACACCCAGAGCUCCUGACACAACCGCGUGAGCACCUUCUCCGACAUGCGCACAUGAGGACCGCAUGCACCCAUAUGCAAGGUUCACAAAUACGUGCGUGCUUAAACUAUAUAUAUAUUAUACAUAGUUUAUUAUAUUUUUGGCAGGGAUAUGAUAAUCAUUAAUUAUUACUUGUAAAGAUUGGAAACGUUACAAACGAUUGUAGAAAAAAUGCGAGUCACCAGGAAGGUAGGUAGUAGAGCAUGCCGUCAGUGUCUUUCCUGUGACCUGUGUUCGUGGUGCACAUGGCAGAAUGCACAGUCUAUACAUAGGAACCAGAAGUUGGCUUCGAAACCAAAUCACUCAUUAGUCCUUCAGUACUGCAGUGAACGCUAUCUAGCUAGCUAAUUUCCCCUUGAAAUCAGUUUUCUUGCGUGGCCAUGGGUAGCCUUCCACUUGAAGCCAUGAUGCCACUGAACCCCGAUUCAUUCGCUGGGGAGUCCAGUGCCGUGGUCGACUUCCUCGCCGACUACUACCGCAACGUCGAUAAGUAUCCGGUCAUGGCCAACACCCAGCCAGGGACCAUCCGUAAGCUUCUUCCGGAGGCAGCCCCGGAGUUGGUUGGUACUCAACAAGUCGUGGGAAAUAGUGUAGUGUAAGGCCAACCAUGAUACCCUUAUACUACCUAUACUACUCAUGUAUACUACCCAUACCACAGGCGUAGGUUUCAGUAGUAUGAAAUUAAUCUUGACCGUCGGAUAUGUUUAUACUAGUCAUUUUCGAACACAAGUAUAGUCUAGUGUUGUGUUCCGUAAAAGAGCUCAUAUAAUAUGUUAUAAAACUUAUUUGUGAAAGCUGAAGACAACACCAGGGGAUAAAUUCCAGAAUAGGUGAGAACAAAAAUUUAAAAGGGCAAAAUUUGUUGAUGGAUGGAAAUGCAUAGAAUGCUUAUUACUCAAUCGACUCACAUCUCUUUUUUCUAGGAAACAAAGCUCUCAUUAGUACUCUACGUUGGAAACAAAGCACUUAUUGUUGUUCAUAGCAGCUGAGAUUGACUUACAUAUAUUUAUUUGCAAACAGGUGUGAAAUGUGAUACAAUAAUUCAGAAAGCUAGACAUCCUGAGCCAUGCGAGGGAUAAGAAGAAGCUUCUCCUUACGGUGCACAUCCAUCCCAUACGACUCUGACAUAUCGACGCCUGUCGACCCCGGCAGAAGCUCCCAGUUGAAGUGGUAGAUGAGGUUGGCAAGAAUGAUUUCGAAAGUGGCGGUGGUGAAGUUUAUACCCGGGCACAUCCUUCGCCCAGACCCAAACGGCAAGAAACGGAAGUCGUUCCCCUGGAAGUCAGAAGCAGCAUCCACGGCUUCUUCCAUGAACCGCUCAGGCAUGAACUCCUCUGCAUUCUCCCAGUAGGUGGAGUCCCUGCCUAGAGCCCACGCGUUGACGAUUACACGUGUCCCAGAGGGUAUGGUAUAUCCCUCCACCUCCCAUUCGGCCAUGGACAAGUGGGGUAUCAAAAGAGGCCCCGGCGCGUGGAGCCGCAUUGACUCUUUCAUCACCGCCGUCAGGUAGCUCAUGCCGCUCAGGUCUUGUUCAGUGACCAGUUCCUUCCCCUUGGUUGCGCACCCCCGCACCUCAGCUUGAAGCUUGGUCAUCACCUUGGGAUUCCGCAUCAGCUCAGCCAUGGCGUAGUCUAGUGCUAUGUAGGUUGUGUCCGUCCCAGCUUCAAACAUGUCCUACAUGAAUAUAUCGGUAAGUAGAACUCCAAAUCAAAUUUAACCAAGCUAGUCCAUGAAACGUCUCAUAUGUACCUCUCGUGAAAAAUAAACAUACCAUCAGUAUUGCCUUGACGUUGUCUCUGGUCAGGCCGUACUCUUGUUGAACGGAGAGCAGCACAUCGAUGAAGUCCUCCUCGUCCUCACCAUCGACCGGCUUGGUCUUGUGCUUGUCGAUGAGGCUGUCCAAAAGGUCAUCCCAUAUCUUCCUGUGCUUCACGGCCUUGGCCGAUACCAAGUCCAACCUCGCCAAGCUCGGGAAAUAGUCGUCCAGGUUAAAUCCCCCCAGGAGCUUGGCGUUCGUCUCUAACAGCUCCCGGAACAGCUGGUUCCGACCUUGUUCCCUGGGGAGCCUGCCCGUCACGGCCUGGCACACGAUGUCGUUGGCGAAGAAGCUGAAGAGCUCGCUGACGUCGACCGCGAUGCCCAUGGCGGCGGCGGCCGUCACCUUGGCUAAAACCAGCUGGACCUCCUGCUCGCGGGCGGCGCGGUUGGACCGGACCUUCGCCGCGGUAAGGAGGUGGGUGGUGAUCACCUUCCUGGCCUGGCGCCAGUACUCACCGUAGGGGGCGAAGCCGACGUCGGUGCAGCCGUAGAACAGGACGUCGGCCACCGCGGAGUGCGGCCGGGAGGCGAAGACGUGGUCGUGUGUGCGCAGGACGGCCUUGGCGGCGCGUGGGGAGGAGACGACGAGCGUUGGCACGGCGCCGAGGCGGAGGAGCAUCACGUCGGGCCCGUGCCUCUUGGCGAGGUCGCGGAGGGAGUGGUGGGGAAGGGAUCCGAUGAGGUGGAGGUGGCCGAUGAUCGGGAGCUUGAACGGAGGCGACGGUAGCUUCCGGAGCAGCUUCUCUGUUCUUGACCUUGGUGUUGCCAAGUGCACGGCGACGAGGAAGAGGAAGAAGAGGAGGGCUAGGGACUCUGGAGAUGCGUGUUCGUAGAGGUGCGCUAGCGCUGGAGCCGCCAUGGCUGAUCAACUAGUGUGCACAACACACGGCUUGCUAGCGCAACAAGUUAGAACCAGCUCGUUGCAGUUUUUGUAGAGCUCGGAAGUCGUGAUCCGUCAGACAGCAAGAAGAGUAUGCUAUUUUUUUUCUUUUCUGCAUCAUCACUAGAUCAGAUCAGACAGGACCGACCAGAUCUGAUCUUUUAUGAGAGAAUCCUAUCGAAUAAUCAUCCUUUUUAUUAAACUGCACCCGACGCAGACUUUCUUUAUUUGCCCAUGUGCUAUUAUAUUAAUUUUUAUCUCGACUAUAUACCACUGUCCUCAUGUAUGUUGUGUACCAAGAGGAACACGAGACGAUCGAGAUUCCAAUAAAAUAUGUGUUUGGUGCUGGAUUAAUUGGCAUGCUUUUCUCUCAGAUGAGCUGCGUGUAGUGACAGCGGCGCUCGCAAUAGUUGGUCGGCGCACUGGUAGACGGGCAGCUCAUGGAUGCUACCGACGGCUCUGCAACUUGAUGCAGUUCAUGCACGCUGCUGGGUGGCACCCAUGGUGCGAUAUGGCAUUGGCAUUGGCACUGUGGCGGCGGAUCCGACCAGUAGCAGAAGCUCGCACAAGUCUAAAUGUAUCUAACUUUGAUGAAUUUUAAUUUCAAAUCUAUGGAGGCUUUUGAGCUCGAACUAAUUGAAAUGGAUCACACUUUAGUAGUGCUUUCAACAUAAAAAAUUGACACAAAAUUUGGCGGUGAGCAGUCUGCCUAGCCCAGGCAGAAAAACAAAGGCUUGAAACAAACAAGCCCUUGGUGUGUGCCUGAUAAUCAUAUGUUCGAAACUCCGAUCCUGUCGCCCUUGAUUAAAAUUCAUAGUAGAGACCUAUUGAGGAUUAGCCCUGGCAUCGAUCCGGCCACAGGAGAGACCGGGAGCCAAGAAGUGAAGUAAGUUGCGUGCGUGCCUGACGGCGAGGAAGCACCUCCAUUGAGCCACGAGGUGGAGUACGAGGCAGAGGCGAGAUGGGAUGUGUUGGGGACAGACUCACAUGACGGAGAGUGGUGCAUCUCCUACCUACCAUCUGCCAUUGCCGAGGGCCUUUCACCGUGCACCACUCCGGUUCGCUCUUUUGCGUCGCUGGGAGGAAAGGGACCGCCGAGCGUUGGGUGCCGCCACCGCUCCUGCGUAGUUCGCCAUGGCCACCUCCUCCGAGAGCGCCCUCACCAGCGGCUCCAGCGCUGCACCUCAUUCCAGGGAUGGGGCAGCCGCUGCUGGGUCACAUCCGCCCGGGGAUUGGGCCGUUGCCGGGGAAUAAGAGGAGCGCGGCAGAGAAGAAAAGGAGAAAACAGAGGAGCCGUGAUUGACAGGGACGGAGGAAAGAUGAUGAGUGCGUACGGUGGGGUAAAAAUGGAAUUGGUUUUUGGUAGAAACAUUUUCUAACUUGUGGUUUUUAUGGGUCUCCACCUUAUCCUCUCUCAAUUGCAUGAUAGGUGGGUCCGACAUGAGCGGUAAGGUGGUUCUGGUUUGGGUGAGAAAGGUUUUCAAUUAUGUUGGAAAACAGGCUUCGCGGAGGCUCAAACACAAUGAGGUUUGAGCAGUCCUUGCAAUUCAAUUCCAAAGAAAUGAACAUAUGUUUACAUCGGGGUAGGGCUCUCCUUUUAUAGUAUCUCGGAGGACAUUUUGCAUUCCGCAAUUACCCUCACUCACCCACUACAAUCCUAGAAUAUGCUUUACAUGGAGGUAACUUGUAUAACUUGGUCUCCUCCUUGGAUCACGCUUCUCACGCCUUUAGUCAGCUCCAUGAUUCAUGCUCUCACAUGGUUCCACAAAUCAUGCCUUCACAUUUCCAACGCCUCCACGCUUCCUGACCUCAUGACCGAAGCCAUCUUAGCUUCGGGAGUCAUGAUCGCCAUAGAUUCGCACCUAAGAGACGCUAGCCUCGCGCCCUGCUCCUUGACUUGAUUCAGCGAUCCUGCAUGAGACACUAAAUAACUCAGCACUCGAGGUUAGCUUCGACUGCUCGAGGUCAAGCUUGGUUAGUGUUUGGUGAUCUGUGAUUGCCUCCGGGCUUCGAGGUAAGAUUCAGGAUAGCGAGGCUAUGAUUACUUUCCACGCCAGAUUAACCACCCAAGGUUAGGGCCCCUCACCCGAUGUUAAUUAUUUUGAGGGGCUAAGCUGUUGACGCUAAAUGUAACGACCUCGAGGGUGACCAUCUUUUUGGGCGAUCCCCAACAGUAGCCCCUCGUGGGCAAGGCUCGACACCGACGACCGAACCCGUGACUUAAGGAUCUGCUCCCAAAAAACGUCACUCUCGAGCAUCGGUUAGAAAUGAGCCAACAGUGACCUUUUUGGUCUUACGUGUCGAUUUCCUAUUGGGUGACCCUUCGUAUCUAGCUCGUGGUUACAGGCGCCAUUUCACGCAUUUUACCAUGCCUAUAAAAGAGGGGGGUGGGGUCGCUUUCGUUUUUACCCUCGCGGCUGAAACCCUUGCGCUCCUGCUUUUGCUCGCUGCUUCCGUGCUUUAAGAUUCAUGCAUUGUAUGCUGUUGUCCUUGGUCUCGAGGAUCUCGAAGGUAACAAUGUUACUUGUGUCUCUCUUUUAGUGUGAGAUUUUCCCUUGCUUGUCAUUUUGGAGAUGAUGUUUCGAUGCCUUGCAGCUGGCUCGUAUUAUGCAAACCGCUAGGCCCAUGACAUCAGAAGAGUUCACUAAACAAGCUGGGCUUCGCAACGAGGCUGCGGAAGACCAGGAUUUGUCCAAGGCUGACGAGAAGCAAGGAAUCAAGAGGAUUGAGCUUUCUUAUGCCUAGAAGAAUAGGUGGGAAGAUAAUUGGCUAAGCUACUAGUUCUAUAUCAAGAUUGACACAGCCGAUGCGUCUGGUAUCAACCAAUCUUUCUAUCCUUCUAUGCACCCCUGGGCCCUAUGGACAUUGCUACUACCCCUGCAUUUACAAGGUCCAAGGCAGUCAAGGAGUGCAAGGGCGCUUUCCUCCCGGACUCGAAGUCGAUCCCCGACUGGAUCUUGUUGAAGAGUUUUUAGCAGCCAACAUUUGGCCCCUUUCUGAUGGGUGGAGUCCAUUGGAGAUUGUGCCAAAAGAGGUUCCGUGGAGUACUAGCCCGCUCCUCUACCCUUGCUUUGGAGUGGAGCUGCCCGUGGAUGCCAACCCCGGUCUUUUUGCAGAGGAUGUUGAGAGGCAUGCUGUUGAUAUAAUUGGCCCGAGUAUUGAGACUGAGCUGACGUUAGCUCGAAAGAUCAUUCACACGAGCUUCGGGUCAACCGUGUGUUCGAGGAACUUGGGGUCGAUGUUAAGCCUUGUCCCAAACCUCGCAAGACCUUGAAAUGGGAACGAGAGGCUGGCGCGACACGCUCGGAAUAGGUUGGCGGCAGUGGCAGGUGGAAAAAGAGAAAGGCCGAGAGCACCGCUCCUAAGGCCGCGGCAGUGACUUCAAAGAAGGAUGACAGCCAAUCGAGGGUCGUGCUCGAGGUGCGAAAGCAAAAUUAAAGACCUCGAGCCUCGAAGCUCAGAAGAAGUAAGAAACAAUUGGACAAAGUUCCUCGAGCGAGGCCGCGCCCCUGUCUCUAAAGCCGUCCGAGUUGCGACCAAGUCCGAACUCGAGGCUGCCGGCGCGCUGGCCGGUAUGAAAGAAAAGAAGUCUACGAGGAAGUCUCGCGUCGGCAAAGCCUUUGAUGAUGAUGAUGAUAUUGUUUUGGAUGUGGACUUGUCUAUGUUCCCUAUAUCGGUCCCCGAGGCUAGUGUUCCUUCAAAGGAGACUGAGACUAAGGUUGUUGCACCCCUUCUACAGCACGAGGCCAAACCUUUGAAGGAGAAGAUCAUGGAUACCAUUGCUAAGGAGAUUAAGGCGUAUACUUCGAAGGUGACAAAGCCAGGUAAACAUGUCGUUGUACAUUUGCCUAGGAUGAGAUUUUUUGAUUUUGGUGAUGCGUCAUUUAGAUUUCUGAUGGAGCUGGAAAAAACCACUGGUGCACCUGGGGAGAUAUACAGGGAACCUCCUCUAAUAUUUAGGGUAAAACCUUAUUCUACAGAUUCUGAACUGUCACCCUCUCUGGAACGUUACAACGAGGCCUACAGCACCAACCUUAGACAGGAGCUCAUUGCUGUUCAUGUGCCGGGUUCAGGUGAGGACGAUAAUCGCUACAACCUACCCUUGUUGUGGGGAGCUAAGGAUGGGAUGCGUGGUGUAGAUAGAGCAGCCAAGGAGGUUUUCAAGAUGUCUGAGGGGGUUGUCGGUGAGGUUGGUGGGCAUGGAGAAAGGGAGGAAGGAGAGGUUAUCCCUACUCGAGGUCUUGGGAAAUCCACUGUGCCUUUUGAGGUUGAUUACGAGGACAAGUCUUUUAAUCCUGAGAGUAAGCGCUUGCUCCUUAGUUUGUUUUGUCUGUACUUAAUUUCUACUUUGCUAUGCUUUGACGUGCCUUUCUUUUGACAGAGUAUGAAAAAUCAGUUAGACGUUUCGAGCAAAAGGACUUAGCUAGGAUGUCAGCUACCAUCGGAUACAAGGUAUUUUGUUCGACGCUUGCUAUUUGUUUCUUAUCUCUCUUUUUUUACGAGGCUUUUCAUUUUGGUGUUUCGAUUUUGCAGUCCAUCAUCCUUGGGAAGAUGCUAUGGAGAAGGCUGCGGCUAAGGAAAAGAGCAUGCUAGCCGAGAGCACGAAGAUGAUGCAGCUAGAGGCUAGAGUUGCAAAGCUUGAGGAGGAAAGCAAGGUUUUAUAUGCCUUGAAGAAUGAGCUCGCCGAUUCUAACUCUGACCUUAAAAACAACAACGUGCUGCUAACAAAUACCUACAGCGAGCUCGUGCAACAAGUUGAGAAGCUGGAGAAAAGACCCGAAGACAAUCUUGGUGUUUUGGAGAAACUCCGAAGCGCCACAGAAAAAGACGCACAGACUAUCACAGAGCAGGAAAAAAUGAUUCAUACCCUUGGUCAGGAUCUCAAAGAGCAAAAGACCUUUGUUGUGGAAGCAGAGCGGGCUCUCAAGGAAAAGUUCGCUGAGAUCUAUGAGGGGUACAAAACUGCUCUUGCAAAGUUUGGCGCAGAGCCUCUUUUGUUUCUGGGUGAUGAAAGUGUAAAAGAAAUAUUUGAUUGGGUGGAAGAGGAGUUCAAAGGCCUGCCCGAGGUUAUUACUGGCAGCAGCAACUUUGCUGCUUCCUUCUGCCUUGAUAGCGCAGUUCAACUCCUUGAAAAGAACAGCUACUCUCAUUUCUUAACACUCGUGGCUCGCACCUAUAUGUUCCCCUCGGCCUCGGAGCUUGACGAAGAGGAGAAAUCUAAAAAUUUGAGAGCCACGAAGAUAAAUUUCUUCAAACAGCUUUGGGCUACCUCCGGGCGAGAGUACACAAGGCUGGUUGCUCAAGAGCGGCUUGCACAGGUUAGGGUUCACAUAACUUUGUAUUUCAUAAGGUUUUCAUUUUUUCUGUUGAUUUCCUGAUGUUGUUCCUCUUGUGUUCGUAGGCCAAGGCAUAGGAAGCAAAAGGCGAAGGUGGGAGCGAGAACGGUGAUGCUGAUCAAGGAGGGCAGUGAUUAUCGAAGCUAGUUAGAGAUUUGUUUUGUGGUUUGGGAUGUUUUGAUAAACUUGAUACUUAGUUGGCUGCUUUUGCAGGCCAGAUUGUAAAUAUUUGUUGCUCAGCCGGAACUUACAUGCUCGAAGCUGGUUACUUUUGGCGUUUGUACCUUCACGGAUUUCUUUUUGUCUUAACGUUUUUAUGUUUGAGUUAUUCUACUCAAAUGGCAACAAAGCUGUAGCUUAAAGAAACGAGCAAUGUUUUAGUUUAAAACGUCACCCCUGCCCUAGUUUCUUUAUGCGUAGGUUUUGUUGACUUUGCACGCUUGUUGUCUAAGCUUAAACGGAGCUUAAAAACGUCACCCCCUUCUUGGCAUGUGGGUCUUACCCGAGGCAAUUCUCUCAUGGAAAGAGGAUGAAAACGAUUUUUGUUUGCCAAAAAAUGUCACCCCCGCCCUUUUAUCCUUUUUUCGAAAAAACGUCCAACCUCACCCUUUUCUUUUGCAUGAACGAGGUUAAGUGAGUAUUGACAAACCACAAGAUAAGUCAAUAGAAAACUUGUUUUCGAGUUAUGUUGACUUAAAAAUAUGACAGUUUGGUUGAAAUCGCAACCCUUAUGAUGUGUUUGGUUGGGCUGUGGCUUUUCAAAAAGCUGCUCUGAGCUGUGGGGGCUGUUGAAAAGCAACUGUGAGAAAGCAGCUGUGGGAAAAGUAUAUGGCCGUUUGGUUAGAGCAGAUGUGGCUUUUGAAUAAAUUUUUGAGUGGACCCUGCAUGUCAUCCACAGUCCACCCCACUCAACUCUCUCCCUCUCUCGCUGAUGAGCGGGUCUAACCCUUCUUCCUCCCGCUGGCUAGUCCACCCCACAGCACCCCGAGUAGCACCAGGGCCGCAAUGGCAUCCACGACGAUGUAGUCCACAAUCAGGGUGAGGUCCAUGACGGCGAUGGCCUGCACCUCGCCUCCUCCACCUCGCACCACGUGGCGGGCACCGUAGCACCAACGGCAUCUAGGAGGCGGUAGCACCCCGUGGGCACGCAUGCGUCGACAAGGAGGUUGAGGCCGGUCUGUGCUGCCAAGAGCCCGCCCACGGCGCCCGCGCAGGUGAGCCCCACCUCGGUGACGAAGUAGGCUGCCGCCGCCAUGGUGCCCUUCGGCGCGGAGGCGGAGAGUGAUGAGGAGACGGAUGCCAUGGCAGCGGCGAGGAGGAGGAGACGCGCGAUGAUGAGUGUGUGCUGCUGGAGGUCGGAGGCCGGGAGCGAGACGGCAAGGAGGCCUGCGGCAUGGGCGAGGAGGAGGAACGACAGGGAGAGGAGGAGUGGGAGGUGGGGCAGGAGUAAUGGGAGUGGGAGGAACGGGAGCAACGGUGGGAGGAGCAGCAGCGGGAGGAGCGUCGUGGAGGCCAGUGGGAGGAAGGCGAACAGGAGCAUGAGGAGUAGCGGGAGGAGGCAGAGGAAUGGGUGGCGGAGCAGGCGGAGGAGGCGGUGGUGGAGGGAGGACGGGGAGAGGUAGGAGACGGUGGCAAUGAGGAGGUGGGACUGGGAGGUCGCGAGGAGGGAGAAUAUAAGGGCAAGGUGGCACGCGAGCAGCAGCGCCUCCGCCAUUGGGGUUGGGCAGCGUGGUCGGGGAAGUCCCGAGGAGGAGGAGCACCAGCCAGCGGGCGGCGGGCCACUGAGGUGAUUGUCGGGUGGGGGGGACUGGUGCGGGUGACGGGGAGUGGACAGGAAUAGAAGGGGAAAACGAACCAUUAUCCUCCAUAACAAGUGGUAGGUGGGUAAUUUUUUGCCCCAAAAGCAGCUAAAAGCAGGGGGAAGGUGCUUUUGAUUUUGGGCAAAAGCACGUAUGGCUUUGGACAAAAGCACGUAUGGCUUUUAGGCCCUUUGGUUGGCUUUUGGCUUUUGCAAAAGCAAAAGUAGGUUGGAAAGUCCAACCAAAGGCACCCUUAGUUGCUUCAACCAUGAAAUUUUGCGAGGUUGAGAAAAUAGGGAAAUAGGGUGCCUUUUUUGAAAAAAUGUCAGUCUUUCUAUUCUAUUGUGAGAGCUUUGGCUGAGGCUAGGGCCUUCGUGCGAAAGGACAAAAUGAAUUUUCGACUCUGAAAAAUGUCACCCCCCUUGUCCUUUUGCGCAGAGGGGGUUUAGACUCAGCAUGGCUUAUUCCGAGUGUUAUCGCUGCCUUUGAUCGCUUGCUGCAGCCUUUCUAUUCUCUGAGUUGCAAGUUCAAGGCCAAUCACUGUGGUGUUUGAGUGAGAAAAUACGUUUAUGUGCAUAUAGUGUGCAUUCAAUGUUAGACUAUGCAGCUUAGUGCUGCUUUAAAAUAUCUUGCGCAGAAACGUAGGUUUUCAACAUGCAGGAAUGUGAGGUUAGGCAAGUUGUUGUUGCAUCUGAGACUUGUGCAGACACGCAAGUUUUCAAUGCACAGAAACUCAAGGUUAGGCAACUUGUUGUUGCAUCUAAGACUUGCGCAGAAACGCAAGUUUUCAACGUGCAAAAACGCGAGGUUAGGCAACUUGUUGUUGCAUCUAAGACAAAGAUCAUAGGGGGAACUUCAUUUCAUUGAAUAAUGGAAAUUUUACAAGGAUCUACCUCAUUAAAAACAUUGCCUCCAGAAAGGAGGCCCUGUAGCAAGGAAAAGAGUGCAAUCCAAAUUUGAAAAUGUAAAGUGCUAUGGAGUAAAUUCAUUACCCUCAGCGUUGUUUAUAACCUUACAAGCCGAGGGUAGUGUUGAACAAAAUGCUAAGGGUAGUACUCACGCAAGCUAUCGAUAUUCCAAGAGUGUGGCAGCUCCGUGCCAAGCUGAUCCGUAAGAUGAAAAGACCCUGGCCUAUUGCUUUGCGUGACAAGGUAUGGCCCUUCCCAGGCUUCCUAUAGUUUCCCGAGGUCCUCCCAAUUUUUCUUCCUCUUGAUGACAAGGUCACCCACUUUGAUUUCCUUGCGCACCACUUUUUUGUUUCUCCACCUUCUCGUUUCUUGAUGGUACUUGUCAAUAUUUUCAGCAGCUUGCAGUAUCUCAAGCUCUAUCAUGUCUUUUUCAAUUCUUAUAUCAUCUGGGUUAACCUCGGGCUGCAACACUCUCAAGCUAUUGUUUUUUAUUUCCUUUGGUGUCACUGCCUCGGAGCCAAACAGCAAUCAGAAGGGUGUGAAGCCUGUCACUUGAGAUGCAGUGGUGUUGUGGGACCAGAUUACCCUCGAGAGCUCAUCCACCCAUUUCCCUUUCUUCUGAUCAAAGAGACAUUUCUUCAUACCUGAGAAGAUCAAGCCAUUUGCUCUUUCCACCGCCCCGUUUGACAGGGGAUGAUAUACUAAGGUGAAUUUUACUUUAGUACCAAUGCUGGCACAAAACUCUUUGAAAUUAUAACAACAAAUUGCUUGUCGUUAUAAACAAUUAGCUCCCUAGGUACUCCGAAUCUGCAGAUGAUGUUCUGCCAAAAGAAUUUUUGGACUGAGCCCGAGGUUAUAUUUGCCAGCGGCUUAGCCUCGAUCCACUUCGUAUAGUCAACUACUACUAUGGCAAACUUGCAAUUUCCUUGAGCUGUCAGGAGUGGGCCUACUAGGUCCAUACCCCAUCUUUGUAAGGGACAAGUUGGUGAGAUAUGUUGUAUUGGCAGCGAUGGCGCAUUUUGCUAGUUUGCUAUUUUUUGUCAAGCUUCACAGCUUCGCACGAGGCUUUGUGCAUCCUGGAAUGUUGUGCGCCAGUAAAACCCCUACCUCAAUGCUUUACUCACCAAGGCUUUCGAUCCGAUAUGCGACCCGGAAAAACCCUUGUGAAUCUUAGCUACUAGCUCUUUCCCGCUUUCUGUGUCUAUGUACCGAAGCCAAGGGGUCGAUAUCCCAGACUUGUAUAAUUUUCCAACAAUAAUUGUGUAGCCCCUAGCUUUUUGCUUUAAUCUAGCUAGUUCAACCUCAUCAUAGGGUUUGAAGUACCCUCUCAUAUAAGCCAUGAUUUGAGCUCUCUAGUCAAAACUUUAGAUUGCAUUUAUUGUCUUCGGGGUUGGAUCUUUUGUCGAUGGCGUGCGAAUGACCUCGUAAAAUACAUCGGGGGGCAUGGGCUGACUCUGUGCUGCAGCUUUUGCAAGUGCAUCAGCCUCAUCAUUUUCCGCCCUUGGGAUAUGUUGUACCGUGAAGCCCUUGAAAUGCUUUUCCAUCGCUCUUACUGCUGCAAGAUACUUGACUAGCUCCGGCUCUCUAGCCUCGCUAUCCUUUUCUAUAUGCUCUUUGAGUCUGUCUUUAUUACGAAUACUUGCUAACCUAGGGCCUUCAUUUUCCUUAGCCCCAUGAGCAGUGCUUCAUAUUCUGUGGUGUUGUUUGUAGACCUCGCAUCAUUUGCAAAGCUUAGCCUUGCAGCAUAUCCCAUUUUGACUGCCGAUGGCGAGGUUACAAUAGCCAAGAUUCCAGUCCCUCUAUCACACCAGGCACCAUCACAGUGUAUAGCCCAUGGAGUCUCGAUCUCGUCUUGGCUAGCACAUGGAGAUGUCCAAUCUACGAUGAAAUCUGCCAGGACUUGUGAUUUUAUAGCACUCCUUCUCUCGAAGUCCACAACAAAUUCUGACAAUUCUGAUGCCCAUUUAGUGAUCCUCCCCGAAGCUUCUCUAUUUGAAAAGAGAUCUUGUAGAGGUUUGUUAGUAACUGCCAUGAUUCUGUGGCCCUCAAAGUAAUGUCGCAGCUUGCGUGCUGCCAUAACCACUGUGUACACAAUCUUCUCUAGCUCCGAAUAAAACAGCCUCGAACCUGAUAGUGCUUCCGAUGCAAAAUAGACUAGGAUCUGUUUUAGCUUUGCCAUCGACUUCUUUUUCUUGAAUCAGGGUGGCGCUGACGGCUGUAUUCGAAGCUGGCACAUAAAGCAAGAGAGGUGAUUUGGCUCUAGAGCGCACAAUUUGGUCAUGUUCGCCAAGUAGUCUUUGAGGUAUUGAAAAGCCUCACUUUGUUACUCCUCCCACUCAAAAUUUUUAGAGUUUCUCAGGACCUAGAAGAAUGGUAAGCUUCGCUUCACGGCUCUUGAAAUGAACCUGUUAAGGGUAGCAACUCUUCUAGUUAGCCUCUGGACAUUCUUCAGCGAGGCUGGCUCCCUCAUAUCAAGCAGUGCCUGGAUUUUGUCUGAGUUCGCUUGGAUGCCUUAUGUUGUAACUAGACAUCCCAAGACUUUGCCUCACUAAACCCCAAACACACAUUUCUCAGGGUUGAGCUUCAGGUUUGCUGCUCUCAAGUUGGCGAAAGUUUCCGCGAGGUCGAGGAUGUGGUCUUUCCUCUUAUCACUUUUCACAACUAUAUCGUCAACAUAAGCGAGAAUAUUUCUACAAAGCUGUUUGGAGAGGAUGAUUGCUAUCAUUAUUGAGAAGGUUUUCCCUACUAUUUUUAGCCCCAUGGGCAUCCUCACAAAGCAAAAGGUCCCGAAUGGUGUUACCAAUCCUAUUUUUCUCUCAUCCUCUUUUUUUUAUUUUGAGCUAAUGGUAGCCUGAGAAUAAGUCCAAUAAUGGUAACAUUUCACUAUUGGCAGCAUCGUCCACCACCUUGUCUACUCUUUGCAAUGGGUAGUGAUCUUUCAGGCAAGCCUUGUUUAGGUCAGUGAAGUCUAUGUACAUUCUCCACCUGCCGUUCUUCUUUUUGACUGGAAUAGUAUUGGCUAGCCAUUCUGGAUAGAUAAUGGGCCAUAUGACAUUAGCCUCGAGGAGUCUUUCAAUCUUGGCCUUCACUACUUGAGCUUUUUCAUCUGACAUUUUUUGAGCUUUUGCUUUUUUGGCUUCAUGCUAGGCUUGAUGUUGAGGUUGUGCUCUAUUAUCUCUUUGUUGACCCCUUGGAGGUCACUUGAGGACCAGGCAAAAACAUCUUUGUUUUUGUUUAAGAAAUCGAUUAACUCCUUCUCCUCCUCGGGCUUGGGGUUGGCUCCUAUUGUGACGUAUUUGUCAACAACAUAGUCAUCCAAGAGGACUCUUUUUGUUUCGCCAUCCACACUUAUUUUUAUCUUCUCUUUGUCCCUUUUGGGCUCAACAUAUGGUUUUUUCUUUUCUUACUCUUCAGCCUCAUUGGGGGUUGUUAGGUGGUGGACAUUCUUUUGUCCUGGGGUUACACCCUUUUCUAUAUUUCUGGCGGUUUGCUAGUCGCCAUAGAUUGUGAUGACUCCUUUCAGAACUAGGAUUUUCAUGCAUAGAAAUAGUUGCCUGAUUGCUGCAUCGAACUUGUUAAUGAACCCUCUCUCGAGGAUGGUGAAGUAAGGGUAGUACAUUUCAAUGACAUCAAAUGUGAUGCGCUCUAUUCUUGCAUUGUCGAGGUUUCCAAAUGAAACUGGAAGUGCUACCUUUCCCAGGGCUUUAACUAGCCUCCCCCUGAAGCCAAGUAGUGGGACUUCUGCUGGCUCGAGCAAGUGCUGGUCAAUUUUCAUCUCCCUAAAGGUGUUUGUGAAGAUGAUAUCUGCGGAGAUGCCAUUGUCCACUAGGACCUUCCCUAUCUUCCAGCCAGUAAUGGUAGCCUCGAUUACCAUUGCAUCGUUAUGCAAGGUUGUUUUCAAUUUGAAGUCUUCUUCUAUGAAAGAACUUGGCAUGUGUGCCCAUUCCGGCUUAGCUGGGGGACCAUCAGGUAUGAUUGUGUUCACCUGCCUAAAACAAUCUCUUUUUUAGCCUUUUGUUCUUGAACUCGAGGGAACAGCCAUCGGCGAUUGGCAUUAUCAUGCCAUAGGUUGGUAUAGCAUUGGAGUUGUCCUCGCGAUGCUCGGAUUGUUAGGAUCCCCCUGAGAUUGGCAUUAUCAUGUUGUAGGUAGGUAAGGCUUUAGGAUUGUUGUUUUGUGGGUUAAGCUCAGCUUUUGGAAUUUCAUUGGGUAGAUUUGGUGGUGGUAGUGGUAUUUCAUGGUGGGGUUGAGAAGGUACGAAGUUUGCAUUCUACGAGGUUGGUUGAGCACGAGGCCGGAAUUGUGGCGAGUGUUGCCACAUCAUGGUGGGCUAAAAGGUUGCGUGGUUGGGGUUUGGGUAGUAUGGUGGAUGUGGCCAAAAGGUUGUAUGGUGGAUGGUUUUGAGUGCCUCAGCCACUUUCUUUUCUUCGGCUAUUCUUUCAAAAACCUUUUUGGCUUCUUGGCAAAAAUCAGUUGCAUGGUCGAGUUGUUUACCAUGGAAUGUGCAGUAAAAUGAUCUUUGUUGGUUACUUUGGUUAUUUCACCUCGGAGGUCCUCUGCCUCGGCCUCUUCCUCUUCCGACAUGGUUGCCUCUUUGGCCGCUUCUGAAAUUGGGUUGAUGUUGGUGGUAUCGGUUCUGGUUUUGGCCUAGGUUUUGGUUUUGGGUUUGGUUUUUGAAUGAGGGUUGGUUAUCCUUGAUGGCCAGCAGUUGGUUUGGGUGCGAGUGGUGCUGUUGUUGGUGACUGUAUCAUGAAGCUUGCCAGUUUUGACCUUUCUCUGCUUGCCUUUGGCGGUUUCUUUCCACGACCCUUCUUUUAUGGUCUUCAUCUGAUCUGCAAUAUUUAUCCAUCUCUGCGAAUAGGGCUUCCAUUCUUUUUGGCUUUUUCCUUGAUAGCUUCGAGGCUGUUGGCCCCGGAUUAAGCCCCUUGAUGCAGAUCGCUAUGACCAUGCUAUCCUCCACAUCUGGGGUUUGUGUCUUAAGUUGGAAAAAUCUUCUCACGUAGCUUGCUAAAGGCUCUUUAUCUUUUUGCACACAAUUGAACAAAUCCCCCUCAUCAGUCAUGGCUCUAUGAAAGCCUUGAAAGUUUUGUAUCAGUUUGGUUUGAAGAUCGACCCAGCUGUAUACAAAUUGCAGCAGGAGUAGAGAGUACCAAUUUAGUGCUACACCCUCACACGCUAUAAUGAAUGACUUUGCCAAUACUACAUCAUGUCCCCCUGUCGAGGCUAUGGCUGUUUCAUAACUCAUGAGGAACUAGCGGGGAUCUGUUUGUCCAUUGAAUUUUGGUAGUGCAACUGCCUUGUAGGUUGUGGGCCAUGGGGCUGUUUGCAGGCCUAAGGAUAGUGGGGAGCUUUUGUCGGUAGUUGUGUAUGCGCUCAUUGUCACUAGGGUGUUGUGCCCAACAAGGCUAGGAUUCGGGUAUAGGAUGGGUGUGUCAUUGGUGUUGAAGGUUUGAAGUGGUGGCUGCUGCGGCUAUUGUGGUGUGUUGCACAAGUAUUCCAAUUCGUUCAACUCUUGCUGCAACUCUGCCAGCUGCCUUUUGGCCUCAUUUAGCCUCACUAGCUUGUUGGCUGCUAGUCUUUGAGCCUGAAGCUCUUGAGCAAUUUUUUCUUUUUCUUUUUUAAUGGCUCUAGCUGCUUGAGUGCCGAGGCCAUCUCUUCUUCUAUUUCACUAAGGGGUUCAUCUUGCGUGCUUGUUUGCUGCAGAGUUUGGUUCGAGGUCCCCGCCUCAACCAUUCCUUUCUGUGAUCUUGUUCUUAAUUUAGCCUCGAUUCUUUUAAACUUUUUCUGCCUUCUCCGUGUUAACUUGUUCGACUGAGACAAGCUGCCUUUCUUGUCCAGCCUCAUCUUCGAUGGUUCUCUUCUUCUUUUGAGGUGGCAUCGUGGGUUUCUUAGUCGCUCAGAAUACGGUGGGUGCCAAUGUUGGGAAACAGGCUUCAGGAAGGCUCAAAAACAACAAGGUUUGAGUAGUCCUUGCAAUUCAACUCCAAAGAAAUGAACAUACGUUUACAUCGGGGUAGGGCUCUCCUUUUAUAGUGUCUCGGAGGACACUUUACAUUCCGCAAUUACCCUCACUCACCCACCACAUUCCUAGAAUAUGCUUUACAUAGAGGUCUUUUUAAGAGGUAACUUGUAUGAUUUGGUCUCCUCCUUGGAUCACGCUUCUCACACCUUUAGUUAGCUCCGUGAUUCACUCUCUCACAUGGUUCUGCAAAUCACACCUUCACGUUCCAAUGCCUCCAUGCUUCCUGACCUUGCGAUUGAAGCCAUCUUAGCUUCGGGAGUCAUGAUUGCCCUAGCUUCGCACCUGAGAGAUGCUAUGCACCAUGCUCCUUGACCUGAUUCAGCGACCUUGCAUAAGACAGUAAAUAACUCAGCACUCGAGGUUAUCUUCAAGUGCUCAAGGUCAAGCUUGGUUAGUGUUCGGCGAUCAGUGAUUGCCUCCGAGCUUUGAGGUAAGAUUCAGGAUAGCAAGGCUAGGAUUACUUUCCAUGCCAAAUUAACUGCCUGAGGUUAGGGACCCUCACUCGAGAUUAAUUAUUUUUAGGGGCUAAGCUAUUGACGCUAAAUAUAAUGACCUCGAGGUUGACCAUCUUUUUAGGCGAUCCCCAACAAAUUAUUUUCGAUCUUUAUAUUACAGAAAUGCAUGCACACGGCUUGCUUGAUGGCGUUGUCCGCUCAUCUUGCCAUGCCUCGCCUCGUCGCCGACCACACCAUCAUGAAUGGAGAAACCACGCAUGCACUGUGAUAAGUUUAGAGCAUCCUAGUGACGGUAUUCAAGGUGCUCAAAUAGUGGUAUUCAACUUAGAAAAAUUAGUAGCACCGGAAUAUUGAACGGUCAUCGGAGCAACCAUCAGAGCACUUGGUAUGAUUAAGAAAUAAGCUUGAGUUGCAGCAAGCACCAGAUGAUCCGACAGGGUUCUGUUUAUAAGUGUCAGAGCAAUUCGCAGAGAAGAUAGAGAAAUACCUAUAGCACCAGAUGUUCCAAUGGCUAGAAGAUGAAGGCGUUGGACCAAGCAUAUUUACAUUGAAAAAUUCAUGAGAGAUUCUAGGGAAAACUCCUUCAGCACCGGGUCUUCCGACGGUACGUCGGAUGAAUUUAGGCAAAGGUCCAAUGGCUAUAUGUGUCAGUAAGGCGCACUAGAUGAUCCCAUGCUUACCUUAAGUGACCAUCGGAUCGUCCGAUGCUCACAUAUUUUACUAGGUGUUGGAGCAAAUGCCCUUUGAGGUUCAUGGGCUAUUUAUGCCCCCUCCACUCGCCCAUUCAGAGUUGCUGGAGUGUCCAUACAUCGAUUGAUGACCAAGGCUCAUCAAGAACAUAUACAUGCCACCAAAAGUGCAAAAGCGAUAAUCCAAGGCUUAGCACGAGCUAAGAGAUUGAUUAGUGCUAGGAUAGGCCUAGAGAGAGUAGUGCAAGGUGCUGAUACCUUGUGAUUGGUUCAAGGAGUGAUCCACUAUUAUAAGCUUGGUGCACCGGUGGCUUGGGGUCUUAGUGGCUCUCCGGCAAGUAUUCGACCCUCCAGCUUGGUGUGGAGCAGCAUCGACGGCCAUAUGCGAGGGACAAGAAGACUCCUUCCUUCGUGGAGCAGCUUCGUACUUGAGUGCCUUGAAUGCCUUUACUUUCUAGAGUAGUACCUUGUUAGGAUUGGCUCUAGGUUGCAAAACUCUUUAUGGGUGGGAAGUUUCACUAGAUCAACCAUAGAUGCACAUGUAGAUAGCAUGAUCUAGUUUAUGUUUGGAAGCAAGUAGUGGAAGUCAUAGGCUAAGGAUCAGUAGUUCGUAUGUGCUAGCAAUCAUCGCCUCCAGCUUCGUCGCCCCCUCUCCAUCACCCCAUCCCCGUCGCCCCCGGCCCCGUCGCCUCAUCGCCUCAGCGCCACCGUGCCCCGGUUGUCUCAAUCCUCUUCGACGUAUGAUGACUCUGUGCUGCCCCAUCCUCGUCGACAUCCUCCUCUCUGAUGUGGCCCUCGCCUCCUCUCUAAUGACUCCACACUACUGCGGCCACUGGCCCUUGGCUCCUUCUCAACCCCGAUGUCGCCCACACCCCCGGCCGUACAUCGACUCUGGUCGUCGAGCUCACCCCUCUCUUUUCCGACUCCGCGUCGUCCGGCCACCGUCAACUACUCUGACACCUGCACCCCCGGCCGUCUCCCCUCCGACGUGUUGCCCAAGCCCCCGUCACCUCCAUCCUGUCUGACGACACCGCGCCGCCCCCUACACACUUGCGGUGACGUAAGCCCGCGACCGCCGUGAUGACGUAAGCCCCUGCGGCUGCCGACAUCAUUAUGUUUCUUCUGAGCUAGAAUAUGUCUACAAAUUAUAGGAAAUUAUAGAAAAAUUGUAGGAAAUUUGUGUAAGUGUUAGAAAUCAUGCCUUUUUUUUCAAUUUGUACGUGCGUAGAGAAUAGCUAGUAAUUAUAAAAAUUGUUGGAGUAGGUAUAAAUUACAUAGAAAUUGUAGGAAAUUAUUGGAAAUUUGCAAAAAAUUUGUAUAAGUACUGGAAAUCAUACUUUUUUUUAAUUUGUACAUGCAUAGAGAAUGGCUAGUAAUUAUAAAAAUUGUUGGAGUAGGUACAAAUUACAUAGAAAUUGUAGGAAAUUAUUGGAAAAUUGCAGGAAAUUUGUAUAAGUACUGGAAAUCAUGACAUUUAUUUUUCUGUUUCAUUCUAUUUAUAUGUUGUAUAAAUGUUAGAAAUUUGUGUAGGCAUUGCAAAUUAUCUAUAAAUAUUGUAUGAGUGAUGUCAUUAUUGUUUCAUCCUAUUUUUGUUGUCAUUUCAUACUAGUGUUUCAUUCUACUUUACAUAUUGUUGUAACAUGUUACAUAUUAUAAGUGUUUAGUUCUUUUAUAUUAUACUAGGUACAAUGGCAUGAUCAGAUGACGAGAUUAUAUAUGACAUGAUUGCUGGAGGGGCCUCUCAAGCAAAUGAAGAGGUCUAUCACAGCCAGGCUAACAUGUACCUCAACCUAGCUGGUGAUGGCAUUGAGGAGCAAUGACUUGCCGAGGGAGGCAACGUGGAGCAACAAGUUCCCGAUAGAGGCAAUGUGGAGCAACCAAUAUUAUACGUAAACAUUAUUUCAAUUACCAUCUUAUCAAAAGAAACAUCAUCAUGCAACAUUUCAAUUGUCGUUUUUAGCCAUCUAGAUCGAGCAAAAUGCCUCAAAAGAAACAAGGCAAGAACAAGAAAGAUGAGGGCCGUAUCAUCAUCAUAGAAAUUGCUAAAAUAGUGAACCGAUUGCCCAUCCCAAAGCUAAGAUCAAGUUGGUGAAUCAUAUUGGGUUCCUUAUCAGAGAUAACAUUCCAAUCUGGUUUCUGAAAUGGAGGAAACCCAAGCGCAUCCGGGUCAUCACAAACCCGCUCCUUUAUGUCCCUGAUCGAGAGAAGGAAAUGUUAUGGGUACAAGUAAAAGAACACUUCAUGUUCGAAAAUGUUGACAAAGCCAAAGUGAAAGAAUGGGGCAUGAAGAAGGGUGCAAUUGUGUUUCAGACCUAUAAAAACUUGACCAAAGACUAUGUAAAGAAGGGGGUUCAACCUUAUUUCAUUGAGCACACUAAGAUAAGGGAUAUCUGGGAUUCCUUUGUACAGUUCAAGGGCACGAGCUGGGUGUCUAUGGUGAUGACCAAUAAACACAGUGAGACCCUCAAGAAAUAAUUCGAGUGAAACUUCCAAUGAAAAACACUUCACGGACAAGAAAAUGCUCAAGCCAGGCAAAAUCUAGGAGCUCUGGGUGGAUGGUUUGCUUCCCAAGGACGGACGGUCCAUGAGCGGUGGACGGUCCAACCUUAUGACUUACACAACGCAGAAUUGUUGAAAACAAAUGCAUGGCCAAAGUUUUGGCCAAAACUCUAUCAAAUCAAGUCCAAAUGCCACCAAAUUUUAGCCAUAGCAUCACAACAACACAUAGAAGCUACUUCUAAGAGAUCAUCCCCAAAAGAUUGGUCAAUCAAUAGGAAAUCCAAAUCUUGUGAAGAAUACCGCUUUUUCAACCUUGGAAACUUGAAUCGCCCUGAUGUAUGAACUCGUGAGGGGUUAGAUGAAUUCCUUUGGUAGAAAGACUUCACUCACAUCCUAGUUCAUUUCCAAAUGAUCGGUUUGAGUCAAGAAUCCCUAGAAAUCACGAAUCGAACAAAAAACAUGAGAAGGGAAAAACGGGAGAAAACAAGAAUGCGAAGAAGACAAGAGAGAUUUGCACAAAGCCGCUGUCCCCCAACACACGGAGGACUCGAGGAGGUUAGGGCUUCCAUUCCCACAACAAAAACUUUAGUUCAAUACAUGAAUUCGAGUUCAAAUCAUCCGCGGACCUCUAGAGAGAGAAAGGAAAAAACCAAAAUGAAGUGCUAGAGAGAGAGGGGGUGAAAGAAAGGUGGAAGAGGUGCUAAAAAUUUCAGCCCCCAAUCUCUAUCUAUAGGCGCCGACAAAGGACUAGACAACCCCUAAUAGCUACUACUAAGAUAACUACCCAUGUAGGGGUAUUUUUGUCCAAGUUUUUGUACGUUCAUCAGACGGACAUGCCACCUUCUCAACUUUGCUUCGCCUUGAUGUAAGCUUCAUGAUGAUGCCACAUGCCCUCCUUUUUGAACCUCUAACCGCACCGAACUCGCUCCCCCCCCCCCCCGCUUUGAGGCCCAAACCGGGAAACCUGCCAACGUGGUGGUUUUGAGGCCCAAACCACCCAAACCGUCCAUUCUUUGCUUGGCCACCAAGUCGACGUGUGUCCUGUCUCCGCCAAGUCUAGCUUUGACGCCUCCAAGUCGUUUGCUCACGGCUCCCGGGCUGCCUACUUGACUUGCCUCCGUCCUGCUUGACUAGAUCGACGCCGUCUCUAUCACCAUCAUGUUCCCUUGCUGUUCCAGGCACCAUGUGGACCGCCUAUGACUCCACCUAGACUCCUCAGGUCCAUCGGUCCAAGCCUACUCACGUUCAUCCUUCACCGCCCUUGGUCCAUCGGCACGAAACUUUCGCUUGACCUUCACCACAUGCCGUCGGUCGUCACAUCGCAUCCUACACCUGCACAUCACAAACCAAGAGCAAUAUCAAUCUAACACAAUCGUUGUCAAUCACUCAUCAUCCAAGGGUGACCACCAUUGGUCCUUAGCUCUGAGCAACCGAACCAGUCAACAAGCAGCUAUUGUAGCAUCAGGGCCACAUGUCGAUUUAAGCCCAACUUAGCAUCGAAGCAGUGUCACUUCAACAAAAGCCUUAGUGGGAAGAUCCACUAAGGUCAUUGAGGAAGGUCACCCCAUGGAUGACAUCACAGGGACAACCCCUAGUAAGCUUGUUACUCCGGUUUAAAACAAGCUCAUAGUGGUGGCUUAUGGUGCGACUGAUCGACCGACACAAGGCCAAAUAAUACAUGGCAUGCUGGUUCAAGCUGGCUAUGCCAAAGUUGCGUUGGACCGAGUGGUCAACGGUUGGAGAACCUAGAACUAGAAAUCCCUAGAGGUGAUGAGGAAAAGAAUCUAGAAUAAGCUGUCCAUGGUUGGAUUCAGUGGCCCAAGCGCUUCAUGAGGAUUACGCAACCGAAUGAUGAGUCCACCUGUACCAGAAAGGGAUCCAAGCAUGACUCCAACUCCCCCUCCCAUGAAGAAGCGUUCAAUUCCACCUCCACCUCCACCUUGUAAGAAGAAGCAGAAGAAGCAGAAGGAGAAGGCACCACCUGAGAAAUUACCUUAUGAGAUGGCACACGAGGAGUCCAAGGCUGCAGCAAAUGCUUAGUUACAAGCAUGGAUUAAGGCUUGAAAAGAAGAAUGGUUGAAGAAACAGAAUCCAGAGAAACCACUGGAUAAGCGUAACCUUCAGGCUUUCAUCAGAAAAAGGAGGUGGAGAGAAGGAAAAAGCCAGUGAAAGCUCCCCUUUCUGAUUAUGGUAGGUAGAUCACAAAAGCAGUCAGCUCAUAAGAAGAAGAAAAGUGGGAAAUCUAUUUCUUAACUCAGAGAUCCACGUGUGCAGCUUUCUAACUUUGAAAAAAAACCUGCUUGAAUUCGCUAAUGAUACAAAUCUGACAGCAGCACAACUUCGAGGGGAGGCUGACAUCCCAAUGCUCCUUGUGCCUGAAAAAUGGAAAUAUGUGUAUGGUAAAGAGCUUGUGAUUCCGAAGUUGCUAAAUUAUCUGCCAACGAAGAUGCCCAAGCUCCACCAAUGGUAUAUGGAGGCCAUAGCAAAAGGUUUGGCCAUGAUGGAAGUUUGGAUUGCUGAUCACCAUGACUUCCGUGGUGAUGACAUCAUAAUGGCCUUACUAUCAGAACUUUUCAUGCUAUUCAAUCAACAAGCACUAGACAAGUCACUCAUCAGUUGAUGGGUCCUGUAAGUCUUUAAUAUAUUCCUCUAACUUCAAAAUCCCUGCUCUAGUCAUUUUGCAGUGUCUUAACUCCUAUUCAAUUUUGUAUCAUGCAGGAUGGAGAUUUAAACUUGUCGCAAAAAUGGAUACAAUGACAUGCGCUUCAUGGACCCCUCAACAAUACACAAGAAUACUCUAAGGGAUAACCUAGAUGAGACAGCGGACAAUAUAUUUUUGUUCCUAGACAAGCACUAGGAUAAGAAAUGCAUAUUAUUACUGUGGAACUCCAGGUAAGCAUUUUUACCAUCUCUUUCUUUUCUGAGCUAGCACUUAUACAUAAUACUAAUUAGCUUCAAUUUCGAUGUACAACAACCAUUGGAUACUCAUUGUUAUUGUGCCCUAUUGGAGUAUCGUGUAUGUCUUUGACUCCUUGAGGAGACCAAAGGAAAGUUACGCUGACAUAAUGAACACUGUGAAUAAAUGCUGGGCUCGAUUCCGUCGAACUCACAAGGGUGAUUUCAAGGAAAAACUUGAUUGGAAGAUAGAUUUUCCGGUAUGUGUUCUCAAUUUUCACAUCUCGUGAAACUUCCAUUAACAGAAAACAUAUUACAUAACUUUUUUUCAAUAUAUACAGUGUGCAAGACAGCCGAAUGGUACUGAAUUAUGCGGAUACUACGUUUGUGAUUACAUCCAUGCCUUGAUCAGUCCGAGCGGCCAUAUCAGCGAACACAAAUUAACAGUACGUAUAUUUUUCAACAAAAAGUUAGUUCAUGUGUAUAUUCUUCAAAAAUCAAUCCAAGUGUAUAUACUUAGAAUAAUUAGAUUAAGUAUUUCAAUUCAUUUGGUUGUACAUCAACAAAGUUUCAAUCGUUCAAAAAUUUUAGCUUAAGUAUUUCUAAUUCAUUUGCCAAUGACACAGAUGAUGACUAGGAAGGAAAGACUCGUAGAUACAGAAAUUUUCAGGGCAAUCCAAGAACAACUAUGUGGAUUUCUUCUAGAUAAGGUCGCAAAUCCUUUGGGGGAGUUGCACCAUGAUGGGACUCCGAUAGUGCACAAACCGGCCUCGGGUUCAUAAUAGCAGAUACGAUAUGUGUAUGCAAUGUGUAAUAUUAACCAAACAUCUGUUUAUGCACAAUACGACAAUAUUAUCUCAAAUGUUAUAUUCAAAAUAAAUAGAAAUUUACAUAUAUUAGUGUAUUAGAAUCAGUAUAUGUAAAGGAAACAGAUAUAAAAUAUGAAUAUACAAUAAAGUAACAGAAAAUAAGAAAAAAAAGGAAAACUGCAUUAGUACCGGUUGGGGAUACCAACCGGUACUAAUGAGGGCACCUCCCCGCGUGGCAUGGCAAGCCCUUUAGUACUCGUCGGUUUACUCAACCGGUAUUAAAGGUUACAAUUUAUUACUGGUUAUUUCAACCGGUACUAAAGGGACCACCUCUAGUACCGAUUGCACAGUACCAGUUACGGUUCCGGUACUAGAGGGGGGUUACUGACCGGUACUACACGUCAUUUUUCCAGUAGUGUAUAAACUGGCGGGAAAGAUUCCUUCAUCACCGCUAGCUCUUGUACUAGACCGUCAGUGCUGAUGGUCCUCUUCACAGCCCAUGGGACAGCAACCGGCGGUGAUGAACUCGCAUCACUAUCCGUCCAUGGUCCGGCUAUGAUAGGCAACCUCAUCACCACCGACAUUUAUGUGCCAGCAGGCCCCCAAACCACCCGUGAUGCAGGGUUUUGGGGCUAGCGGUGAAGGCCUGUUGUGCAGUAGUGUGCAUACAAUGAUUCAAAAUAAACCUAAUAUUUUCCCUUUAUAUCUUUUUUUCUUUUAUCGUACUUUUCUAGGCCUCACUUUGUAGUUUUUCUUUCAAUUUCACAGUGACUGAGGUGUCAGGUGGCUUGCCGACGCUGAAUGAAACAACCUGAGGUGGGCUGGCCAUGACGGGUACCUAAUAAAGGGAGUGUCUGUCGCACAAGCGUUGGAAGAGCAUCUCCAGCAGUUCCCAGUAACAAUGAAAUGGAUAUUGGAGUAACCCCAUGCACUAAUUAUUGAGAAAUAUUUAUUAAGAGAUUGCUGGAGAUGCUCUAAGGUGAGCUCAUACGAGAUACAUGCAUGCUAGUGCUCAUAUGAUGGUAUGUUUCUGUGUCAUCUAAUACCAACACAUGUAUUCCUUUCUCCAUCACAAUCCUCCUUCGCAUAAGGUGUUCAGUGCUGUUGUGAAAUAAGCAUAGCUCAGCUUGUAUAUUUCCUUGUGGAACCCGCCCAUCAAGGUUCGAGUUAUUGACUUGGCACCGGUGCUCGCAUUUUCCUGAUUAAUUCUAGAAUUUAACCAGCACUAUCCUUUCAGUGGUAGACAACAUGCUCGUCGAUAGCGAGGCACCAUAAGUGACUUCGCCAAUCUCGAGGAUCUGUCGGUUCAGUCUCUUGGAGGUGCUUAAAGGUAGGGUUGCAUGUGUACAGACACAGACGCUCACAUAAACUUACAUAAAUUCAAUGGUAUUAAUACACCCUACCCUUAUCAGCACCUCUAAAACACUAAGCCAAUAGGUCCUUGAGAUUGACCCUUAUGAGCAACUCUGGAAAACUAAGCCAGCAGAUCAUGGAGAUUGACAAACUCACCAUGGGCAGCUCGCCAUCGAUGACUAUGUUGCCUACCACUGAAAAAAUAACAUCGGUUAAAUCCUAGAAUAAAUCUAGAAAAAUAGAAGAAGCGCUAGCGUCGAGUCAAUAACUUGAACCCUGGUGGGCUAUUUACCAGCUGAGCUAAUACUGAGUUCUCUACCCUGGUGGUUUUUGGGAGAUUUGCUUCCUACCUACCGGGACUAAUACUGAGUUCUCUACGUGGCCAGAUUUCUACCACCAGAAAUCUAAUAACUGCAGCCUUGUUAAAUUUAAUUAGCAUUCUUAUUCGUGAUAUUCUGAAUAUACACGCACACAUGACACAUAUCACACAUGGUUUCCACUCCCUUUCUUGGCGCUCUCCGCCGCCACGGACAGCGCAAUGGCCGUCUCUAGCCACAAAUUCAACAGUACGAUGCAAGUCUUUUGACAACUCUCCUGAGCUUAUAAAUGGUUGUAGUGCUAAAUUGCUAAAUGCCACAUGUGGAAUUGAAUCUUGGCACAAACUUUAAUCGUGGGAAACUCGCACGGUAUGAGUUUGGCACAAGUUGGGAUUCCCUGCGUCAAGUAAUUGCAGGGCUAAAAGUAGAGUCCCAAGUAUGUGUUUUGUCCUUUGCAAACGUUGGUUGUUGGCAUUACUAAAAAAUUAGCUUUCUAUAUAUAUAUACUCUAUUCGUCUCACAAAAAACACAAUUGUAUGAUUCAAAUUUGUCCAUAAGGAAUGUAAUUGCAGCUUCUACCCAUUUCUUUUAAACUUCUCAUUUUUUGGAGCAGUGAUGUCAUAGGGUGACCCCCGCUACUGAAAAUGACCAUGAUCUGGCUCUACAAAUGCUUCUUCAUAGGUGGGACAUGCAGAAAGUACGGUAAGCCCACCCCUUUUGUAGAAGAGGGUGACCUUUUGGACCACCCAGAGAAAUAAAUCGGGAUGCGCCUACAAAUCCUUUCUGUAGUAGUGAGAGAAAGAGAUUGCGGUUGAAACAACAAUCCUUUCAUGAAAUUACCGCCUCAUAAGUCAAAUUUUAGGACAACAAGACGGCUAGUCCAUAUUUGUACGAGUUGUGGUUACUCUGCAACUCAUAAUAUAUUUUUUCUAUGCACAAAGUAAAAGAAUAGAAAUAUAUAAUUACAUCGAGACUACUUAAAAAUACAACACAAUGUAAAGGUUAUUUGUUAACUUGCCUCAAGAUUACAUGUUCUCUAUUAGGUAACACCAAUAUAUAUACUGGUUCUAAAGAUUCAAUUUAUCAUUAGCUAGACACAUGGCGAUCAUGUGCAUUUAAAUCUAUAGUGUGACUUGGAGAAAAAAAAAGUAAUCUUCAUCCGUAUGGCCGUACAGUGACUCUCGCUCUUGACAGGUAUUAGUGUAAGUAGCAUAUAUAAAGAACCCUCAUGCACGCUUUGGAUCCCCAUCCCUGCUAGCAUAUAUUCAUUCAUAAACUCACGGGUAUUCUCUCAUGGUCAUGGUGCUCCCAAUGUUGCUGGUUUGUAUGGUAGUGACGGUAGUGAUCACCGUUCAUGUCAUCUGUGCCCUAGAUGAACACAAGCGAAAGAGAUUUUCCGGUGCAUCUCUUCCACUGCCCCCUGGCCCGGUCGCUCUCCCCAUCGUCGGGAAUGCCUUCAGCUUCAUCGGGCCGUUCGGCCACAACCCACACCGCAUACUCACGAGCCUCGCCAAAACCUAUGGGUCCAUAGUGUCCUUUCGGCCAGGCAUGGCAGGCAAUUUCGUGGUAGUGUCAUCCCCUGAAGCAGCACGUGAAGCUCUCAUCAAGAACGAUGCCGCGCUCGCUGCCCGGUUCGUGCCGGACAAUACACGCGCCUUAGGCCAUUGCUCGGAGUCAAUGUUCUUCCUCCCAACCUAUAGCCAUUUGUGGAAGCAGCACCGCAUCACAUUGGGUACCAGCCUCUCAACUGGCCGGGGCCUUGACACAACCCGCCCCAUUCGGGAUCGCCAUGCCUGUCGGCUCAGCGAGCACUUAAGGUUCUGCUCUGGCAUGCCAAUCAAAAUUGGAGAGGCCGUCCAAGGCACAGUGCUCGAUGUUAUGUCCAACAUCCUCUUCUCUAAGGACGGGACGCACUUGCGCGUGAAGGGGGGCCAGUUGUUCAAGGACCUCCUGGUGGAGGUCCUCGAGGACUGGACUAAGCCCAACGUUUCUGACGCUUUUCCCUUCUUCGCGUCACUUGACCUCCUUGGCUCACGCCGCCGAAUCUCCAGAGGUUUGGCUAAACUGUACAAGUUCUUUGAUGAAGAGUUCGUCGAACGUCGGUUAGGCAGCAGUGAGAACCACCACGAUUUGUUGGACUUCAUCCUCUCGCAGCAUGCCAAGUCGAAGCUCACGCGUUCAGAGAUCACCAAGUUCUUCACGGUCGGCUAUACAUAUGAUCUCUGAACAUAAAUAUAAUUGCUGUCUUUCUGCUUUCUGUACAUUUUCUUGGGUAACUGAUAUACUAAUUAACUUACAUUUUUUUAUAUGCAUUUCUGUUCUUAACCUAUCAAUAGGAUAUCUUUCUUGCCGCGAGCAACACAAGUAGGAUCACCGUGGAAUGGGCAAUGGCACUCCUACUUAAGCAUCCAGAAAAGAUGAAGAAGCUGCGUGCUGAGCUUGCAGCGAGCCUUGGGACCAAGGAGUUUGUCCAGGAGAGCGACUUGGACAAGCUCCCCUACAUCCAUGCUGUGGUGAAGGAGACACUACGACUGCAACCAUCAGCACCGCUGCUACCACGAAUGGUGUCCACGGACGGCAUGUCACUUGGCGGAUUCUCAGUACCAAUUGGUACCAACAUUCUGAUUAACCUUUGGGCCAUUGGAAGGGACCCAACGGUGUGGCCUCAGGCGGGAGAGUUUCUGCCUGAAAGGUUUCUGGGCAGCCGAUCACUGGACUUCCGGGGAUCAGAAGACUUCACAUAUAGGCCCUUUGGGGCAGGGCGAAGGAUGUGCCCAGGACUGGACUUCGCUGCGCAGUUGAUUCCACUUUUGCUAGCCUCGAUGUUGCACAAGAUCGACUGGAGCCUACCUGAUGGGAUCGUGCCUGAGGAUGUGGACCUCAGGGAUCGCUACAGCAUGGUUCUGGAGCUCGCUAAGCCCCUCAUUGCGGUGCCAGUGUCAACGGUGUGCCGUGCUCCGCCGUGGCUGAUGUAGCGUAACUUCAUAUCAGCCGCCGGUACACAAGUGGUUUUAGAGGUUUGUGUGGGUGAAUAUAGGGAAUUCAUACCCAAAUCCAAACCCAGCUUAAAGGUAUGGGUAUAUAUAUACACACACUAGCAAAUUUGCUCGUGCGUUGCCACAGAACGUAAACCUUGGACAAAAUACCCGUGCGUUGCUACGGUAAAAAAUCAAUUGUAUUUUUUCAAAUUAAUAAUAUUUUUUAUUUUCAUCACUAAAUUUUUAUUCCACUUAUUAGAUAUCUACACAUUUAAUAGAAAACUAAAAGUCCUCCAUCCAGGCCCUACCUCCUCUCCUCCCCUAGAUUCGGCCGGCGCCCUUAAAGGCUAGCUAAGCCAGCAAUUCAACAUUCGCAUCCCACUUUCAUUCUUAAAGGCUAGCUAUGCCAGCAAUUCAACAUUCACAUCUUUUGUGUAAGCAAUACUGUUUGCGUUGUCUCUGACAUGGGACAUGGCUGGUGCAAACAUGCAUUGCAAAGAGAGCUCUUGUUAUACCCCUAGUUUUCUCACACCAAAGAAGGGGUAUAUAUAUUUGUUUCUUUCGGGUAAGUCACCAGCAACAUGGGCUUCAAGCCCACAAACCAGCCCACUAAGCCAACUCUCUGCCCUCUGAAGCUGGAGUCACAAGGCUGGAGUCUGCUCGGACGUUCUUAUCCACGCGCUCAUGACCGGCCGUCGACCCGCGCCCCACCGCAGAGGCCAUAACCUAUAGCCAUGUAGCCCGCUUGUCAGCCACUAGCCAUGCACCACGUUCUCGUCGUCCAUAGUCCAUCCUCUCCAUGUGCCCCACAUGCACAUUUACCGCCACUAAACACCUCGCCCCCACCCCAUUCUCUGCUCCCUCCCAUGCGGGCACGUGGCUCGUCCGUUUCGCUCCCAUGCCACCGCACAGCAAAACCCCGGCCGACCUGCUUACUUCCCUGAGCAGCAGCAGCGGAAUCAGACCACCGGGCUCGGGACCUCGGGUACACCGAGGGAAAGAAUGUUGGAGGCCGCACGCAGUGGCUCACACCCGUGGUGCUGUUCGUGCUCGUGAACCUCAUCAUCGCCACGUCGCCGUCGCGUCCAAGCUGAUGUCGUCAGGGACAGGGACGGCGGCGCCCGGGGGGUCGACGAGGUGGGCGGCGGCAGGUGGAGGGCCCUCCUGCGUGUGCCAUCCCUCACCGUCGACUGCCUCCGCACGUCGUUCAACUUCUCCCGCCUCGGCGGCCUCGCCGCCGACCACUCGCCGCUCUUCGAAUACGCGGCCUCGGAGCUAGCCUUCCCCCAGCUACCGGCGAUGAGCUACCGGUGACGGGGGUCGCGGCGGCGCCGGGAAUGGUGGCCACGACGAUGAGCUCGAGCGCGAGAAGGUGGUGUGCAUCUAGAGGAGCCGGUCGGAGGCGGCCAUGGAGCUUGCGCCCAGCAGCUGGCGUCCGCGGGCGAGGAGGACGCGGAGGGCGGCGGCGGUCGAGGAGCCGGCGCUCGCGCACGACGUUCUCGUCACCCCCGCGUGGCGGCGGUGUCGAGGGAGGCUAGCGCCGUCGCCGUCGCCGGGCGCGGCAAGGUGCCAGCGGUGGAGGUAGACGCGCGCGCGAAUGACUUCAUCCGGCGGUUCCGGGAGCAGCUCCGGCUGGAGCGCCUCGACUCCAUCCUCCGCUACCAGGACACGCUUACGCACCACGAUCAAUAAAUCAAUUGUUAAACCCACCCGUCAAUGUUGGAUGAAACUAAAAGAGUGGAUAUGGGAAGAAAUGGGAUUGGAUUGUGCACGUGUGUUUAAAAUAAAUGUCAAGAACUCAGCUAUGGAAAUCAUGACCUGAGCUUGCUCUCAGAUUGAACCAAGUUGCACGCACCUCUAUUCCCGUGUGUACCCUUGUUUUACGAACGGUAUAUCUUACCGUCACCUAAUUGGAGUCCUUUUCAGUUAAUCCUUUUCUAGGAAAAAGAUACCCUGUUGAAACAUAUAAGAUAAUGUUUUGGUUUCAUGAAAAUUGAAAUUAAGGAGAGUCGCAGCUAUCUAUUCGCAGCUUACAUGAUGUCACUGUCCUCGUCAUCCUCGGCACUGGCAGAGCGUCGUUGGGGCCUUAGAGGACCACGGCCCCCUUGCUUGGUAAAAAAAAAAAUCAGAAGAGCAAAGUGCAAAUUUCCAGUCCAAGUGCAGUCCGUGGCUUCUUGACACGUAAUUCAGCGCACAAUCAAGAAAUCCCACAAGGCAUUAACCAUAUAGGCACAAACAAACAUUGAAAACAAUAGAAAAAAACAUUGAGCCAAUUCCAGCAACUAGCGGAUGAGACAACGACCUCAGCCGUCGCAAGACGGACGCUUCCUUCACAGUUGACUCAUUGAGGUUGUCAUCGUCGGCUGUCGCCACUCGCCAGGGCUGGCGCCUUGCAGCCUGGUGCUAGAACUUUCAUCCGGCCAUUUUUGUUUAAGCCAGUUCAAGUUAGGGCAAGGAGGAAAGGAAAGUAUGGUUGCUUUUCUUCCUUCUUUUGUUUAUCUUCUAAGUUCUUAACACAUUAGAUCCGUAGAAUAUGCAGGCUACUAUUGCCUAAUUAGCUGGUAAUUUGUUGUCAGUUGAGAUCUAUUGUUAUUUCUUUUGAGAAAAUUGAGAUGUUUCGCUAGUUUAUUUGGCCCUAAUCCCCAAAUUGCACAGUUUAUACGGUUUGGUGGUUUUAUAACUAAAUAGAGUUCUGCAAUUUGGUAGGUAGGUACAAAUGGGUAAAGAGAAGCCUAUUGAUUCAUUUUUCAACAGCAAAAGAGAUGAACCAAUUGUGGACUGUCGAGCAACCUCUGGUUCAAGCCAACCAAUUUCCCCCCUACAAUUUGCUUCACGCUCCGCCACUGAUCCUCGAUCCUCGGUGAGAAUUUUUAACCUCUUUGAAAAAGUCGGCGAUUGCGAAUCUCCACCUGCAUUUUUUGUUCUAAACCUUUUUAAACUUGUUUGUGAUUGCGAAUCCAAGGAGAUGUACCUGCAUAACAGAAGCUAUCUUUGCUGCUAGACAGAUCGAGCAGCGAGCUCACCCAUAACUAUUGAAUCCACAGUAGUGGUUGCCAGGACUUGCAGGCGACAUACCUGUACAGAUGAUUUGAAGUGCAAAACCACUCCUAAACUUGCUGUUAAUUCGAAUAUUAUUACCUUGCCCAUCUAGUAAAACAGAUGCAUCUGCGUAGGCAAAGUUGGACCGCAAAACUGGACAGCUCUCUGUGGUGUUGUUUAGAUGGACGCUGCCCCCUCCCGUUUGCAUGUUUUCUUCCCAGCACAGACGCUGUUUCUUGAAAUGGAUUCUGAAAUAUUGUGGCGAAAUGUCCUUUUCUAAGUGGGCCUAGACCCAUAAAUUCGCGAGCUCCGCCCCACUCACCACUGCCACACCGUAACUCCGCCUGUGCUGUCGUGGCCACUUGCUCGCCUCGUCGCUCUCGCGCGUCACAGUAGCAGCAGUUCUUGAGGCGGCACGCUGCCUGAAAGCUAUGCGAGCCCGUCAGCUCGUCAGACACGCUGCCUGCCUCCCGCUACGCUCCACCUCCCCAUCACCACGCUGCAAGCCGACGCCCGCAAGCUGCCGCUCGGCCACAGCGCCGCUGACACUACGGGAAAGCAUAAAGUCGCCGAGUGUAAUAACUUCGCCGAGUGCUUUUUUUCGGGCACUCGGCGAAGAACCGUGUUGCCGAGUGUAACACCAAAAACACUCGGCAAAAAUAAAACACUCGGCGAACAACCUGUUUGCCGAGUGCCCUCCAAAAAACACUCGGCAAACACCCAGGCGGCACUCGGCAAACUUUGACACUCGGCAAACUGACGCCCACGUGACUUCCCCGUGCCGACGGCGGCGCCCCUCCGUGACGGCCGUUAGUGUUUGCCGAGUGUCAAUAUAGGGCACUCGGCAAAGGCACUAGUUUGCCGAGUGCCAUGAUGGGACACUCGGCAAACUAUAGUCUUUGCCGAGUGUCUUGUUGGGACACUCGGCAAACCCUAUAGUUUGCCGAGUGCUAGGGUGUACACUCGGCAAACUAUAGCGUUUGCCGAGUGUUUUUUUACACACUCGGCAAACAUAAUUUUUUUCCCCUCCUCCACCCUCCAAACUUUUUACACUCCACAUGUAUGGCAUUUGGCACUGCAUGGUAGAAGAUGGACUAUUUUUUGACCUGUUUGCUAUAUUUAAUCAAUUAAUUUCAUUUAGAGUAAUUUUUUGAUUUAAGUCAAAUUUGAACUGCAGGUGGUUGGAAUAAUGGAAUAAUAUGAGUGAAAAAAUCAUAUUGAUGUUAGUGAGUCUAAAUUGAUGUCUCACCCAGAAAAUGAAAACAAAUUUCGAACAUGUUGCUAAGGAAACACGACUACGAACGUGUGGCCAAAUGAUUGUUUAAUUCUUAAAAAUACAAACGAAGUUUGAAAAUCAUGAGAUUUUGCAAGAUGCUUUGAUUUCGUAUGCAGAGGCCGUGGUAAAAAAUUGAUAAGGUUUCGCACAAGUUUUGACAUAUGAUGUUUACAAUUCGAAGCAUCUCCGGAGAGGUUUCAGAGAAGUUCAAAGGAUCCGGUAAGAUUUUGAGAUGAAUCGAUAAAUAUAAUUCACAUUGAGUCCAAAUUUUUUUUUAUAGGCUAUAGAGAACAUAGAUAGGUUCAUGUCAAAUUUUGGGAAAUUUUCAGAUCCGUUUGGUAAUUUUUAUUCAUUAAUUGGACGUAUAUGAAUUUAAUAGAUAUAAAUUAAAUAUGAGCUAUAAAUCCAUGAAAUAAUGGUACAAUAUUACUUAAAAAAUGAAAUACGCAAUGUUUAGUGAAUUGGACUAGGGUUACACAAAGUUUACGUCCUUUUAAUUACUAAAAGUGGUGUUGGACAUGCAAUAUAGGUAGGUGUUUGCCGAGUGCUACCUAGGGCACUCGGCAAAGGGAUGGUUUGCCGAGUGUCACAAAUAGGGCACUCGGCAAAGUCACAAAUAGGGCACUCGGGUCCACGUCGCAGUGUCUGGCAAUGUUUCGGGGGGAAAAACACCCUUUGCCGAGUGCCCCGGAUCUAGCACUCGGCACAGNNNNNNNNNNNNNNNNNNNNNNNNNNNNNNNNNNNNNNNNNNNNNNNNNNNNNNNNNNNNNNNNNNNNNNNNNNNNNNNNNNNNNNNNNNNNNNNNNNNNGACGAGGAAGAAGAGGAAGAGAUCUCCAGCAUCCGGGGGAUGACUCGGUCGAGGACGCGUGACCGUGGAGCAAGAGACCACGCAGCAACCAGCACCAUCACCCAGCACAGGCGCUGCUCAUGCACCAGCACGACGCCCGUACCGGUCGUCGACUUGAUGGAUGAUGAGCCCGAAGCAGAUGCCGAGCACGAGACAUGGACCAAAUGGGUGAAGAUAGAUCAUGGCCAAGGAGUGCAAAUGGCUCGACAUCCUCAGGUGGACUUGUCACCGCUUGGGGUACAGCAUGAGGCCACUCUACAAGUCCUCUCGGUUCACCCACCCUCGCUAUCCCACUUUUUACGAGGUGAAGGUUGUCCUUGGUGAGGAGCACGAAGGAGGAUGGUAGGUGAAGUUUAUUCACCAUGAUGUGACCAUGAGGAGGCCCAUGGAGUCCGACGCGCACUAGGCCCCCAGAAGGGCAGUUGAGGUCGGCUCCCACCCGCAGCCCGUGCCACUGGUCCACAGUUACCACCGGUCCCUUCCUUACGCAGCUAGUGGGGAAGCCAGCCCCUCCACGCCCACUAAUCAGCGGGUCGCCCCGCCCACCGACUUCCGCCGCCAGGCGCCGUCCGCCCCCCUGCCGCCCCGCACCGACCGCCCCACGCCCCCGGCCCCGACCCUCGGCCGCCCCGAGCCGUCGCCGCCAGGCCGCGCCCCUGCCGCCGUCCCGCGCCCGCUCCUCCGUCACCCCUCCGGUAAGUUUAUGUUGCCGCUACACAUCGUAAAUUAGAGUAUGCAUGAAAAUGGAAAUUAAAUGUGAAAAUACUAGAGNNNNNNNNNNNNNNNNNNNNNNNNNNNNNNNNNNNNNNNNNNNNNNNNNNNNNNNNNNNNNNNNNNNNNNNNNNNNNNNNNNNNNNNNNNNNNNNNNNNNNNNNNNNNNNNNNNNNNNNNNNNNNNNNNNNNNNGCUUACCAGGGAUCUAAUAAAAUGAUCACGUACACAUCCUCGGGUGGGAUUAGGACCUAUCUUUACCUAGUAGACAAUAUAGGAGCGUGUAUAUGCCAUGUGAAUUUUGUAUUACUUAUUUAAAUGGUAGAGGAUGGAGGAUCGUCAGUGGAUGUACACGGGUCGCACUAGUCAGAAUACGUUGACCAAUGAAUGGCUUGACAAGACGGAUGCUUUCUUGGAACGGGCGUUUGCAAGUGUCAAUGGAGCUCGAUCGACUUGGUGUCCGUGCAGCAAAUGUGGAAACAUGCGUCGGCAAACCAAGCUGGAGAUGGGCAAACAUCUGGUGAAGAACGGAUUUACGUCAGACUACACCAGGUGGAUCUACCAUGGUGAAUAUGACCGUGGGAGAGAGGAGGUCUUGAGACAACGAAUCGAGGAAUUUGAUGAUGAUGCCGGGGUGGGAGAUAUGUUGAAUGACUUUCAUGAAGCACACUUCGAAGAGGCACGUAGGGAGGAGGAUCCAGAGGCUACCGCUAAGGCUUAUUACGAAAUGUUGUCUGCGGCACAGCAACCCCUUCACGGCCAUACCAAGGUUUCUCAGCUAGAUGCCAUUGCACGCCUAAUGGCUGUGAAGUCUCAGUUUAGUUUGAGUCGAGACGCGUUUGAUAUUAUGUUGACAGUUUUUGGAAGCCUGCUCCCGGUUGGUCACAUCUUGCCAAAGAGCAUGUAUGAGGCACAGAAACUCCUUCGUGCACUUAAGAUGCCAUACGAGCAUAUACAUGCAUGCCCGAAGGGAUGCAUCUUAUUUAGGAAAGAGUAUGCGGAAGCAAAAUACUGUGUGAAGUGUGAAUCGUCUAGAUUUCUGGAGGUUGAUUCGGGUGACGGUCAGAAAAAGCAGCUCGCAAUUCCUGUGAAGGUUCUACGGUAUCUUCCUUUCAUACCGAGGAUCCAACGGCUUUUCAUGACUGAAGAAUCCGCAAAACAGAUGACAUGGCACAAAAAUGGCCGUCGCUAUAAUCCAGAGAAGCUGGUACACCCAUCCGAUGCUGAAGCCUGGAGAAGCUUUGAUGCGAUUUAUCCUGCAAAAGCUCUAGAGGCCCGUAACGUACGCGUUGCGUUGGCAACUGAUGGGUUCAAUCCCUAUGGAAUGGCGGCCGCCCCGUACACCUGUUGGCCCAUUUUCGUUAUCCCACUGAAUCUCCCACCCGGCGUCCUAUUUCAACGACAUAAUAUAUUCUUGUCGUUGAUAAUUCUAGAGCAUCCGGGAAAUAAUAUGAGUGUGUAUAUGGAGCCUCUGAUUGAUGAUUUGCUCCGUGCUUGGGAGGAAGGAGUAUGGACCUAUGACCGAUGCACAAAGACAAACUUCAAGAUGCAUGUUUGGUACCAGUACUCACUGCAUGACUUGCCGGCAUAUGGGAUUUUCUCCGGAUGGUGUGUUCACGGGAAGUUCCCUUGCCCAGUAUGUAAAGCAUCUUUGAAGUUUAUUUGGUUGUCGAAAGGGGGCAAAUAUUCAUCGUUUGACAAACAUCGACAAUUCCUCCCUCCUGACCAUCCAUUUAGACGAGACAUGAAGAACUUUACCAAAGAUGUUGUAGUUACAGCCCCCGCACCGCCGAUGAUGACAGGGGCCGCAGUUCGUGCUCAGUUAGACGCUCUUGAGUUCAAUAAUGAAGAAGGUGGUUUUUUAGGAUAUGGCGAGCAACAUGCUUGGACGCAGAAGUCGUGCUUGUGGAAGCUUCCAUAUUUUGAUGAUCUACUUGUUCCACAUAACAUUGAUGUAAUGCACACGGAAAAAAAUAUCGCCGAGGCAAUUUUUGGUACUAUAAUGGACAUUCCUGACAAGACAAAGGAUAAUGUUAAGGCUAGAGUGGAUCAAGCGACAUUGUGCAACAGACCACAGCUAAACAUGGCGCCUCCAAGAGCUGGCAAGUCAUGGAGGAAGCCUAAGGCCGAUUUCGUUCUGACGAGGGCUCAAAGGAGGGAGGUUCUAGAAUGGUUCCAAACAUUAAUGUUCCCUGAUGGCUAUGCAGCGAACUUGAAGAGGGGAGUGAAUUUAGCAACUAUGCGAAUCAACGGGCUCAAGAGUCAUGAUUACCAUAUAUGGCUUGAGCGCCUCCUUCCGGUGAUGGUUCGAGGCUAUGUCCCUGAGCAUGUGUGGCAGGUGCUAGCGGAGUUGAGCAAUUUCUUCCGCCGGCUUUGUGCGAAGGAGUUAUCUCGUACCGUGGUUGCAGAAAUGGAAACAAUGGCGCCUGUGUUGCUUUGUAAGUUGGAGAAGAUCUUUCCUCCAGGGUUCUUCAAUCCAAUGCAGCAUAUGAUUCUACACCUCCCAUAUGAAGCACGAAUGGGGGGGCCUGUGCAGGGUCGUUGGUGCUACUCAAUUGAGAGAUGUCAAAAGGUUCUUCGAACUAAAUGUAAGAAUAAGUGCAAAAUUGAAGCAUCCAUUGCAGAGGCAUACAUUCUGGAGGAGGUGUCAAACUUCACAUCGAAAUACUACGCUGAGAACCUUCCUAGUGUGCAUAAUCCACCUCCUCGUUACAAUGCUAGCGAAGAUGAAUUAAGCCUUAGCAUUUUCCGAGGGCAACUCGGAAGUGCAAGUGGUGCGACCCGCAAGACCCUUAAUCAUGAAGAGUGGCGCUCUAUCAUGCUAUAUGUGUUGACCAACCUAUCUGAAGUGGAGCCGUACAUGAUGUAAGUCACCGACAAACUUAUUUCGACGUAUUAAUGGUAUCUCUUGCCUAAACGUAUCUUUCUCCUUGGCAUAGGCAAUUUCAUCGUCAAUUCUGGCGUAAAUCAAGGCAACCGACCCCGCACGAAGCUGAGACUCUUCUUAAAGAGGGUGCGGGAAAUGGAAUGCCCGAUUUCAUUUCUUGGUUCAAACAGAAGGUAAAAUUUCAUUUCCGCGAACAUUCUAGAUACUCGUGCAUACGAUUAAUAUAACGAACCGCCCUGUUCGUACUUGCAGGGCCGAACCGAUGCGUCUAUGAAUGCCGAGUUGAGACAGGUUGCCAAUGGCUGUGACUAUAGGGUCAGGUCGUUUGCCGGUUAUGACGUCAACGGAUAUAGGUUUCACACAACAAGGCACGAGCAGAGUCGGCCCAAUCGAAGAACCACAAAUACCGGAGUUUUCACGCCAGGCUCCGAUGGAGUCGAGUACUACGGAAGAAUUGAAGAAAUAUACGAACUCACUUUUCAUGGGUGUAAACCUCUUAAUCCAGUUAUAUUCAAAUGUCAUUGGUUUGAUCCAUCUGUCGUGAGACGGGCCCCUAACCUUGGGCUAGUCGAAAUUCGACAGUCAUCCAGGUUACCAGGAGACGAUGUCUAUAUUGUGGCUCAACAGGCCACGCAAGUUUAUUAUUUGUCAUACCCGUGCCAAACCGACAGCCGUCUUAAGGGUUGGGAUGUUGUGUACAAGGUAUCACCACACGGUAAACUACCUGUACCAAACAAUGAAGAUUACAAUAUAGACCCCGACACGUACGAAGGAGAGUUAUUCCAACAAGAUGGGCUCGAAGGGAGUUUUGUGAUAGAUUUAACCGAAGCGAUCGGAAUGGAAGUAGACAACGAGAGGGUUGCUGCAGAAGACGGUGGAGACGAGGUUCAGAAUGUGAAGGACUUAGAAUUACUUCAACGAUUACAGUUAGAUAAUGACAGUGAUGACGACAUUUCUUCUUCGGAGCACGAGCUUGACUAUAUCGACACGCGUGAUAGUGAUGAUGAGACUUAUGAUCCAGCUAAUCCCGAUCAUGAUGAUUAUUUCUAAUACAUGUAUGAUUCGUAAUAAUUUAGCUAUAAUUACUUGUAAUUUGCAUAUAUUUCUAAUUAUGUUUUGUUUGUCUAUGCUGACUCGUGUACUCUUUUUAAUUGCAGGUCAUCAAGCAAUGGUGGGCGGUAUCAGGAAGCUCACGUCGAUUUGCGAGAGACUGGCCGCGGCAGGGACUGGUUCAGGGUCAGGGUCACGUUCAGUCUCGGGUCGAGGGAGGCGUCGAGGCAGGCCUCGACGUAGGGUUGAGGAGGAGGAGGAGGAGGAGGAGCAGGAGGUGGUCCAGAGGCCUCGAGGGAAAGGUAAAGCGGCGAGGCCCCCGUCGCCUGAACCUGAGGAGGAGGAGGAGGAGGAGGAGGAGGAGGAGGUACCUUCCGCACACUCCUCUGGGGACGAGGAGGCGGAGGAGGAGGAGCAGCAGGAGCAGGAGGGGGAUGGGGAGGCAGGGGAUACCCAGGCCAAGAUAUGGUUGCGAGGUCCCUCAUCCCUCCCGAAGCGGCCGAUACCUGAGCAUUUACGCCCGCUCAUUAAACCGGUUGGGAUCAAGUAAGUAACUUUAAAUAUUCUUGAAAUUGUUCUUAUGUUGUAAGUUACAAAAAAUAAUAAUUCAUAUUAAUUACUUGUGCAGGAGUUGGGUUAAGCUCAGCGGGGGUGACCACAACCGUAAGGCCAACGGGAUCCUUGGCCUUUUGUGCAGGGUUCACUUCCCUGGCUUGGUGGUGUACGCCGGACAGCUGCAGCCGGCCUACACGUGGGACCACUACGUCGCCGCCCCCGACGUCCCUGAUCGUCAACAAAGAAGAUUCCCCAACAUAGCGGAGCGGGUCAAGGCCGAGCUGUGGGUAAGUACUCCUCGUACUAAAUUGCUCAAUACAUCACUACUUUCGACAUUCUUGAAAUAAUAAUUGUUUACGCGUGUAUAUGCAGGACUUCUAUAGAUGCCAGGAGGGGUUCGAGGCCAAGGCGAAGGCCGUCUGUGAUGUAGCCGCCAAGAAGCUCGUGAGGGACAUGCAUUACGAGGCGCGCAUCCAGGCCAUCAUAGAGUUCAACGCUCAAUACAAUCAUACGAAGGUUAGAAAAGAGGAGGCAAGAACAAUGAACCUGACUAAGGAUCAAUUCAUGAGGGUAAGUAAAGAACGUUGAUGCUUACUAUUUAUGAUUAAUUAGGCUCAUUUUCUUUUUCAUACGUCACACGCUUGAUGAUGUAGGUGCCUCCGUGGUGGUGUCGUGCGCAUAUGCCGUGCUGGGAGAGGAUGGUCGACGUGUGGUUGGAGCCCGGGUGGUUGGAGACCCACCUUUCUUGCCGGCAGCGGCGUUUGCAGAUGCCGACUGCAUCACACCAUCAAGGCAGCCUAAGCCUUGAUGAAUAUAGAGAAAAAUGGGUACGCAACUUCAAUUCUUUAUUGUAACGUUUAGUUCUACGUAAUUUUUAAUAAUUUUGUAUUUUGCCGCAGUCGGCGUCACAUGAUGGCCGACCUUGCUCCCAGCUCAAGGCAUGGGUCCUCUCCAAAAAGGGCAAGGCGACGGCCGAUAUAGAUUUCAACCCAGACGACCCGUCCGAGGCGUACAGCCACCCUAGCAUAUACAGCCGCGUCAGCGAGUAUACAAAGAUGGCUAGGGAGGUUCACGGGCCAGACUUCGAUCCGAGCUCCGAGGACAUUGAUGGAGAAAUCGUGAUGAGGGUGGGAGGAGGCAAGAAGCAUGGCCGAUAUUGGAUUGGCGACGGCGUCAUCGACACGGCCUCUACUCCCACUCUCUCCCAGAUCCGAGCUAGGAGCACGGACUCGAGCCCGGCAGUACGCCCACGACCCACCGCUGCACACUUCCAGAUGGAGGCUCUACAGGUUCUUUCUCUUCCAUUCAUCGUUCGUUUGUUGUUGUACUUUAGCUUUGCAUUAUAACAUUGCAAUGAAAUAUUGUAGGCCCAGGUGGAAGAAUCAAGGAAGAAACAAGAGGAGAUGGCGGCGCAGAUGGAGGAAAUGCGGCGGAGGAUGGAGGAGGAAAACCGGAUUAGGAUGGAGCAGAUGUUCCAGUACAUGCAGAACUUUGCUACGAGCAUGGGACAGACUUUGCCUCCGCCACCGCCGAUGAUGUUCCCUCCGCCUCAGCCACCCACGACUACUCCUGUGAGUCACUUGACACAUUGUGUUUAAGAUUCAAUAGUUUAAAUUUGACAACUUUAGAUGUUACCUCAGAAUGUCCUAUCCUAUGUGCAGAAUCAAUCGGCGGCUUCGAAUAAUGAAGAUCAAGAUUUGUCGCAGUGGUCUCCUUGGCCUCCACGGAAGUAGACUUGAUUGUGAACAAUGUGGAAACUAAAUUGUGAGAAGAACUUGGAUUUAUGGAUUAUUUCGUGCUUAUGUUGAACUAUGCCUGUGGUGUUUAUGAAUUAUGCCUGUGGUUGUGAAUUAUUCAUGUGGUUGUUUAUUACAAAUGCCUGUGAUAUGUGUAUUGUGAAUUGAGAGGGGUCCGUUAUACGUGGCAAAAUUUCGAAAAAGGGGCGGUUCUGGUCACUUUGCCGAGUGUUACACUCGGCAAAGAUGGGCCUUUGCCGAGUGUCGUGACCAUAGCACUCGGCAAAGGGGCAUUUCCCAGGUGUAGGAAAGGUCCUUUGCCGAGUGCUAUGGUCAAGGCACUCGGCAAAGUGGGCGGCUUUGCCGAGUGCCCUAGCGCCGGCACUCGGCAAACAUAUCCGACUUUGCCGAGUGCCCGGGAGCCGGCACUCGGCAAAGGGACAGUGUUUGCCGAGUGCCGGGAGCCGGCACUCGGCAAAGGGACAGUGUUUGCCGAGUGCCAGGCGCGUGGCACUCGGCAAACUCGCCGUUACCCGACGCCGUCAGUCCGCGGUUCGCCGAGUCCAUCUAUUCGCCGAGUGUUUUUUGGCCGUCGGCAACAUGUUUGCCGAGUGUCCGAGUUUUGACACUCGGCAAACUAGGCUUUGCCGACACAAUAUUUGCCGUGUGCCCUUUGCCGAGUGUUACACUCGGCAAAGGCUUUGCCGAGUGUUUUCGUGCCUUUGCCGAGUGCCCCAGGCACUCGGCAAAAGUUCUGUCUCCCGUAGUGUGAUGCCGUGCGUUUGAGCAGCCUUUUUUUUGUUUUCUAGCUUUUUUUUAGAUUCUCACAAAUACGGAAAUAUUUCAAAAUCUGGAUCCAUAGCUUGACGUCAUCCACACUGUCCACCGUCGUGUUCUUCUCCGUUCUCCCUUUACUCCUCCCCACCGUCCGGCUCUUCGUGUCGUCGUCAGCCUCCCGCCGGUCCUCCCUGCCUUCCACCCGCCGCUGGCCCUCGCCGCAGGGGGCCGCGCCGGCCAGCAGGGUGCCACCUGCACUUGCCGCCAGGCGCUGCCGACCCACCAGCCGCCGCCUCCUAGCCACCGGGCGGAGUGGGCACAAUGUGCCGAUGACACCCCACUUCACCUCCGUGCCCUCUCUCGUUGGAAGGUAAAUUUCUUAUUAGUUUUAAUAGUGAGAUAUAUAGAAUAGGUAGGUAGAAUUGUUAAAUAGAAUUUAGAUAGAUAGAUAGAUAGAAUAGUUAGAUAGUUAGUUUGAAAGAUAAUUAGAUAGAAUUUUCAUCUUAUGUAAUUUUCUUUUUAGAUAUAUAUAGUUAGAUAGAUUAGUUAGACAGAUAGUUAGAUAGAAUUUUAUUCAUAUGUAAUUUUUUGACUUAGAUAGAUAGAAUAGUUAGAUAGAUAGUAAUAUAGUUAGUAUGAUAGUUAGUUAAAUAGUUAUAUACUAAGUUUAUAAACUUGAUGGACAACGUAGUGAGCAUAUAUCAUGAAGGUACCAUGGAAAGAGAUGAUUAUGGAUGUGUUAAGUUUGUUAACAUGCAAAGCAUGGUUGUGUUAUUAAUUGAGAAGCCCUCAUUUAGUGAGUUGGUUGCAAGUGCUCGGGAGGAGCUAUAUUGCCACGAAGAUGAUGACAUCACAGUGGAGGGCGUACUUCACCUAGUUUCCCCUUUCAACAUCCAAAGGAAGAUGAUCCCAAUUUGGUGUGCAGAUAAGUGGGAGAAUGAUGUGAGAUCGGUUAUGAAGCGCCAGUUCUAAAGUUUGGACGUGGUUGUGCGUCGGGUGUUAGUUGAUCCCAUCCGUCAUCGGUUUUCCCGACCAAUGGGUCAGCAUGCACACUUUGACCCUUUCAUCCCAGAACCUAUUAUGGAUGUGGAGGUUGCACGUACGGUUCCCGAUGCUGAAUCUGCCCCCAAUGAGGUAGUUGGAGAUGCUUGUCGGACACUUGAUGCUGUGGUAAAACCUCCUCAUGAGAUCCCUUUGACACAAAAUCGUCCGAGUAAGUGUCUUAUCGGCACGCUUCUUGGGAGCUAACCUCCUUCAUUACAUCAAUUUUUUUUCUUCCUUUCUCAUAUUUCUAUCAAUGUUUUAGGAGACAUUCCUGAAAAUGUGGAUGUGCCCCCAGUUGCUACUCAACUGCACUGUGGAGAAGGAUUACGUGGCUCUAAUAGUGUUGAAAUUAUGAAUGAUUCGGAUGCAUAUGAGAUGGGAAUGUAUCUUGAUUCUGAUAAUGAUCGCCCUAUUGGAGAGAUGACAGAGAGUGAUGUUGAGAUGUUCAGGCGUAUCUUUCCUGGCCUUCGUGAUCCAAGAGUUCACGAGUUCAGUGAUCUUUCUCAUUCUGAUCAUGCGUGUGUAGAGGGAAGUGAUGAUGAGCUCCUAGAAGCUCCUGAGGCUGGACCUAGCAUAGUGAUUGAGGAGGGUAGGGUAUUCAAGGAUCUCCCCACAUUGAAGAGGUGGUUACAGGCGUUUGCAGUGAUACAGAAGAGACCUUAUAAGGUCUUGCAUUCAUAUGCAGAGCACCGUUACACAGUUGUGUGUGACAAGUAACAGUGCCCAUGGACGAUUUGUGCAAGGAAGAAAAAGAUCACCGAGAAGUGAAAGAUCACAAAAGUUGUUGGGCCACACAAUUGUGCUAACACUAGAACAUCGAGAAGUGGAAGAUCACUGGAUAGAAUGGUAAGUCAAGUACCUUACUUUCCCAUGUUAAAUUACUUAGUGAUUUACUGGUUUACUUUUUAUGGACUUUGUGGACUCUUGUUAUGAACUAUUUUGGACUUUCAUUAUGGACUAUUGUGCAUAUAGACAUUCAUUAAUGAAGUUUUGUGUGUAUGAACUAUUGUGGACUUUCAUUGUGAAUUAUUAUGUGUAUGAACUAUUGUGGACUUUUAUUAUGAACUAUUGUAGAUUUUCAUUAUGAAUGUGGCAUAUGUUUGUAUGUUUGAACAUGUUGUAUUCAGGUAAAAUAUUCAUCUCAUAAUUGUGUAUGAAUUACAUCCAAAAAUACGGGAAAUUCUGCCGAAAUUUCACAAAAAUAUAGGAUUGCAUUUCGCUUACAAAAAUUCUCCACCAUGUAAGCUUAUGUGCAUUAGGCAUGUGCUCACAUAUUUCUCGCAAAGAAAACGACAUCGCACAUACUACUAGGGUGUCCAUACUUAAAGUGCAUUACAUGACAACAUAAUGAAAAGUCCAACAGUAGACAACAUGUUUCAUAAAUAAACUAUCAGACUACAAGUAAUGGAGACUACUGAGUGCAACGAGUCCACUUUCCCUUCCUCAAUCGCUGCUUUCGCUCGGCGCGCAUGCUCAAGCUUCUUCUCCCUCUCCUACCUAUCGAUAGCAACACACCUCCUUUCCUCCUCUUCCUUGUGCUCCUUUUAUGCAGCCUCCUCUCUGAGUCUCUUCUCCAUCAUCUCCUUCCUCUCUGCUUCCAACCGCAAUAUUUCUUGUAUCUCCUCCUUGUCUUCAGGCUUGAUCUCGGUGUUGAUCCACUGCUCAAAAUCACAGAGCGGUGCAGGGGUCUACAAAAAAUGCAAUUGUUAUAAAAUAAAAAAAAUCAUGUAAAAUAAUUAUAACCCAACAACAAUUCCUCACAAUCUUGUUAAUGCAGUGUUGACGAAGUGUAGGCUCAAACUUAAAAUUAGAACACAUUUAGUACCUCUACCUAUACGUGUCAUCUGCAUCGGACUUGGCUACCUUGCAAGGAUCGCUGCAAAAGCACAUGGGUAUUGGAACACCACUAGGCAGAGGCAAUGGGUCAAAGGCAUUUCCGGUCAUCCGGGCAUAACUACAAUUUAGUCAUUUUCGUUGUAAAAACCGAAAGCAGUUAACAUUAAACCUACACCUAGGGUUUCCAUUUGAUCCACAAGAAUGAAUCCAUAACAUAACUACGUGCGCUGACCUUACCUUUGUUUCCUAGCUUUUCCACGCCUUGGCAUCCUAUGGUUGCACGAAACCCUAUGUUCAAAAAUCUGACUAAUAUAUAGCGAAUCGAUGUGAAAAAAAACUUGGAGGGAGUGGAUAUCUUGCUCUCGAAGAUCCAUGGAUCAAAUAAAAGUUUCUAAGAUUUAAUAUGCCGAUUCGUGGUGUAGGGCGAAGGGGGGAGAGAAAAAACCUGAGAGGGAGGAGAAAGAGGAGGAAGAAGCUUCGGGCAAGAAGAAAGGGUGCGGCCUUAUGGUAGCAGGUUUGGCUCCAGGCUGGCUGGCACAAGGCCACCACUAUGUCAGCUGCCCCGUCAGCAGCUGUUGAGUGACCUAGGUGUUGGGAUAGCCGGCGCCGAGAUGCCUAAGCUUGGCGCCAGCGUGGAUGGCGCCAAGUUAUGGGUCCAGAUUUUGAAAUGUUUCCGCCAGAUGCGUAUUUGUAAGAAUCUUUCAGAAAAAAGGCUAAAAACAAAAAAGUUAGAUGUUUGAGCCGCUCCACAGCCCUUACCAUCACCGACUAUAAAAGGCAGGGUCGAGCGCCUCUCCGCAACCGAACUUGCCGAGCCGCCAGCUCCGCUGCUCAACUUCUUGCAAUUCUGCCUGCAAUUUAUUUAUGGAGUGAUCGAGAAAUUGAGCGAGUUUGGAGGCUAGUGGUUGAUACGUUUUUUGCAUCGAAUUGACAUUGAAUUAGUUUUCUUUGAACUGCCAUUUCAAAUGUUUUUUCUAUAGUUGCAUGUGAAACACGUCUAUUGCCGCUAAUCAAUCUGUCGACGCUUUUUUGGGCCAACACAUGAAUGUACGCGAUUGUGCGGCGCGUGGAGGGGCUCACUGUAGCACGUCGAUGCAUGCCGGUUUGACCACUUACGGUCUGACCGGUUGUUAGGCCACCUAGUAGUAGAUUGGAAAAUUUAGGGAAAAAGAAUAAAGGAAAAGACAAUAAAUAGUAGCUUGGUUUUUUUCGAUUAGGUUGGAUGCCCUCAAUCGGCCGAAUCCCUUUAUAUUUCUAAGGAGGGAAGGUCUUUAUAUUUAUAGGAAGGGAAGGUCUUACCCAUGAGGGAGUCAAAAUCCUAAUAAAAAUCGUGCUAAAUUAAAAGUUCUACUCGGUUUACACUGAGCCAGAUAGGUCAGACCAGCCUGGGCAACCUGUCGGACCAGUCUGCCCGGGUGUAUAUCUUGCGAAGGUCGUAUCUCUCUCAUCCGAACUUCAAAUCGGACGUUCUAUAUAAGAAUCUUGAUCUACUCAACAAGAUACAGGAAAUGGUAGAGUCCAAUCUUCAUUUGGAGCACUUUGAUCCAACCAGUCCGACUGGUGGCAUCAGGACUGGUGGCAUCAGCUGGUCUGACCUGUCUGUACGGGGGUGCUGAUCUUUCCGAGGGCAUAACUCUCAGGUCCGAAAUCCAAAUCGGACGUUCCAUAUAUGCAUUUUGAUCGCCUUGAUGAGAGAUAUGUCCUGGUGAAGUCCAAUUUGCUUUUUGAGAACUUUCCCAAACCGGUUUGACCGCUUGGAAGACCGGUCUAAACAUGUCUGAUCAGAUCUAUCCAGACCUGCCACUUUUCGGCAUCAACACGAGUUUUCCAGUAGUGACAACACAACAACUGUAUUACCCACGGCAUGAAAAUAACACAUAACAAGAAGCUAUGUACCACUAAGCAACACAAUCAAUACUCUUGCAAAGGGGGCGAAACACCAAAGGAAAUGGCGAUGAAAUUGAAACCCCGCCAACAGAGCUUUGCUUGAGCACGUACAGCUCUUUAUUACAGAAACAGUAUAGGAUACGAUCGAUGUGCCAUCAAGCAUAAAGCAGCAACACUUAUUUCUUUUCUCAAAGCAAGCAAGAACAGAACUGGUCAUCAAAGAAGUUGACGGGAUUCAUUCAUUCAGAUGGCCGCCGCGGUCGGUGUGCAGCGGCGCUUGCAGAAGUUAGUGAGGACGUCGACGCACCGGUAGACAGGCGCCUCGGUGGUGCUGGUGUACUUGACGCAGUUCAUGCACGCUGGGUGGCAACCCUGGAACGAGAUGUCCAGGCAACUGCAAUCUGGUGGAUUCUUCCUGUUGCAGAAGCCGCACUGGUUGCAGCACGGCCAGGAGCUCGCGUUCGCGGCGUCGUCAGCGACCGCCGCUCCUCCCUCCUCCCCGCUCCCUGCGGCCACCAAAGAUUAGUCGACGCAUCCAGUUGAGUUGAGUUGAGUGUCAAACUGUUAAUUUCUCACCUUUGCUGAGGAGUGGCAGAGUUGCGAGGACGGCGAGGACAGCCAGUGUGACGAGCAACACCUGAGGUCUCAUGCUUGUUUCUCUUGGUAUGUAGGAAUACAGGGUGUUGCCAGGUUUGUUGUGGUUGGACUUCCUUCCUACUGAUGGGUGAUGGUUAUCUGUAUGAGGCUAGAGGCCUUAUUAUAAGAGGAGGGGGUGCCAUGACAGCUGUGUGCCUGCCAAGUUAAGGCUAGCUUGGCACGGCUCUUGAACAAUGGCUUUAGCUCUAGCUUAUCUAAUGAUCUUGUAUGUUGGAGAAACAAUCUUUUAAGAUAGAUGGAAGAGGUCAAAUAUCCAAAAUACCCUUAUUUAUUUCCUUUCUUUUCUCUUUUCUUUUAAUUUCUUUUUCUUUCCCGGUCAUUUUUCUUCCUUUCUCAUUUUUUCCUUCACCAUUUAUUUUUCUUCCUUUCUUAUUUCCUCUUCCUUCUAUCCUUAUCUUCCUUUCCUCAGCUCCUGCAGAACGCCGCCCCUGCCUCUCAUGACCAUGGCCAUCACCCGCAGCUCUUCCGGCUCGACGUCCCUGCCUCCCCACUCCUCCAACUCGACGCCCUAUCUCCCCUAGCCCACUCCCUCUCCUCAGCCCGAGCGCCCAACAACCCCUUCCUCCCAGCACGUCCGGCCUCGCUUAGCAGUUUGUGCGGCACGCCUGCAGCGUCGCUUGUGCAUCCAACGUGCUCGCCCCGUCCCGCCGUGCUCCACCCACCGCCGGUCAGGUCAGCACCGGCGUUACUCCGUCCGUGCCACUGCACCAUCCGCCACCGCCCACCAACACAGUGGUUUCAAGAAAUUUCAAACAAUUUAAAUAUUUGAUAAAUGAUUUCAAAGUUGUUUCAAACUUUUACAAGUGAACAUAAAUGUUAUUUAGUGAAUGUAAAAAAUAUAAUUUCAUACAUAACACAGAUAUUUUGACUAGUUAGUUCACAUGUCCCUAUAGGUUGAAACACCUCAUGAGUUAUAGGGUGAUCAUGACUUGGAUAUCCAUUUGAGAAAAACGUACUGUUACAAUAUCUCAAAAUUAUGUUAAUAUUUUUUAAUCCAUGUUGGUUCACUGCUGAAGUGGUUACAUGCAAAAUAUCAUGAAAAACAUUCCCCCUUAUAUUUGAUGUUUUUGGAGCGUUCCCGAGCUAAUCUCGGUCAAGCUCCAAAUGGAAGGUUGACUAAGAUAGAAGAUGCCCGCGGUCUUAAAUGGGUACUUGCGUUGCCCGCCAGCACAGAGGCUAGUAUGCUUACGAGUUCUCCCCCGCAGGUCCAAGGAAGAUUUGUGCUGGUGGGUGCCAAUCAAACCCACCAGCACACUAAUUUACCUGUGUGAACACAAAUUAAAUCUGGCGUAGUGUUUUCUUAGUAUCUUUUGCUGUGGUGAGGCAUGUGAGUACUGCUGGCACGAUCAUCAGCUUGUCCUGGGCUGCUGCUAAGCAUGCACCACGAGCCAAAGGUUUUCGGGAUGCUCAGCUCAUAAGGAAUUGACUGAAAGUGACUGUUCGUUGUGUGAGCUAGCUGUCUCCACUGGUGGCUUCUGAAUUAUUGGUCCUAUAUACAUGCACCACGCGCAACAUAAGGGAAAAAAAGUCUGCAACAUGUGCGGCACUGGAUAAUUGAGCUAGCAAUAACAGUGUUGUACGCUUGUCUAUGAGGGAUGCAUGGUGCCUAACAAUCACAAUGAUCUAUACUGACUACUCCCUCCGUUCCAAAUUAUAAGUCAUUCCAAGAAUCUUGGAGAGUCAAAGCAUCUCAAGUUUGACCAAAAUUAUAGAAAAAAUUAUAAAGAUUCAUAACAUUAAAUAGUUAUACUAUGAAACUAUAAUUGAUGAAGAAUCUAAUGAUACUUUGUUGACAUCACAAAUGUUAUUAUAUUAUCAUAUAAAUUUAGUCAAACUUGAGAUACUUUGACUCUCCAAGAUUCUUAAAAUGACUUAUAAUUUGGGAUGAAGGGAGUACAUCAUAGCUUGUCUGCUUGCCUAGUGCGCGUGAACCAUGAGGGCAGGACUAGUGGCUGCACACUACUCCACGAGGGUAGGACUGGUGGCUGUGCAUCGACAGAAUUCACUAUUCGACACUAAAAAAACUAAUCGUGACACUAAACAAAUUUUGGUUCCCGUUUGAUACUGAGUUCAAUUUUCAUUCUUUAUAUAACAUUCUGUUGGAUUUUUCAUAUGAGAACCAUUAAAUGCCCGAUGAAAAGACGAUUUUGCCCUUGUGAGCCCCACCACCCUUCUCCGAUCUACUCACCUUCUCCAUCCGCUCUAUUGUACCUCCCCCACUGCUCCAUCCAUCCUCCUUAUUUAUUUCCAAGAUACCCUUAUUUAUUUCCUUUCUUUUCUCUUUUCUUUUAAUUUCUUUUUCUUUCCCGGUCAUUUUUCUUCCUUUCUCAUUUUUUCCUUCACCAUUUAUUUUUCUUCCUUUCUUAUUUCCUCUUCCUUCUGUCCUUAUCUUCCUUUCCUCAGCUCCUGCAGAACGCCGCCCCUGCCUCUCAUGACCAUGGCCAUCACCCGCAGCUCUUCCGGCUCGACGUCCCUGCCUCCCCACUCCUCCAACUCGACGCCCUAUCUCCCCUAGACCACUCCUUCUCCUCAGGCCCGAGCGCCCAACAACCCCUUCCUCCCGGCACGUCCGGCCUCGCACCUCCGGUCCACUUAGCAGUUUGUGCGGCAUGCCUGCAGCGUCGCUUGUGCAUCCAACGUGCUCGCCCCGUCCCGCCGUGCUCCACCCACUGUCGGUCAGGUCAGCACUGGCGUUACUCCGGCCGUGCCACUGCACCGUCCACCACCGCCCACCAACACAGUGGUUUCAAGAAAUUUCAAACAAUUUAAAUAUUUGAUAAAUGAUUUCAAAGUUGUUUCAAACUUUUACAAGUGAACAUAAAUGUUAUUUAGUGAAUGUAAAAAAUAUAAUUUCAUACAUAACACAGAUAUUUUGACUAGUUAGUUCACAUGUCCCUAUAGGUUGAAACACCUCAUGAGUUAUAGGGUGAUCAUGACUUGGAUAUCCAUUUGGGAAAACGUACUGUUACAAUAUCUCAAAAUUAUGUUAAUAUUUUUUAAUCCAUGUUGGUUCACUGCUGAAGUGGUUACAUGCAAAAUAUCAUGAAAAACAUUCCCCCUUAUAUUUGAUGGUUUUGGAGCGUUUCCCGAGCUCCUCUCGGUCAAGCUCCAAAUGGAAGGUUGACUAAGUUAGAAGAUGCCCGCGGUCUUAAAUGGGUACAUGCGUUGCCCGCCAGCACAGAGGCUACUAUGCUGACGAGUGGUCCCCCGCAGGUCCAAGGAAGAUUUGUGCUGGCGGGUACCAAUCAAACCCGCUAGCACGCUAAUUUACCAAUGUGAACACAAAUUAAAUCUGGCGUAGUGUUUUCUUAGUGUCUUUUGCUGUGGUGAGGCAUGUGAGUACUGCUGGCACGAUCAUCAGCUUGUCCUGGGCUGCUGCUAAGCAUGCACCACGAGCCAAAGGUUUUCUGGAUGCUCUGAAAGUGACUGUUCGUUGUGUGAGCUAGCUGUCUCCACUGGCGGCUUCAGAAUUAUUGGUCCUAUACACAUGCACCACGCGCAACAUAAGGGAAAAAAAGUCUGCAACAUGUGCGGCACUGGAUAAUUGAGCUAGCAAUAACAGUGUUGUACGCUUGUCUACGAGGGAUGCAUGGUGCCUGACAAUCACAAUGAUCUAUACUGACUACUCCCUCCGUUCCAAAUUAUAAGUCAUUCCAAGAAUCUUGGAGAGUCAAAGCAUCUCAAGUUUAACCAAAAUUAUAGAGAAAAUUAUAAAGAUUCAUAACAUUAAAUAGGUAUACUAUGAAACUAUAAUUGAUGAAGAAUCUAAUGAUACUUAGUUGACAUCAUAAAUAUAAUUAUAUUAUCAUAUAAAUUUGGUCAAACUUGAGAUACUUUGACUCUUCAAGAUUCUUGGAAUGACUUAUAAUUUGGGAUGAAGGGAGUACAUCAUAGCUUGUCUGCUUGCCUAGUGCGCAUGAACCAUGAGGGCAGGACUAGUGGACGCACACUACUCCACGAGGGCAGGACCGGUGGCCGUGCACCGACAGCAUUCACUAUUCGACACUAAAAAAUCUAAUCGUGACACUAAACAAAUUUUUGUUCCCAUUUGAUACUGAGUUCAAUUUUCAUUCUUUAUAUAACAUAUGAGAACCAUUAAAUGCUUGAUGAAAACACGGUUUUGCCCUUGUGAGCCCCACCACCCUUCUCCGAUCUACUUACCUUCUCCAUCCGCUCUAUUGUACCUCCCCCACUGCUCCAUCCAUCCUCAUGUCCAGGUGAGAGCUUAGGCACCAGGAGCUCACUACAGUUCUAUUUGUGUGGUUAUUGUCAUCGAGGAUGGUCGGGACAGUGGAGCUCCAAGGGAGGGGGGUCAUGGCAGGCUGAUGGCUCGAGUCACCAAGGAAAGGAUGAUUCCCGGCGGGGUUGAGCUCGUCCUAGCCAACAAGCAGGUCGGGGAGGUCGAGCGCAAGGUGAGGGAGGUUUGGGUGCGACGGAUUGGGUUUUGGCAGAGGUGGUGAGAAUUUGGCUGGCGAUGAGGUUCGGUGGCUGGUGGCAGUCGCAAGACAUGGAAUUCCCAGCACUAAGUAGUUUGUGAUUGGGCUGGAACUAGCCUGGUGUCGGGGAUACAUCCCCAAUACCCGCAAGGAAGGAAGAAGUCAGACUCCUACUAGGAUUCCCUUGUAAUCCGACUAGGACUCAUACCGUGUACUCCUACUAGGACUCCUCCUUGUAAUCCGACUAGUACUCUGCCCCCUGGAGUAUAUAAAGGAGGGUAAGGGUACCUAGCUCGGUAGGUCACACCUCAACACCCAAGCGUAGGGCGCAGUAUACAAAUACCCCCAAACAGGACGUAGGGUAUUACGCUACUCCGGCGGCCCGAACCUAUCUAAAUCCGUGUCUUGUGUCCUCGCUUUUACCUUCAAGUUCCAGGUCCGGCGAUCCCCCACUACACAUUCUGCUACCUCGGGUACCCCUUGGUAGACGGCCGAUAUAAAUCACCGACAUUGGCGCCCACCGUGGGGCAGCUCGUCGAGAUCAUCAGGCGAGCUUGAAGGACCUCAUCUUCAAGCCGGCGUUCGCUUUCAAAGCGGGCACAACCUUCGUCUUCGACUCCUGACUUUGCAUCACCGACGGCACUGGGUCCUUCCAAUGCUGCAUCAUCGACAACCAGGAGAAGAAGCGCCUCGACGGGAACUCUCUUCCACAAGAAGCAGAAAAUCUCAUUGAGAAAAUCGACAAAUUAAACCUUGGAUCAAGGUUCGACUGCAAACUCGUACUCCAACGGCGACUUCGGGUUCGACCAUGAUUCGAACUCGAACUCCGACGGCGACUACGGGUCUGACUACAACGCGGAGUCCGACAGCGACUCCAGGUCUGGCUACGACUAUGAGUCCGAUGACGACUCCGGGUUCGAUCGCAACACGGAGUCUGACGGCGACUCCAGCUUCAACUCCGACUCAAAGUCUAACAGCGACUCUGAGUUCGACUACAACUCAAAAGUCCGACUACAUUGCGAGCCCUCCGACGACUACAGGCGGCUCGUCGAUGAUUUCUUGGACUAUGUUGCGGGCACGCCGACGACCACGGUCGACUUGCCGACGACUCUGUUGACUACGGGCAGCUCGUCGACGACUUCAACUACGUUGCAAGCUCGCCGACGACUACGGGCGGCUCGGCAAUGACUUUGACUACUUUCCUCGACUACUUCGCUCGGCAACACAUUGAUGACUACUUCGUCAUGACGCUCGCCGACGACUUCUCCGAGUACGUCACGGCGCUUGCCGACUACUACGGGCAGCUCGCCGACGACUACUCCGACCACAUCGCGACGCUCGCUGACGACUACUACUCGUCUCGACUACAAGGCUAGUCGAGGGCGGAUUACAACUCGUCUUGACUAAAAAAUUAGUUGGGGCAAACUUCACAUCAUCGACAACUAGUCAGAAUCUCCUCCGACUAGUCGAUUUCGUUAACAACCAUUACGGCUUCAUCAACGACCAUCACGGCUUCGUCAAACAAUCAUCCACGAAUCAAGCUAAGUCACUUUUCUAAAUUAUUUUCCGGCUUACUUUCCGCUUGCGCGCAACACGCGCUCUACUCGCUGGAAACUCUCGCGCACAACAUGCGCUCUAUUCGCCGGAGGGCAGCAAACUCUUUCGCGCUACCUCGCUCUCUUUUUAUCGCAACAGUGACUAUUCCUUUUUGUCUUCUCUUAUGGUCACUACUCUUCUCGAGCAGAACAUGCCUUAACUCGUGAAAGCCUCAGGCGCAUCUGUCACGCCUAAGCCUAUACGUGUAUACGAGACAAAGGUCUCACACACGCAGUGGCAACGGCUACCCAGAGACUGAGAGUCUAAGCAUAACAGGCUAACUACUCAGGAAGAGUAUGACUAAAACAAGAGCUUGACUCGCAAUCAUGCAGUCUCUUUCUUGUCGCAGCAGCGACUACUCUCACUUUUGUCUUCUCUUAAGGUCACUACUCUUCUCGAGCAGAACACGCCUUAACUCGUGAAAGCCUCAGGCGCAUCUGUCACGCCUAAGCCCAUACGCGUAUACGAGACAACGAUCUCACACACGCAGUGGCAACAGCUACCCAGAGACUGAGAGCCUAAUCGUAACAGGCUAACUACUCGGGAAGAAUAUGACCGAAAUAAGAGCAUGACACAACAUUCAUAUUGAUCACUGAAUAAAUUUCAGCAGUUUCAAAAUCCUACAAAAAUGCUACAUAAUGUAUGCAUCUUUUCUUUCAGAUCGAGCUUCAGUGACACUAAGCAUGCCUCCAAUGGCACAGGCUAGUUCCCGAACUCGGGGGCUAAGCACCAAUCAGUACUCGGAAUAUCUCCAGUGGCUCAGCUAGCUCCCAGGCUCGGGGGCUGGAUGCCGCAAAACCACUCGACGUGGCUCCAACGACUUACCUGGCGCACAAGCUCGGGGGCUGGACGCCGCAAGACUACUCGAAUGAUGACCUGAGUGAAGAUUCAAGACCCUCGGGUUGAUUAUUCAAUCAAUCAAAGGCUCGGGGGCUGAUAAGCUACACCCAACAAUUGAUUUUUUCAAGUCAAAAGAGGAAGAUUCAAGAUUUUGACCCUCAGCCUGAUUCUGCGAUUCAACCUAAGGCUCGGGGGCUACUCCAUAUGGAGUGUGACUUUCACCGUCCUCCAUACAUGAAGACUUCAAUAUCAUGUUGAUCAAGACUUUGAGCACACCAUAGCCUCAUGGUGGCUUUGAGAAACAUUGAAAGAUUCAGUCUGACAAAGUACUCGAAGAGCACCAAAACUACCCGGCGAAUAUCUCAAGACUACUCGAAGACUGCUGCAUUCGACUAUGAAGCGCUCGGAGGCUUGUCAGGAAUACAUCCCCACUACCCGCAAGGAAGGAAGAAGUCAUACUCCUACUAGGAUUCCCCUGUAAUCCGACUAGGACUCAUACCGUGUACUCCUACUAGGACUCCUCCUUGUAAUCCGACUAGUACUCUGCCCCCUGGAGUAUAUAAAGGAGGGCAGGGGUACCUAGCUCCGUAGGUCACACCUCAACACCCAAGCGCAGGGCGCAGUAUACAAAUACCCCCAAACAGGACGUAGGGUAUUACGCUACUCCGGCGGCCCGAACCUGUCUAAAUCCGUGUCUUGUGUCCUCGCUUUUACCUUCAAGUUCCAGGUUCGACGAUCUCCCACUACACAUUAUGCUACCUCGAGUACCCCUUGGUAGACGGCCGGUAUAAAUCACCGACACCUGGGAGGGAGAUUGGAAUUUGGAGAAUUCUUGUGUGAGACCACGGGGCACCGUCUCAUACACCAGCCUUGCCGUGCUGAAAUCAGCGAGCUUCACGCCGUAGCCUUUGGUGUCGCAGCAGUCGAGGAGCACGUUCCGGCCCUUGACAUUCUUGUGCACGACGGCCACCCUCCUGAGCCCACACACCGAGCUCACUGUAACACCCAAAAAUUCCAUCAUAAACACAAUAUAAGCAACAUGUGGUCUAGCUCUUUAUUUUCUAAGAACUAAAUAAAAUACUAAUAUUAAAUUAUGGCCUUUAAAAAAUUAAAGAACACUUGAAAUAACUUUUUAGAGACAAGUGCUUGUUAGGGUUCUUCGUUUGCUUCCCUUUUUGUUUGCGUUUGCAAAAUUUUACAUGAUGUCACUGUCCUCGUCAUCCUCGGCACUGGCAGAGCGUCGUUGGGGCAUAGAGGACCAUGGCCCCCUUGCUUGGUAAAAAAAAAAAUCAGAAGAGCAAAGUGCAAAGGCCCAGUCCAAGUGCAGUCCGUGGCUUGUUGACACGUAAUUAAUAAAUCAAUAAAUCCCACAAGGCAUUAACCACAUAGGCACAAACAAACAUUGAAAACAAUAGAAAAAAAUAUUGAGCCAAUUCCAGCAACUAGCGGAUGAGACAACGACCUCAGCCGUCACCCCUUCGCAAGAUGGACACUUCCUUCACAGUUGACUCAUUGAGGUUGUCAUCGUCGGCCGUCGCCACUUGCCAGGGCUGGCGCCUUGCAGCCUGGUGCUAGAACUUUCAUCCUGAAGGUAUGGUUGCUUUUCUUCCUUCUUUUGUUUAUCUUCUAAGUUCUUAACACAUUAGAUCCGUAGAGUAUGCAGGCUACUAUUGCCUAAUUAGCUGGUAAUUUGUUGUCAAUUGAGAUCUAUUAUUAUUUCUUUUGAGAAAAUUGAGAUGUUUCGCUAGUUUAUUUGGCCCUAAUCCCCAAAUUGCAGAGUUUAUAUGAUUUUGUGGUUUUAUAACUAAAUACAGUUCUGCAAUUUGGUAGGUAGGUACAAAUAGGUAAAGAGAAGCCUAUUGAUUCAUUUUUCAAAAGCAAAAGAGAUGAACCAAUUGUGGACUGUCGAGCAGCCUCUGGUUCAAGCCAACCAAUUUCCCACCUAAAAUUUGCUUCACGCUCCGCCACGGAUCCUCGAUCCUCGGUGAGAAUUUUUAACCUCUUUGAAAAAGUCGGCGAUUGCGAAUCUCCACCUGCAUUUUUGAAAUGGAUUCUGAAAUAUUGUGGCGAAAUGUCCUUUUCUAAGUGGGCCUAGACCCAUAAAUUCGCGAGCUCCGCCCCACUCACCACUGCCACACCAUAACUCCGCCUGUGCUGUCGUGGCCACUUGCUCGCCUCGUCGCUCUCGCGCGUCACAGUAGCAGCAGUUCUUGAGGCGGUACGCUGCCUGCAAGCUAUGCGAGCCCGUCAGCUCGUCAGGCACAGUGCCUGCCUGCCGCUACGCUCCACCUCCCCACCACCACGCUGCAAGCCGACGCCCGCAAGCUGCCGCUCGGCCACAGCGCCGCCGCUGAUGCCGUGCCUUUGAGCAGCCUUUUAUUUGUUUUUUAGCUUUUUUUUUUUUGAAGAUUCUCACACAUGUGGAAAUAUUUCAAAAUCUGGAUCCAUAGCUUGACGUCAUCCACACUGGCACCAAGCUUACACGUCUUGGCACCAGCCGUUCUGGUGCCUAGGUCGUUGCGCAGCUGUUGAUGGGGCAGCUGACGUGACGGUGGCUUGGCGCCUGGCUGUUUAACACACGGCCUCCGCCUCUAACUUCUCCCACCGGCUGCCGCCUCCUAGCCACCGGGUGGAGUGGGCGCAGUGCGCCGAUGACACCCCACUUCGCCUCCGCGCCCUUUCUCGUUGGAAGGUAAAUUUCUUAUUAGUUUUAAUAGUGAGAUAUAUAGAAUAGGUAGGUAGAAUUGUUAAAUAGAAUUUAGAUAGAUAGAUAGAACAGUUAGAUAGUUAGUUUGAAAGAUAAUUAGAUAGAAUUUUCAUCUUAUGUAAUUUUCUUUUUAGAUAUGUAUAGUUAGAUAGAUGGUUAGAUAGAUAGUUAGAUAGAAUUUUAUUCAUAUGUAAUUUUUUUACUUAGAUAGAUAGAAUAGUUAGAUAGAUAGUAAUAUAGUUAGUAUGAUAGUUAGUUAAAUAGUUAUAUACUAAAUUACAUAGUAACUCGACAUAGUUAGUAGUAUUUAGUAGUUUGUAGUUAAUAGAUAGUAUCUAUUUAGUUAGUUGGUACGUAAUGAAGAUUUUAUACUUAGAAUGCUUCAUUUAUAUUGGACUAAAUGAAUUGUUCUGUUUAUAACCUUGAUGGACAACGUAGUGAGCAUAUAUCAUGAAGGUACCGUGGAAAGAGAUGACUAUGGAUGUGUUAAGUUUGUUAACAUGCAAAGCAUGGUUGUGUUAUUAAUUGAGAAGCCCUCAUUUAGUGAGUUGGUUGCAAGUGCUCGGGAGGAGCUAUAUUGCCAUGAAGAUGAUGACAUCACAGUGGAGGGCGUACUUCACCUAGGUUCCCCUUUCAACAUCCAAAGGAAGAUGAUCCCAAUUUGGUGCGCAGAUAAGUGGGAGAAUGAUGUGAGAUCGGUUAUGAAGCGCCAGUUCUAAAGUUUGGACGUGGUUGUGCGUCGGGUGUUAGUUGAUCCCAUCCGUCAUCGGUUUUCCCGACCAAUGGGUCAGCAUGCACACUUCGACCCUUUCGUCCCAGAACCUAUUAUGGAUGUGGAGGUUGCACAUAUGGUUCCCGAUGCUGAAUCUGCCCCCAAUGAGGUAGUUGGAGCUGCUUGUCGGACACUUGAUGCUGUGGUAAAUCCUCCUCAUGAGAUCCCUUUGACACAAAAUCAUCCGAGUAAGUGUCUUAUCGGCACGCUUCUUGGGAGCUAACCUCCUUCAUUACAUCAAUUUUUUUCUUCCUUUCUCAUAUUUCUACCAAUGUUUUAGGAGACAUUCCUAAAAAUGUGGAUGUGCCCCCAGUUGCUACUCAACUGCACUAUGGAGAUGGAUUACGUGGCUCUAAUAGUGUUGGAAUUAUGAAUGAUUCGGAUGCAUAUGAGAUGGGAAUGUAUCUUGAUUCUGAUAAUGAUCGCCCUGUUGGAGAGAUGACAGAGAGUGAUGUUGAGAUGUUCAGGCGUUGCUUUCCUGACCGUCGUGAUCCAAGAGUUCACGAGUUCAGUGAUCUUUCUCAUUCUAAUCAUGCGUGUGCAGAGGGAAGUGAUGAUGAGCUCCUAGAAGCUCCUGAGGCUGGACCUAGCAUAGUGAUUGAGGAGGGUAGCGCAUUGAUGAGGUGGUUACAGGCAUUUGCAGUGAUAAAGAAGAGACCUUACAAGGUCUUGCAUUCAUAUGCAGAGCACCGUUACACAGUUGUGUGUGACAAGUAACAGUGCCCAUGGAUGAUUUGUGCAAGGAAGAAAAAGAUCACCGAGAAGUGAAAGAUCACAAAAGUUGUCAGGCCACACAAUUGUGCUAACACUAGAACAUUGAGAAGUGGAAGAUCACUGGAUAGAAUGGUAAGUCAAGUACCUUACUUUCCCAUGUUAAAUUACUUAGUGAUUUACUGGUUUACUUAUUAUGGACUUUGUGGACUCUUGUUAUGAACUAUUUUGGACUUUCAUUACGGACUUCGUGGACUUUCAUUAUGGACUUUGUGGACGUUCAUUAUGAACUAUUGUGCAUAUAGACAUUCAUUAUGAAAUUUUGUGUGUAUGAACUAUUGUGGACUUUCAUUAUGAAUUUUGUGGACGUUUAUUAUGAACUAUUGUGUAUAUGGACUUUCAUUGUGAAUUAUUAUGUGUAUGAACUAUUGUGGACUUUUAUUACGAACUAUUGUAGAUUUUCAUUAUGAAUGUGGCAUCUGUUUGAACAUGUUGUAUUCAGGUAGAAUAUUCAUCUCAUAAUUGUGUAUGAAUUACAUCCAAAAAUAGGGGAAAUUCUGCUGAAAUUUCACAAAAAUAUAGAAUUGCAUUUCGCUAACCAAAAUUCUUCGGCAUGUAAGCUUAUGUGCAUUAGGCAUGUGCUCACAUAUUUCUCGCAAAGAAAAUGACAUCGCACAUACUACUAUGGUGCCCAUACUUAAAGUGCAUUACAUGACAACACAAUGAAAAGUCCAACAAUAGACAACAUGUUUCAUAAAUAAACUAUCAGACUACAAGUAAUGGAGACUACUGAGUGCAACGAGUCCACUUUCCCUUCCUCAAUCGUAGCUUUCGCUUGGUGUGCAUGCUCAAGCUUCUUCUCCCUCUCCUACCUAUCCGCAGCAACACGCCUCCUUUCUUCCUCUUCCUUGUGCUCCUUUUAUGCGGCCUCCUUUCUGAGCCUCUUCUCCAUCAUCUCCUUCCUCUCUGCCUCCAACCGCAAUAUUUCCUGCAUCUCCUCCUUGUCUUCAGGCUUGAUCUCGGUGUUGAUCCAGUGCUCAAAAUCACAGAGCGGUGCAGGGGUCUACAACAAAUGCAAUUGUUAUAAAAUAAAAAAAAUCAUGUAAAAUAAUUAUAACCCAACAAUAAUUCCUCACCAUCUUGUUAAUGCGGCGUUGACGAAGUGUAGGCUCAAACUUAAAAUUAGAACACAUCCAGUACCUCUACCUAUACGUGUCAUCUGCAUCGGACUUGGCUACCCUGCAAGGAUCGCUGCAAAAGCACAUGGGUACUGGAACACCACUAGGCAGAGGUAAUGGGUCGAAGCUAUUUCGGGUCAUACGGGCAUAACUACAAUUUAGUCAUUUUCAUUCUAAGAACCGAAAGCGGUUAACAUUAAACCUACACCUAGGGUUUCCCAUUUGAUCCACAAGAAUGAAUCCAUAACAUAACUACGUGCGCUGAGGUUACCAUAGUUUCGUAGCUUUUCCACGCCUUGGCAUCCUAUGGUUGCACGAAACGCUAUGUUCAAAAAUCCGACUAAUAUAUAGCGAAUCGAUGUGAAAAAAACUAGGAGGGAGUGGAUAUCUUGCUCUCGAAGAUCCAUGGAUCAAAUCGAAGUUUCUAAGAUUUAAUAUGCCGAUUCGUGGUGUAAGGUGAAGUGGGGAGAGAAAAAACCUGAGAGGGAGGAGAAAGAGGAGGAAGAAGCUUCAGGCAAGAAGAAAGGGUGCGGCCUUAUGUUAGCAGGUUUGGCUCCAGGCUAGCUGGCACGAGGCCACCACUACAUCAGCUGCCCCAUCAGCAGCUGUUGAGCGACCUAGGCGCCGGGAUAGCCGGCGUCGAGAUGCGUAAGCUUGGCACCAGCGUGGAUGGCGCCAAGGUAUGGGUCCAGAUUUUGAAAUGUUUCCGUCAGAGGCGUAUUUGUAGAGGCGUAUUUGUAAGAAUCUUUCAGAAAAAAGGCUAACAAAAAAGUCAGAUGUUUGAGCCGCUCCACAGCCCUUACCAUCACCGACUAUAAAAGGCAGGGUCGAGCGCCUCUCCGCAACCGAACUUGCCGAGCCGCCAGCUCCGCUGCUCAACUUCUUGCAAUUCUGCCUGCAAUUUAUUUAUGGAGUGAUCGAGAAAUUGAGCGAGUUUGGAGGCUAGUGGUUGAUACGUUUUUUGCAUCGAAUUGACAUUGAAUUAGUUUUCUUUGAACUGCCAUUUCAAAUGUUUUUUCUAUAGUUGCAUGUGAAACACAUCUAUUGCCGCUAAUCAAUCUGUCGACGCUUUUUUGGGCCAACACAUGAAUGUACGCGAUUGUGCGGCGCGUGGAGGGGCUCACUGUAGCACGUCGAUGCAUGCCGGUUUGACCACUUACGGUCUGACCGGUUGUUAGGCCACCUAGUAGUAGAUUGGAAAAUUUAGGGAAAAAGAAUAAAGGAAAAGACAAUAAAUAGUAGCUUGGUUUUUUUCGAUUAGGUUGGAUGCCCUCAAUCGGUCGAAUCCCUUUAUAUUUCUAAGGAGGGAAGGUCUUUAUAUUUAUAGGAAGGGAAGGUCUUACCCAUGAGGGAGUCAAAAUCCUAACAAAAAUCGUGCUAAAUUAAAAGUUCUACUCGGUUUACACUGAGCCAGAUAGGUCAGACCAGCCUGGGCAACCUGUCGGACCAGUCUGCCCGGGUGUAUAUCUUGCGAAGGUCGUAUCUCUCUCAUCCGAACUUCAAAUCGGACGUUCUAUAUAAGAAUCUUGAUCUACUCAACAAGAUACAGGAAAUGGUAGAGUCCAAUCUUCAUUUGGAGCACUUUGAUCCAACCAGUCCGACUGGUGGCAUCAGGACUGGUGGCAUCAGCCGGUCUGACCUGUCUGUACGGGGGUGCUGAUCUUUCCGAGGGCAUAACUCUCAGGUCCGAAAUCCAAAUCGGACAUUCCAUAUAUGCAUUUUGAUCGCCUUGAUGAGAGAUAUGUCCUGGUGAAGUCCAAUUUGCUUUUUGAGAACUUUCCCAAACCGGUUUGACCGCUUGGAAGACCGGUCUAAACAUGUCUGAUCAGAUCUAUCCAGACCUGCCACUUUUCGGCAUCAACACGAGUUUUCCAGUAGUGACAACACAACAACUGUAUUACCCACGGCAUGAAAAUAACACAUAACAAGAAGCUAUGUACCACUAAGCAACACAAUCAAUACUCUUGCAAAGGGGGCGAAAUACCAAAGGAAAUGGCGAUGAAAUUGAAACCCCGCCAACAGAGCUUUGCUUGAGCACGUACAGCUCUUUAUUACAGAAACAGUAUAGGAUACGAUCGAUGUGCCAUCAAGCAUAAAGCAGCAACACUUAUUUCUUUUCUCAAAGCAAGCAAGAACAGAACUGGUCAUCAAAGAAGUUGACGGGAUUCAUUCAUUCAGAUGGCCGCCGCGGUCGGUGUGCAGCGGCGCUUGCAGAAGUUAGUGAGGACGUCGACGCACCGGUAGACAGGCGCCUCGGUGGUGCUGGUGUACUUGACGCAGUUCAUGCACGCUGGGUGGCAACCCUGGAACGAGAUGUCCAGGCAACUGCAAUCUGGUGGAUUCUUCCUGUUGCAGAAGCCGCACUGGUUGCAGCACGGCCAGGAGCUCGCGUUCGCGGCGUCGUCAGCGACCGCCGCUCCUCCCUCCUCCCCGCUCCCUGCGGCCACCAAAGAUUAGUCGACGCAUCCAGUUGAGUUGAGUUGAGUGUCAAACUGUUAAUUUCUCACCUUUGCUGAGGAGUGGCAGAGUUGCGAGGACGGCGAGGACAGCCAGUGUGACGAGCAACACCUGAGGUCUCAUGCUUGUUUCUCUUGGUAUGUAGGAAUACAGGGUGUUGCCAGGUUUGUUGUGGUUGGACUUCCUUCCUACUGAUGGGUGAUGGUUAUCUGUAUGAGGCUAGAGGCCUUAUUAUAAGAGGAGGGGGUGCCAUGACAGCUGUGUGCCUGCCAAGUUAAGGCUAGCUUGGCACGGCUCUUGAACAAUGGCUUUAGCUCUAGCUUAUCUAAUGAUCUUGUAUGUUGGAGAAACAAUCUUUUAAGAUAGAUGGAAGAGGUCAAAUAUCCAAAAUACCCUUAUUUAUUUCCUUUCUUUUCUCUUUUCUUUUAAUUUCUUUUUCUUUCCUGGUCAUUUUUCUUCCUUUCUCAUUUUUUCCUUCACCAUUUAUUUUUCUUCCUUUCUUAUUUCCUCUUCCUUCUAUCCUUAUCUUCCUUUCCUCAGCUCCUGCAGAACGCCGCCCCUGCCUCUCAUGACCAUGGCCAUCACCCGCAGCUCUUCCGGCUCGACGUCCCUGCCUCCCCACUCCUCCAACUCGACGCCCUAUCUCCCCUAGCCCACUCCCUCUCCUCAGCCCGAGCGCCCAACAACCCCUUCCUCCCAGCACGUCCGGCCUCGCUUAGCAGUUUGUGCGGCACGCCUGCAGCGUCGCUUGUGCAUCCAACGUGCUCGCCCCGUCCCGCCGUGCUCCACCCACCGCCGGUCAGGUCAGCACCGGCGUUACUCCGUCCGUGCCACUGCACCAUCCGCCACCGCCCACCAACACAGUGGUUUCAAGAAAUUUCAAACAAUUUAAAUAUUUGAUAAAUGAUUUCAAUGUUGUUUCAAACUUUUACAAGUGAACAUAAAUGUUAUUUAGUGAAUGUAAAAAAUAUAAUUUCAUACAUAACACAGAUAUUUUGACUAGUUAGUUCACAUGUCCCUAUAGGUUGAAACACCUCAUGAGUUAUAGGGUGAUCAUGACUUGGAUAUCCAUUUGAGAAAAACGUACUGUUACAAUAUCUCAAAAUUAUGUUAAUAUUUUUUAAUCCAUGUUGGUUCACUGCUGAAGUGGUUACAUGCAAAAUAUCAUGAAAAACAUUCCCCCUUAUAUUUGAUGUUUUUGGAGCGUUCCCGAGCUAAUCUCGGUCAAGCUCCAAAUGGAAGGUUGACUAAGAUAGAAGAUGCCCGCGGUCUUAAAUGGGUACUUGCGUUGCCCGCCAGCACAGAGGCUAGUAUGCUUACGAGUUCUCCCCCGCAGGCCCAAGGAAGAUUUGUGCUGGUGGGUGCCAAUCAAACCCACCAGCACACUAAUUUACCUGUGUGAACACAAAUUAAAUCUGGCGUAGUGUUUUCUUAGUAUCUUUUGCUGUGGUGAGGCAUGUGAGUACUGCUGGCACGAUCAUCAGCUUGUCCUGGGCUGCUGCUAAGCAUGCACCACGAGCCAAAGGUUUUCGGGAUGCUCAGCUCAUAAGGAAUUGACUGAAAGUGACUGUUCGUUGUGUGAGCUAGCUGUCUCCACUGGUGGCUUCUGAAUUAUUGGUCCUAUAUACAUGCACCACGCGCAACAUAAGGGAAAAAAAGUCUGCAACAUGUGCGGCACUGGAUAAUUGAGCUAGCAAUAACAGUGUUGUACGCUUGUCUAUGAGGGAUGCAUGGUGCCUAACAAUCACAAUGAUCUAUACUGACUACUCCCUCCGUUCCAAAUUAUAAGUCAUUCCAAGAAUCUUGGAGAGUCAAAGCAUCUCAAGUUUGACCAAAAUUAUAGAAAAAAUUAUAAAGAUUCAUAACAUUAAAUAGUUAUACUAUGAAACUAUAAUUGAUGAAGAAUCUAAUGAUACUUUGUUGACAUCACAAAUGUUAUUAUAUUAUCAUAUAAAUUUAGUCAAACUUGAGAUACUUUGACUCUCCAAGAUUCUUGAAAUGACUUAUAAUUUGGGAUGAAGGGAGUACAUCAUAGCUUGUCUGCUUGCCUAGUGCGCGUGAACCAUGAGGGCAGGACUAGUGGCUGCACACUACUCCACGAGGGUAGGACUGGUGGCUGUGCACCGACAGAAUUCACUAUUCGACACUAAAAAAACUAAUCGUGACACUAAAUAAAUUUUGGUUCCCGUUUGAUACUGAGUUCAAUUUUCAUUCUUUAUAUAACAUUCUGUUGGAUUUUUCAUACGAGAACCAUUAAAUGCCCGAUGAAAAGACGAUUUUGCCCUUGUGAGCCCCACCACCCUUCUCCGAUCUACUCACCUUCUCCAUCCGCUCUAUUGUACCUCCCCCACUGCUCCAUCCAUCCUCCUGUCCAGGUGAGAGCUUAGGCACCAGGAGCUCACUACAGUUCUAUUUGUGUGGUUAUUGGCAUCGAGGAUGGUCGGGACGGUGGAGCUCCAAGGGAGGGGGGUCAUGGCGGGCUGACGGCUCGAGUCGCCAAGGAAAGGACGAUUCCCGGCGGGGUUGAGCUCAUCCUAGCCAACAAGCAGGUCGGGGAGGUCGAGCGCAAGGUGAGGGAGGUUCGGGUGCGAGGGAUUGGGUUUUGGCGAAGGUGGUGAGAAUUUGGUCGGCGAUGAGGUUUGGUGGCUGGUGGCAGUCGCGAGACAUGGAAUUCCCGGCACUAAGUAGUUUGUGAUUGGGCUAGAACUAGCCUGGGAGGGAGAUUGGAAUUUGUAGAAUUCUUGUGUGAGACCACGGGGCGCUGUCUCAGACACCAGCCUUGCCGCACUGAAAUCGGCGAGCUUCACGACGUAGCCUUUGGUGUCGCAGCAGUUGAGGAGCACAUUCCGACCCUUGACAUUCUUGUGCACGACGGCCACCCUCCUGAGCCCACACGCCGUGCUCACUGUAACACCCAAAAAUUCCAUCAUAAACACAAUAUAAGCAACAUGUGGUCUAGCUCUUUCUUUUCUAAGAAUUAAAUAAAAUACUAAUAUUAAAUUAUGGCCUUUAAUAAAUUAAAAAACACUUGAAAUAACUUUUUUGAGACAAGUGCUUGUUAGGGUUCUUCGUUUGCUUCCCUUUUUGUUUGCGUUUGCAAAAUUUUAAAUCAAAAAUCUUAUCAAUCUUCUUUCUCUCUUUCUGUAAAACUCAGCAGGCCGGCCCACCUUUCCACUUUCUUUCCCUCCCGGCCCGCUCUCUUUUUCCUUCUCCAGCCGGCCCACCUCCUCAUUUCUUUGCGCAGGCCCAAGCUGAUCCGCCGGCCCAUCAGCAUCUCCCCAGCCCAACCCCCCCUCUCCUCCCACCGAUAGGUGGGGCCCACCUGUCAGGCGCGUCCUCAACCUCCAGCUGCACCGCAACUCCAGCACUGCCAGCAGCGCCUGCUCGCCUCCCAUCGCCACUCCAUCUCCUGCGUCCCUCCACUUGCUGGAACUACAUCGCCUUCCCACGCGUGUGCGCUGCUAGCGCCCUCUCCUCUCCUAACUCCAGUUACAGGCGUCCCAUUUUCCACUCGCGAUUAAUGGCCAUCGGAGCUCGUUUCAUCUACCCAAGCGCCGUCUCAACUCCUCCUCACGGCCUAUAAGUAGCGCCUACUCCCUCUCCCCGGCUCCAUUCUCCCAUUCUCGCCACCACCAACGCUACCCGCACCAGAGCGCCAGAGCGCCACCGCAUCUCACAGCACCGCCACCGUCCAAAUUCCUCCGCCGCUGGGUACAACGCCGGCCUUUCUCGCCCGCCACAGCCGCAGGUAUGGCCUCCCUCGCUUUCCCCUCGCUCACCUCCGUCGCCUGCGCCACCCGCUUUGCUCACCGCCGCGCCUGAGCUCGCCGGCGAGCCACCGGUCAUGCGAGCCACCGGUCAUGUGCCUAUGCGCGUGCGCGAGAAAGGAAAGAGGAGGAGGAUAAGGCUAUUUUGCAAUCUAGUCCCUAAACUCUCUGAUAUUCUCUUGCUUGAUUCAUGUGUCUAGUAAGGCUUGCAAAGAAUCCCCUGCAAUCCUUAGAACCUUUCUUUUUAACCUGAGCUCUACAAUCUUGCAGAUCUAACCCUAUACUUUUCUAUAUUUCUUAGUUGUUCACUUAGUCUUGUGAAACUUCCUUGGUAGCCCCUAAAGUAUAUAGUUAAUUCCGUUUAAGCCCCUAAAACUUGUUUACUACAUAUCUUCAUCAUUUCAACUCCGAUUUCAGCGAUUCUCAGCUAGGCACCAUACCACACUUUCGAGGUGUAAUUGCAAAGGGACGUUACGAGGCCUUUACAAAGAUUCCCUAAUAAGAAGUAGUCCGCUAAGGUUUCAUGAUCAGUGCAAUGUAUAACAGUCCCCUAGUGGGUAUAGUGUCUUAGCAAAGCCCACUUCCUAAGAGAGCGAGUGCUAUACACCAACUACUGUCUCUCCCUCUUGCCCUUUCGGUAAGACCGCUCCAAAAUAGAGUUUCUAAUUAUUCAGCCAAGACCAGAGCUAUUUAGUCUUGUGGUAGCACUGUUUUCCUGGGUGGUUCUCCAUGUUUCAAUUAACAUUAUUAUGAUAUUAUUAACAAAGCAUAGGUAGAAGGUUGGUUAGGGACACUUGCCUUUUCUCCAACGAAAAGUUACUCCUACUGCUCUUUAGCUUUUUGCUUUCUUGAAACUCUUACUCUUCAAAACUUCGAAACAACGAUCCUUCUACUCGGAGCAAACAUCAGCACAAACAUACAAGCAACAAACAAGUACAACUAAGAACAAUACACCAAAACAAAAGACAGGCUUUAAAAGAGCAUACUAAAGGACAUGGCUUGAUUCUAGGAUUACGCAGAUGCAGGAACGCUUACAACGUAACUAUGGUUGAAAAGAUAAAACUAUCGAAAGAUUUGAAUUUUAAAAGAAAGGUGAGAGUUACAAACUUCAUUUAUUUUAGUUGAGAAAAAUAAUGUAAAGAUAUUUCAGAGAAAUAUCCUUAGUUAGAAUUAAUCAAGUCAUAUUUAUAUUUUCAUAAGAAAAGACGGUGUAAAGCUUAGCCCAAAUUUAUUUAUAAAUAUUUAAGUACAAUUUAUGCAAAUUAGACAUUUAAUUUAAAAAUAAGAUACAUGUAGACAUAUAAGCGUAUAGCUUUACAUUUCGAGUUCAACUAAGUAGAUUAAAUUAAAAACACAUUUAUAUUUAUAUUAGCUAAAUUAACAUUUAAUUAUGAAACUCGAGAUAUAACCUAUGUAGCUUUUAUUUAGAAAACAAAUUGAAUAAACAUUAAUCAAAUUGAAUUUAAUUUAUGAAACGUCGAGGUAUAACUCUAAGUGGCUUUUAAUUGCAAGAAUUAUUUAGAUAUGCAUUAAUCAAUUUAACUUUAGUUUAUGAAAAACCGAUAUAUAACCUAAUUGGCUUUUAUUUAGAAGAGGGUAUGAAGUAAGCAUUAACCAAAUUGAUGUUUAUUAUCAAAAGCGGUGUAUAACUCUAAGUAGAUUUUAUUUAGAGAAGACGCAUGUUUAUGUGGCAUUAAUCAAAUUAAUAUCAAAUUUAUUUUUUUAAAGACAUGCAUGAUCGCAAACAUCACUACUAACACGUCAUUUAUGUUAUUAUGAAUCUAACGCAACUUGAACGAGGUUAAACGGAUCUAAAACGUGAAGUAUAGGAGCUAAACAAGGUUGCAAGGGUCUAAAUGUAAUUAACCGUAGACUUGGAGGGUUAGUUGAGAAGAUUACCGAGACACAGGGAACAGGACUCAUGAAAAGCUGAAAACACUAGGUUAGAUCUGCAAAAGGUCAAGGUUUGGAUUAGAUUGAAAGGAUCUCAAAGUUACAGGGGAUUUUCUACAAGGUUUGCAAGACACAAGUAAUAGGAACAGAAAUUAACAGAUUCUCCAGGGGCUAGAUCGAAAAGCAGCGCUUCAUCUUCUUCCUCACGCCACAAGCAUGGCGCAGCUCCAGGCCGGUGGUUUGCCGGCGUUCCGGCGCGGCGGAGGCCUGGGCGGGUGGUGCAGGUGGCGAUGGCCAGGCUAGGGGCCAAGGGCACGGCUGUACACCUCGGAAGUGUGGUAUGGUGCCUAGCUUGCACCGUAUGGUUGGGUCCAAAGUUCUUUGAACUUUUACGCGACUUGUGGGUAAAGAUGUGCCACCUCUACAGAGUGUAAAACUGAUCGAUCAGCCGUGCUCACGGUCAAGAGCGGCCUGGACCGUCACAUGAUUAAUUAAACUUGAAGAUGGACUUAAAUCAUUAUUCUGGUUAUUUCUAGUGGCCCUGCUGAGUACCAACCAUAAGUGUACUCACCCUUGCUUACUGCUGCUCAGAAGAAGAAGGUACGCAACCCCCAGUCGAUUGCCUGUGAAGUUUGGAGCCUCCAUUUCCAGUAUUUAAGCUGUGUAUCUCUGAUACACUCACCCUCACGCGACCGUCUCUGCAUGACUGUUAGUUUUAGGAGUUUGUUUUAAGUCUUUUUUUUUCUCAUGUUUGGUGUACUAUUUUAUUUAUUGUUUAUUUUGCUUGUGUCAUCGUGUGGACGACAUGUCAUUCAAGGAGAUUUAGCAGCAGCAGCCGUUCGACGAAGAGUUCCCUCAGUUUUUCAAGGAAGGCAAGUGGUCAUCUUCCCCUGCAUAUUCUUUUUUGUCCCAAUAAUAGCAUGCUAAAUCACUUUACUAUUUUCUUGUAUGUGUAUAAUUUGAUGGGAAUACCUAUUAAGGACUUACCUAGUUUUUAAUCCUGAUCCUUGAACAAUGGUUUUAAUCAUGUUGGGUAGAAUUGCUUAGUUGCUUAAUUUUGGGAUGGUAAUAAUUUUGAGAAUAUUAAUCAUGACUUUAUUAAUGCUAUACCUAUGUUAUUACAAGAUCACUUGAUUUAAUCGGAACAUGGAGAACCACCUAGGAAAACAGUGCAACCACAAGUACUAUCAUGACUCUUGUCUUAGCUAAUUAAUUAGAGACUCUAGUCUGGGGUAAUCUUACGGAAGGGCAAGAGGGGUGGCGGAUGAUGGGGUAUAACCCGCUUCUCAAACUGAUCUACUCUAUGGAAGCUUCGCAGUCUUGAGAGGAGCUUAUGCUCUACUACCGAUCCAGAAAUCUUAGCGGGUUACCACUUACUAGGGGAUCUUUGUAAAGGCCUCAUAGCGUCCCUAUGCAAUCACACCUCAGAAGUGUGGUAUUGUGCUUGGCCAGCAUAGCAUGGUUGGGUUUACAGUUCUUUUGAACUUUUAUGCUACUUGUGGGUAAAGAUGUGCAACCGCUGUAGAGUGUAAAACUAAUAUAUCAGCCGUACUCACGGUUAAAAUGCGGCUUGGACCCUCACAUGAUAAUUGAACUUAAAGAUGAGAAUAAAUCAUGGUUCCUUUAUCGUUGGGUUUUUUAAAUGCUUUAUGCUUAAGUGGGUUGGUAUAAACUUACACCUAAAAAUUAGGUUCUUGCUAUGCAUUCAAUUUUGUCCAAAAAUCGGGUGUGACAAAAGUGGUAUCACAGCUGUGUUGACUGUAGGAUAUAAGCCUAGAUAAAAAUGGUCUAAAUAAGGACUCAUUUUCUUAGCAAGCCAUGUCUUCUCAAAAAUAUCUUAUUUUUCACAGAAAAAUCUAUUUUAUUUUUGUUCUUUGCCACAAAAAGUUGUCUCUUGUUGGCUUUGUUUUGAGUAUCUUUUCUUUCUUUGUCAGAUGGCUAAGACCAGGUUGACCGCUCAUAAAAGCACUAGAGGAUACUAGGUUGGCCUUGCCCCUGCUUAGCCAGCUGCUCUGAUUCAGCAUGUAGAGGAGGUUGAAGAAGAUUUGGAGGAGGUCUACAAGCUGCCCCAGCUUCAUACAGUCCUGCAUCAAUUGCCCCUACAUCAGAUGCUCCAGCACUAGCUGAUCUAGCUCCACCACCUGCUACCGAUGGUGGAGACCCGGACGACUCUGGGAAUGACAGCAAUAGUGAGGAUAAAGAAGAUGACGAUGACGACUACAACAAAAACAAUGACCACAAUAGCAACAAAGACCACAACAACAACCAUGAUAACAAUAGUGGUAGAGAUGGAAAUCAGAAUGGUGGACCGCAGAAUGUGACACCAGCUUGUGACUACCACACUUUGGAGGAUGAGUCUGGAUACUUUCCCACACUGCUCUGGGAAGUACUAUAGAGUUUGGGAAGCACCAUGAAGCCCCUCUACGACACUCAUCGUGUCUCCCACUCCACCAUGGAUGACUACUACGCCAGUCAGGUCCACAUAAGGGAACGGUUGGCGACUUCCAGAGUAUUGAGGACUUGCUCAGCACACGACUCCACUACGGCCCACGCCACCUAUGCCUCAGCCAUCAGCGACGCCGCCAGGAGAGCUCUGUCUUCCCUCUGCUUCACCCAUCUCCAGGAGUUGAGCAACACCAUCUACCGUAACCUGCCUCGCCGAGCUAGUGGCACUGAGGACACAGCUGUACAGUUGGGAGAAGCAGGAGAAGACUGCAUCAACAUCCUUGCUCGAGUCACCACUGCUCUCAACACCAACCUCGACGGAGCUAUUGCAGAGCUUGCCAAGACCAAUGAUAAGCUGCAAGAUGCUCACGCCAGGAUUGUGUAGCUUGAGGCACAGCUUGCCGAACAAGAGCCACCUGAGGAGGCAGCCGAGUUCCACUACCCCACCAUUUCACCACCCCGCAAGAGGCUUCGCUAUGGCGCGUCUGGCUCCAUCACCGGUCUUUUAGACUAGGUUGUGCUUUUAGGUUGCCUUCCAAAGUCUUUCUGUUAGAGCUGUUACUGUGAGGACGUGCGAUGUAAUAACGUUUGCUGGUUGAAAACAUGUUUGAUUUGGACCUUUGUAUUUUCUAGGAUAUUUUGUGAAGUGAUGGCCACAAAUGCAUCAUUACAGAAAAUAAAGUUUAUUAGUUUAUUGGGUCUAAAUCUUGGUUCUUUGCCCCUAUAUCUACCUUAUCAAAUCAUGACUCUUAUCCGAGAUUUAUUUGUCUAAUACUCAGAUGGUAAACACCAGGUCAGGAGGAGGACAAGACAUUCCAAGUGAGAGGCAUGCUCACAUAAUUAAUCAGCAGAAUCAAGCACCACCUCCACCACCAAGUUCGACAAUGGAACAAUUUUUGGCUGCUUAGAUGCAACUACUGCAGAACCUCACUACUACUAUUUAGAAUCUACAAGCUUAGCAGAAUCAACAACCACCACAAGCACCUCAGGCACCGAGAGAUAAGCAUAGGGAAUUCAUGAGCCACCACCCUCCUCCUUACUCUCACUCAGUGGAUUCAUUGGAUGCUGAUGACUAGAUGAAGGUCAUUAGUAAGAAGCUAGAUAUUACACAGUGCAACGAUCAUGAGAAGGUUUUGUAUGCUGCAGGAUGCUUGGAAGGAGUUGAAGCCAACUAGUGGGAUGCCUAUACUACUGCCCACGCCAAUGUUAAUGCUAUUACUUGGGAAGAGUUCACGAACAACUUUCGCACACACCCCAUUCUAGCUGGUGUGAUGAACCUCAAGUAGAAGGAGUUUCGAUCAGCGAGUAUUGGGACAAGUUCACAUAGCUGUCUUGUUACACGCCAAAUGAGGUGGACACCAAUGAGAAGAGACAUGAAAGUUUCCUGGAUGGACUGAUAGGGCCACUUAACUAUCAACUGCAGAGUCACACGUUCCCUAAUUUUUAGACACUACUAGACAAAGCCAUUGGUUUAGAGAACAAACAUAAGGAGCUCGGGGAACAAAAGCGGAAGUUUCAGUCGCAAGGUCAAUCUAGCAGGAACACCCACCCUUGCUUCAACUUAUCGCAGGGAUCACAAUUUCAUUCAGGAGGACAAGGUUGAAGCUAUCAACAGAAUCAGCAAUUCCAAAGUACCACUCAACAACCAUAGCGAUUCAAUCAACAAGCAUAGUACACCUCAAACCCACAGCAAAACCGAGCAAACAAUACCACAGGAGCACCCGUGUGUAACAAUCCAAUUACCCUGGUUCGACCCAAUGGAUGCUUCAAGUGUGAUGAAGUGGGACAUUAUGCCAAUAACUGCCCCAAGCAUGGAAUGCAGACCCCUCAGAAGACCAAUGGUUAGAAGUCUGGUCAGCAACAGUUGCAAGCGCGUAAUGGAAAUCCAAACUCUCAGGGCAACAAGGGCUAGCAGAACUUCAUGCAUGGUAGGGCGAACCACGUGAGAAUUGAGACAACUGAAGAAGCUCCAGAUGUUGUUUUUAGUAUGUUCCUCAUGAAUUCCGAACCUGCGUCAGUUUUAUUUAAUUCUGGAGCAUCACACUCAUUUAUAACCAAUCAAUUUGUGGCAAAACAUAACAUACCUAUGCAACCUAUGAAGAAAACUUUGCUAGUUAGCUCACUAGGUGGUGAUAUAAGAACAAGUCAAAUAUGCUCGCAAGUCAAUAUGAAAAUCAUGUGGGUAGAUUUCAUAGCCCACCUAGUGGUCCUAAACUCCAAAGGUAUUAAUGUGAUUCUUGGAAUGAACCGGUUAGGAGUAUAUGAUGGAAUUAUCCUAUAUGCCAAGAAGUCAGUGCUUUUAACUACCCCUCAGGGGACAAAAUUGAGUUUGUGGCUACUACCUCAUCUGAAGAAAAGGGUAUAGUCAAUCAAAUAAAAGGAAAAUCUUUGGAGGUGUUGACGCAAAAUCCUGAAGGUGGUGGACCCUGCAUCACCACAUGAGGACCUGGGAGAUCUGCUUAACUCCAGUGCAGAAUCCAAAUCGGCGCGCAUGGUGUGCGCGGGCAUGCCAUUCAGUUUGACCAUUCAACUGACAAGGUGGAGAUAAUUCUCUCGAAGUUCGAUGGAGUCGGCCGAUCGGGCCGAUUUAAUAUAAUUUACAAUAACCAUUAGCCAUACGGACGAUAGGAAACACAAUGCUGUUGAGUUGUUGCUCCACCAUAGCUAGAGCCACAAGCCGAUGAGAUCAAAACUAACAUCACCACCAAUAUUUUUAGGUGAAACCAUAGCGAUGCGCCCGGUAGUUGCAGUCUAGAAAUAUUUAGCAAGACGUUAAUCUGAACCCCGCCAGCUGAUGAAUCCAAUCACAAUGGAACUUACUCCCAACAGCACUCGAAGGGGUAACCAAGAUUAAGAUGCAACAGGCUAUUAAAUGAUCUAUCGUCUAUGAUGAACCGAUCUAAAGCUAAUUAAAGCAAACUGAACAGCAAGACGAAAGAAUAGAUAAAUAUCAGCCGAUGCAAGCUUAAUCAAGGCGUGAUAACUGGUGAAUACCGUAGAUCGAGACAGAAGCGAUGCGCCGUAAGUUAAAGAUCCAAGAUACUUGAUAAUUGGUAAAUGAAACUAGACAAAACCACAGCGAUGCGCCCGGUGGUUAAAGCCUAGAACACCUGGUGAUGGAACUUGCAGCUCGCCGGAGAUCGAGGUCGAUGCAGCCCAGCUUGCUAGAAGGAACUCGUCGAGAAUCUACAUUACUCCUACUCCUAGGGCAAUGGCGUGAAGCUGAAAGGUAAAGGUAAAUAUGUUGUAUUAUUGAUCGUGUGAUGAUUCCUUACAAUGGCCACGUCCCUUUAUAUUUAUAGGGCGGACGUUACAUAAUUGGCAUCUAACCACGCACAAGGCAAGUCACGUACACAAUCUUUUCUAAUAAAAAACUCUAUCUCUAACUAACCCAACUCUAUCUCUAAAAUAUUUAAUUCUAUGAAACAACCUCCCGUACAUGCACAGAUCGGCCGCAUGUAUAAUUAUUCUGGAAGCCUCACACGCAUGGCAUGCAAAGUGCACCAGAAUCCAUGUUGUAUAUUCUAAUCAUUUUUAUCCAUACGUGCUGGCCUUUCCUUUAUAUCAUCCUUGCCUCUCCUUGCCGAUCAAUCCAAUGAAGCCGAUUUGGACUCCGUGCCCAUAUACACGCAUGCUACCUUUUUAUUGUUGUACGUGACUCCAAUUAUCUUGUACUCCGAAUUUAUAGGAUUGGUCAAAAUCCGGUGUCAACAGGAGGAUAUCAAGGUUGUAUGCGAAUACCCCAAAAUGUUUCCCAAGGAUUUACCAGGUACGUCGCUUGACUGAGAUAUUGAGUUCUCCAUUGAUCUUUUACCUGGCACUUCACCAAUAUCUGAAAGACCUUAAACAAUACAUGUUAAGGAUUUGGUUGAGUUAAAGAAACAAAUAGAAGAAUUAUUAAGUAAAGGUUUUAUCUGUCCUAAUUCUUCACCUUGGGGAGCACCUGUAUUUUUUGUUGAUAAAAAGGAUGGCACCAUAAGAAUGUGUGUGGAUUAUAGAGCUCUUAAUGAUGUGACCAUUAAGAAUAAAUAUCCACUCCCUAGGAUUGAAGAUCUGUUUGAUCAGAUGAGAGGUGCAAAAGUCUUUUCCAAAAUCGAUCUAUAAUCAGACUAUCACUAGUUCAAGAUCCCAGCAGAAGAUAUACCUAAAAUGGCGUUUACAUCCAGAUACAACCUAUAUGAGUACACUAUGAUGUCUUUUGGAUUGACCAACGCUCUAGCAUAUUUCAUGUACUUGAUGAACAAGGUGUUUAUGGACUACCUAGAUAAGUUUGUGGUAGUGUUCAUCAAUGAUAUAUUGGUAUUUUCUUGAAAUGAAGAAGAGCAUGAGGAGAACUUAAGAUUAGUGUUACAGAAGCUUCAGGAGAAUCAAUUAUAUGCCAAAUUGAGUAAGUGUGAGUUCUGGUUGAAAGAAGUUUCCUUCCUUGGACAUGUUAUCACCGAUGGAGGAAUCACAGUAGACUCAAGCAAAGUUCAAGAUGUGCUGAAUUGGAAUCCUUCCAAGAAUGUGUCUGAAAUCAGAAGUUUUCUUGGAUUAGUAGGUUAUUACUGCAUGUUUAUUGAAGGUUUCUUGAAGAUCGUCAAACCCCUCACUUCAUUGUUAGAAAAGGGAAAAGAGUUUAAAUGGGAUGACAAGAAGUGAGUUUUGAAGAGCUGAAGAAGAAGUUGACUACAAACCCUAUACUGAUAAUGUCUGAUAUACACAAAGGCUUUGAUGUUUAUUGUGGUGCUUCACGUCUAGGUAUUGGAUGUGUACUAAUGCAAGAAGGUAGAGUAGUAGGUUAUGCCUCAAGACAGUUGAGAAACCACGAGAAAAAUUAUCCAAGUAAUGACUUGGAACUAGCUGUCGUUGUGCAUGGAUUUGGAGAUAUUACAUGAUCGGGAACAAGUGUCAGAUCUUCACUGACCACAAAAGCCUAAAGUACAUAUUCACUUAGAGGGGUCUUAAUUUAAGGCAACACAGAUGGUUAGAGUUGAUAAAGGACUAUGACUUGGAUAUUCAGUAUCAUCCCGGCAAAGCAAAUGUCAUAGCGUACGCCCUAAGUUGAAAAGGUCAAGCUAAUGUGACUAUAGUACUGUUGAUAUCUCAAGAGUUAUGUUGGGAAAUAGAGCGACUCAAUUUGGGAAUCAUUGCCCAUACUGAAUCCAUGACCAUGGAAAUUGAACCUACACUGGAACGAGAGAUAAGAAAAGGGCAAUUGACGAAUGCUAAAAUCUAGGUAACCAAGAUCCAAAUUGGUUUAGGAAAGCCCCCCAACUUCACUAAAGAUGAUCAAGGAAUGGUUUGGUUCAGGAAAAGGAUCUAUGUACCAGAGAUCGACCAUCUUCGUGAAUGCAUAUUGAAGGAAGCACACGAUUCGGCUUAUUCUAUUCACCCUUGUAGUACUAGAUGUAUCAAGAGACGUAGCAACCCACGUUGCUUUGUGUGAUGUAUGUUAGCAAGUGAAAGCAGAGCACCAAAGACCAGCAGGUUUACUUCAGCCAUUGAAAGUACCUGAGUGGAAAUGGGAAGAGAUCGGAAUGGAUUUUAUUGUUGGGUUACCCCACACUCGGGAUGGCUAUGAUUCCAUAUGGGUUGUUGUGGACAGAUUAACUAAGGUUGCUCAUUUCAUUCCAGUUAAAAUAACCUAUAGUGGACCAAAUUUGCAGAGUUGUAUAUGUCAAUGAUUGUAUGUUUACAUGGUGUUCCUGUUGCGUUCCAAUCUCUUGCGAGGUUAAGAAACAACACAAUAGGUAGUAAAUGAACUGCUCUCUAUUAAAUGAAGUGUCUGAAUCUCGUUACAUGAGGGGACGACCCCCUUUUAUACUGUCCAGAGGAUACCUACAAUUUACAAUUUUACCCUCUCUCACCCACUACAUCCUCAGUAUAUUCUGUACACAUUUGUCAUCUCAUGAAGUCACGUGUUUUGUCCUCCCAACAAUCCCAUAAAUCACACUCUCACAGGGUAUCGUAAUUGGUGUUGUCCUGUCGGUCAAGUCGCCUUCCCCCUUAGCUUCGCGUCUAUGCCCUAAUUCGUUCGCCACUCCUUAAUGAUGCUCCCAUAGCAAGUUGGCUUCAGUCUCUCGUGUUAUACUGACUUCGGGCCCACAAGUCCCCUGGCGAGGUUGAUGCUGCUCCUGCGGGCACCGAAGACAACGGACGGGCAAUGAGUCAGAAAAACAAAGGUUAGCUCAUAUUACCUUCACCUUUGAUUUUGGUUUGUCCCGAAGCUGGGUAAUCACGGCCCCGACCGAAGCUGAGCCCUUGGCGUGAAGUUGCAAAGUCCGCUGAGCCCUGGUGCAUAGAAAAUAGAGGUUAACCCACCUUGCCUUCGCCCCCGAUUUCGGUUUGUCCCGAAGCUGUAAAGUUCACCGAAUCUUGUCGCAUCUUUCGGGAGAGAGAUGACCUUGAGGGGGGCUGUUUUGGGCGAUUCCCCAACAGUUCCAAAGAAGAUAGUAUCUGAUCGAGGUACUCAAUUCAUGUCACGUUUCUAGUAGAAGCUACAUGAAUCAAUGGAUAGAAAGCUUAAUUUCAGUUUGGUGUAUCAUUCACAAAUGGAUGGUUAGACUAAAAGAAUCAAUCAAAUAUUAGAAGAUAUGUUAAGAGAUUAUGCUUUAAAGCAUAGAGGUAGUUGGGAUAAAAGUUUACCAUACGUAGAAUUAUCUUAUAACAACAAUUAUCAAGCCAGUCUUAAGAUGGCCCCGUUUGAAGUGUUAUACGGAAGAAAGUGCAGAACACCAUUGUUCUGGAGUCAGACUAGAGAAAGCCAAGUCUUUGUACCGGAAAUUCUUAAAGAAGCUGAAAGACAAGUUCAAAUAAUUUGAUAUAAUCUCAAGACUGCAUAGUCACAACAGAAGAGUUAUGCUGAUACUCGGAGGAGAGAAUUGACAUGUGAUGUUGGAGAUUACAUGUAUCUCAAGGUAUCACCUAUUAGUGGUCUUCGUCGAUUCAAGGUUAAAGGGAAGCUAUCACCUUGUUACAUUGGUCCUUUUCAAAUUUUGGAAAGAAAAGGAGAAGUGGCAUAUCAGUUAGACUUACCUGCUCAGCUAUCAGAUGUUCAUGACAUGUUCCACGUAUCUCAGUUGAAGAAGUAUCUAAGAGUACCUGAAGAACAAUUACCAUUGAAAGAACUCAAUGUGAAGGAUGAUUUGACUUAUUUAGAGUACCUUGCCAAAAUACCAGAAAUAUCUCAGAGGGUCACUCAGAGCAAGGUAACCAGAAUGUGCAAAGUAUAGUGGAGUCAUCAGUCAGAAGAUGAAGCUACUUGGGAAAGAGAAGAUGAGCUUAUCGAAUAAUUCCCUCAGUUGUUUUCCAAUCUCUCUGAAUCUCGAGGACGAGAUUUUCUUUAAGGGGGUAGGAUUUGUAACACCCAAAAGUUUCAUCAUAAACACAAUGUAAGAAACAUGUGGUCUAACUCUUUCUUUUCUAAGGACUAAAUAAAAUACUAUUAUUAUAUUAUAGCCUUUAAUAAAUUAAAGAACAAUUGAAAUAAUUGUUUAGAGACAAGUGCUUGUUAGGGUUGUUUGUUUGCUUCGGUUUUUGUUUGCAUUUGUAAAAUUUUAAAUCAAAAAUCUUAUCAAUCUUAUUUAUCUCUUUUUGUCCAACUCAGCAGGCCAGCCCACCUUUCCUCUUUCUUUCCCUCCCGGCCCGCUCUCUCUUUCCUUCUCCAGCCAGCCCACCUCCUCAUUUCUUUGCACCGACCCAAGCUGAUCCACCGGCCCCUCAAGCAUCUCCCCAGCCCAACUCCCCCUCUCUUCCCACCGACAGGCAGGGCCCGCCUAUCAGGCGCGUCCUCAACCUCCAGUUGUACCGCAACUCCAAUGCCUGCUCACCUCCUGUCGCCGCUCGAGCUCCUAUGCCCCUCCGCGUGCUUGCACCACGUCCAUCCUUCCUCGCAUUGAGCCCCUUCUUCUCUCCUUCUCUCUGUGCAGGUGCAGGAGGGCGAUCCCCAUCUAGACUGGCCAUGUGGAAGUAGGACCACCACCAUGUGUAGUUGGUCCCCCGUGUAUGCAUCAAUGCUGCACCUAUUGACUGUGACCUGGCACCCCGACAGUGAGCCAUGUGAUUUUCGCAUCUCAAAGGCAUGGUUUAUCCUCCCUCUUCCUGCUGCUGCUCAUCCUCCCUUGACCCUUCACCAAACUACUUGUUGCAAUCGGAAGAAAGAUCAAUCGAGUUGAAGAGAUGGAAGCUAGUCACCAUUGAGUGAUGUUAUGAUCCGUCCCUCUAUCAUAACCGUUGGAACCCAGCUGGUGCGAAAGCUAAUUACCUGAAGCAAUUGGUAGAAACGGAUAGUACUGGUUCGUUCACUUAUUUCUUUGCUCAAACUUAAUUUCUGCUUAAUGUUUGUGCCUUGUGGUGAGACUAUAUUAGCUGCUUAUUCUGCUGGUUGCAUGCAGAAUAGUUAAAUCAAGGCACAUGUCUUCAAUUUCUGAGCUAGUGCUGCGUGUCCGUGACGCAGAAGCACUGCCUCAGAUAGAUUAUCUUUGGGUGGCGCAGAAACUGGAACUAUCUUUGGGUGGCGCAGAAGCCGCACCUCUGUCACAACUGAGCAUAUCUGGCUGCAACUUUUUCUUCGUAUCAAGCCAGUCACAGCUAACACCUGGGGUCUGGAAAUGGUUUGAACAUCUUGCAAAUUUCAUAAUUGAAAAAUGUGAUGUGCUCAUCUACUGGCCAGAAGAAGUGUUCCAAAGCUUGGUAUCUUUGAAGAACUUAUGGAUUCUGUCCUGCAACAAGCUAAUAGGGCCCACAAAAGCGAAAGGUGGCGAACCUACACAAACAACAGAUCAAAUCUACACAAACAACAGAUCUAAAAAUAAGAGGAUGUGAUAGCCUGGUAACACUUCCAAAUCUACCACCGUCCCUCAAACAUUUUUUUAACUGCUGUGAGAAGCUGUGAGAAUCAUCAGCAGCUGUGAGAAGCUCUGCUCUGUGUCAGGAGACCUGUGUGCACUCGAGGAACUACAUAUUUUUAACUGCAAUAAGUUACAGUCAGUCAAUUCAUUGGGAGACCACCCAUCAUUAGAAACACUGUUUCUUUCUGGCUGCCGAUGCCUUGCAUCUUUAGGAUGUGAUGGUGGUCGUGGGAGUUACUCUGCUCUUCAGAGCCGUAAGAUCGAAUACUGCCCAGCCAUAGACAUGAAGCAGUUUUACUAACGCCAUCAAACAGCUGCUUGACAGCUUUGUAUAGGAAGACGUAUCACACGUUCAUUCAAGCAGCUCUGAUGAAGGUACGACCUUUCACUUUCCUCUUAUUCAAUUUGUUUCCUUCAGAUUUCCCUGCUUUGCAUGCCCUCCUAUUUUGUUGAUGAACUGGUUAAUAGAUGGGUUUGUGGGGUGGGAUUUUGGGGUUUCAUCUUCAUUCCGCGGUCCUUUCUCACUGAUGUAACCCCACAUAUUGUUGGUUUAUACGGCUGUUGGUUUUCAGUCUUGGAUGCAGUUGACGUGCAUAGAGAAAUUCUAGAAAUAUGUGAUAUCCCUUGGUGUUGAGAUCAGCUGAUGCGGAAUCACUGAAACGAGAUCCUGAUCGGUCUCAGUUUUGGAGAGCAAUUUCUGGUGAAUGGAAGCAGUCCCAAGGCUUGAAGAACUCAUGGAGUCGUACCGUACCAUUCUCCGCUGCCAGGGCCUAAACUAGGUACGUGGAAGGCGCACUGUGUUUUGUCAACAACACAAUUCCUUUAUAUAAGUUGGGAUAGUAAAAAACCAUGCCUUCGUCUGUGUUAAUCAAAUCUCAUUUAGCACAUAUAUGGUGGACGUGUUGUUAACUUGUUACCCCCAUGCUUUUCAUUUUUUCGGUGCAGACAUCAACCAUUUGUUCUUAAAUUAAAGCAUAAAGGAGGGCACUCACUUGUACACAUAUUCUUAAGUACUGGAACGACUGCCAUCUGUAUACUCAGCUUCAUUGCAAGUCUCUGCUAACGAUGACAGGCCUGCAGUGGAUGACAAAAACGACUAAGUUUGUUUUCACGGCACUACUAGCUGCUGGUAAUUCUCUCGUCACUAAUGCACACUACUCCCUUCUGUCAUCCAUCAAAGCUGUGGACAAUAUGAUGUCACUCUUAUUUUUUUUAAAAUGAAACCGGCAGGAGAGCUGCCCCACUAUAUUAAAAAGAAGGGACGCUCGAAGGGCCAGAGAAGUGUACACCCUUGACAAGGAAGAAAAAACUACACACACUGAAAAGAGAAACGGUGCACAAAAACACCCUCAAGAAAGCUGCAAUAAACAUGCCAGGGGUGCUUAGCCCCGACCGCCACCCAAGAAGUGGCCUCCCCUUUUAUUUUUGAGAAAACUUGCUAUGAAGAGGACUCUUUGUGAUUGAAAAUUCUUGCAUUCCUUUCAAUCCAAAGUUCCAACAGACCAAAAUGAUUAGGCUCCAUUCGUUCAAAAAAAAAUUUAUUCGUUCAAAAAAAAAUGAUUAGGCUCCUUAGCCCACUCCUAUCGACGCUUGGUGUCCUUGCCUGCGCUGUCCACCACGCGUGCACCAAAGUGCACGGCUCCCAGUUACUAGCAUUAAGACCUUCAUCUACCCAUGCAGCGAUCGCAUCCCAAAUGCGCCUGGUAAACCGGCAGUCUGUUAGGAGAUGCAUUCCAGACUCUUGAACCGUGCGACACAACGCGCAUGUGUCAUUGUGAGGGUAAUUUCAUUUUGCUAACCUAUCUGACGACGUCCAUAUCCUAUUUGGAUUGCCAACCAACUGAAGAAUUUGCACUUCGGGAGCACCACGGCUUCCACAUGAUCGCUUUAAAGUUUGUGAAGGUGGAGCCGAUAAAUUGUGCUUGGUAGGCCGAACUCACAGUGUAUUUAUUAUUCUCUGUCAUUUUCCAUACAAUGUUGUUUAGGUUGUCUGGUAUGAGUUGAACCUGGGCUACUGCUGUCCACAAAUUGCAAAACUCCAUAAAAUACCCCAAUGCUAAAUUUACACUCGACCGGACGUUCCCAUCCUCGUGGUCGACGCGCACCGGUCCUCUCAUCAGUCCAUCAUGUGGGCCCCACUCCACUUUCUUUUCCCCUCGCACGCGCUCUCUCUCCCCUCUCCAUUCCCCUUCUCAUCCUUCUCUUUCUCGAUUUCUUCAUGAGAUCCACCGGAGCGACUCUGCAUGUGGAGCUGUUCCACCCAACGUUGAGCACAGUAGCAACAGGCCUGGUGGCGGGCAGGGGAAGCAGCGAGGCUCCGCCCUGCAGCACACAGUAGCGCUCGAGAUCAUCCCGCGAGGAGCGGGGGAAGGAGCACUAGGACCAUCGAGGGCACCGCCGUGGUCUUGACGAUGAGUGGCUGAUGGAUCUUGGCGAGCUCCGCCGUGGCCGCGGUCGACAGCGAUCUAUUCAUUUUUUUCCUUCCUUUUUUCUCUUCUACCUUUUGUCUCAAAAUCUUUUGUCUGUAUAAAGUUUUUGCUUCCAUUUUUUUUUAUUUCUUUGCAUCGUGAAUUUUUUCUCCAUUUUUUUGCUUCAAAACUUUGUCAAAAAAAUUUCUUUUUCAAUACUUUUUCCAAAAUUUUGUCUCAAUUUUUAUUUUCUGAGUUUUGUUUUCACAAUUUUGUCUUUUAAAAUUUUUUGUCCAAAUUUUGUUUCAAAAUUUUUGUUCGCAAACUUUGGUUUCCAAGUUUUCUAAAAAAAGUUAUCCCCAAACUUUUGUUUUCGAACUUUUUUAUAAAAAAUUCUCAUUUUUUGUUUAAUGAAACAGGAAUCACACGUGGGAAGCCGUUCUGACGUGUGGUUGGAAAUCGACCGCACAGAAGGCUCCCACUGGUCACAUGUAAACUUGCGUCCCCCAUAAAAUAAAUCUGUGUGAGGCUCGAGGUUGAAGGCCUAAUAAGGGCAGCCACAAGACUAUGCUUGAUAGUAGAGAGAAGUUUUGGUUGCCAUUAUAGCCGUCGAUGCUGAGUUAGAGCCCCAAUGCUUGGUUAGUAAAAUAUUGUUCCAUAGCAGGGAACAGGCGUUGCUGGGCAAAGAGAAGUGCAGGAGAACCAAAAGGAAACAGGUACAACUAGCUAAAGAAGCCAGCAGCAGUAGCGGAGGGAGGAGGGGGGGGCACGGGGGCCUGGCACCCCCCACCCUCUGCGGCAUCCGCCCCUGCCCCUGGUGGCCUGGGCCUCUCCUGGCAGGCAGGCACCCCCUGAUGGCCUGUGUGCCUAUCGGCCUGUCACCAGUCACCCCUGGCGAGCGGCCUGCCCGGCUGGCCUAAUAAAAAAUUAGAAGCACCUCCCAGGAGUCCUGGCCCUGGAAUAGUCCGCCCCUGGUAGCAGAUUAGCAAAUAGGCACAUCAGGUCAAAUCAUAUUCCGCUCCUGGUAGCAGUUUUUUGUUCCUAGCUCGCGCCGCUAGUCGAAUCGUAUUCUGCCACCACCAGUCAAAAAAGCAAAUAGGCACAUCAGGUCAUCCGUCAUCAGGACAUGAGCACGAAGCACCAGAGUACGAGGACAAGGAUGAAUGGAUCACUGACAUGACUCGCUGUUGUUUUCUUCGCCAGGCGUCAGAUUGUUGCUGUCCGCAGGUAAUCCAUAAUCAUAAAUCAUCCAAUGAUAUUCUCUUAUCUAAUUAACAGUCACUAGUAAUUCUAAAUUUCCCCCUCUAAUUUAAGUAUUGAUGAUAUUAUUACAGCGUACGAUCUUGCUGCUAGUCGAAGAGCUAAAUUUAAGUUGAUAGAUAUGUAAUUUUAUUUUAGUUAAGACUUGUGAACUAUGCUAUUAUUAUAUCAUUAUAUGCGACUAAAAUCAGCUCACGUGGCUAUCAGUUCUACGUUGCUUUGUCCAUUGCUCCCCUUACCUCAAAUCCUAGCUCUGCCCCUAGCCAGCAGAGAGUAUUUAUGUAAGGUUUCUUAAUUUAUGGGAACCAAAGCACACUCAAACCAUAUUCCAGAAUCUUAUUACAUGCAGAACCUGAAGUAAGGGAGAUUGAAACAUAUGGCACGCAUGCAUGCCUUUAAUUACACUAAUACCAGAAAUUAAAAUACACUGCUGCCACAAGUAGUAUAUAUAUUAAGGUAGCUGGUGUCACGCCAACAUCUGACGCAUGGUAAUGACGGGGAGGACCUGGACGUAGUACUCGAUCCUGUAGGCAACCUUGAGUAUGAGAUCGGGUUGCUGCCAAUUGUAGCCGCCGUCGACGCCGCAGAGGAAGGUCUGCGCGAUCCUGGUAUUGUUCUUGUGCUGCUGGUUGUGCAACACGAUCUUGUACGCAUCUCGGAGAUGUUCUUUCAGACUGCUCACCAUCGACCUGGUGUUCUGGUCCCGCGACAGCUUCCAGGACUGGGGCUGCUGCAUCAGGUCGGCUAUCUGCUGUACGAAUUGUACCAGCUGCUGGAUCUCCCCCCUGUUCUGCCUCAGCGCCUUCGCCUCCUGCACGAUAGAAAGUGCGAGGCGCACGACCUCGUCAUGGUCGCCGGUUCGAGCCCCCUGCUGGUCUCCGCGUCCUCCUGGACCUACCGACAACGCGCUGCUCCUCACUGCAUUCACGUCCCUGCGCAUGCAUGCCGAUCAUCUCUGGUUAAAUUUUUCGUUAUUUACGUACUCCAUAUAGGAAGUACUAUAUGAAUGUUUUAUAUAUCAGCACACGAUGAAUACCCGUCCGUGAUGUCCCUGAUUAUCAACUCCAUCACACUUUUAGCGUCGGAUGACAUAUUGUCCAUGUUAGUCAAGUUCCUGAUAUGAUAGAUGACUUCAGCUCCUCUUUUUCGCUCUGAGAGUGGUCAGAGUACAAAAAAUCCAAAGCUUCCAUGCAUGUUAAAUAUUCAAUAAGACAUGCAUAUAGUAUGAAUAUAGUCAUAAUGAUCAUGUCAUGCAUGAGCUUGGUCAAAAACUAUUAAUAUAUCGCAAAAUCAGGCAACAAUGUUAAUCUACCGCUCCCUCCAUUCUCUUUAGAUAUUAAUCCUUUUCGAACACUAGUACAGUCUAGUAUUGUGCACCCUAAAAGAGUCCAACGUGAUGUAACAUGGUGCUGUCUAUAAGUCAUAGUUUAUGUUUUGAACUUUACUACCUUUUGUUUUUUUAGAUAAUGGAUAAAUAUCCGGCUUCACCCUCCUCUUUCGACGAGGCGGAUCAGUCCACAAUUAUUACAAAACGUAGCUUGUUGCUACAUCCACACUAUGGUUUCGACCAAUCAAACCGACUCAAAGAAAUGAAUUCUGGAAUCAAAAGGUAGCUUGUCACUACCUUUUAUUUAUGUUGCAUUGUUCAUUGCCACAAAUUAUUUGCAAAUAUGAAUCUUAUAAUGCUAAACUUUUAUGGUACAAUCUACGUACAGUUUCUUUCUCAAGUUUUGUAGUUGUUUGCCGUUGAGUAAUAUGUAAUUCCGAUGGAUUCAAGAGUCUAGCUAGCUAGAUUUUGGUACCUGUGGAAGGCGCUUGCAAGCACCAUUUCGAAGCAGCUUCUCAAGCACGUUCAUGAAGAAGCGCUCCUUAUUGAUGCUUACAAUGAGGAUCAUGUUGGCAAUGUGGAACGACUCCAGGAUUUUGGAUAUCCGUGCAUCAACGGCGACGAUCUUGUUGGCUUUCUUUUUGGUUUUGAAGACAAGCGACCAAGUCCUCUUCUCCCUGCAGGACUCAACGAGCGCCUUCCCGUCGUUGAGCGCAUCUUCAAGAUGUUUCAGCGUGCUGUAGGUCACUGGGUCCGGCAUCCACUGGCUUUUCAGCUCCGUCAGGAGGAGGUUAAUCAUUUGCACGUGGUCUUUUAGCAGAGUACAUUUCUCCCUGUUGCGCUGAGCCGCCUCCGCCAGCCGAUUGAUCUGUUCCACGAUGCUCAUCAACGACGAAAUAAGCCCAAUUGCUUCGGCCACCCCAACCAUCUCGAUCGAUUGCGCUGCGCCUGUAUGCUUGCAACGUCAGAUUUGCACGUAUAUGAGUAUACAUGUCUACCCUCCGCCAUCCAAAAACAAUUGGAUGCCGACAAGUGGUAUUGACAAGUCUAUGUACAACACGUGAUGUCAUGUUAAAUUUUAGGUAAUUUUAGCUUUUCUAGAUUCAUAGAUAGUAUUAUGUAUCUAGACAUCCGCUAUGUCUAGGUGCGUAACAAAAACUAUGCAUCUAGAAAAUUCAAAAUGACCUACAAUUUGGGACGAAGGGAGUACACCCUAAUAAAAAGAUUAAUGGUGGAGCCCGAAGCCCAAUUUAUCGUAUAAAAAUAAUACUUGUAAAUAUAUAAAUUUAUUAUAAAAUAUAAAAACUCGAUUGACUAUCUUCUUAAUUAAUGGAGAAAUAUAGGCUGUGAAUUUUCAAAAGGAAAAGGAAAAAGUGUAUUUUUCAUCCUUCAAGUAUUGCAAAAGUGUAACAUUCAUCCUUGAUGUUUCAUUUGGUACAAAUCAAGCCCUGAACUAACUAAAUCGGUUCCAUGUAUCAUCCCCACCUUAGUUUAAUAAUUGUCUAGUGUCAUAUAACAUCGGUUAGACCAUGUAAUCAUCUUCAUAAUUAGUGUUUAGCCAUGUAUAAUAUUUAGUCAAUUGAUUCAAUAGUUUGGUGUGAAUCGGUUCUAUUAAUUUUUCUGAUAAAAUAGUUAUGUGGUAGUCAAUUUAGAGGAUUUAGUUUUCUUUGGGGCUUUAUAUCUUCGACUCAAUAUAUCACAUCACUAAGCAGUGAUUCUGAUGGUACGGAAUAUCCCUAGGAUGUAGUGGUUAGGCAUGGGUAUAACAGGUAUACGGAAAUGUAACUUUACAACACUAUAUAAGGAGGGGAACAGCCCACUAUAAUGGACACUAUUCAUUGAUAAGACAGCGAGUGAUAUCUUGUUUCCUUCGUGUUCGACUGUUACUUCUUCCCAUUUAUUGUGACCUCGCCUGCCCGUGAGGUUAGGUCCUAACACUCCCCUUCACUCCCGUUGUUGGCCGUGCCCGGUGCCAUCUUGAAGCCGAUGCUGCUCAAGCCUAGUGAGCGAGUGAAGGCCGGAGGUGGUUGGCGUGGGCCACGGAGGCCCUCGGGCGGCUACCGGGAGGAAGGCAUGGCGACAGGCCACCUGGGAGUGGCACGGUGGUGCAUAAGUGGCGUCGUACUUAGGAGUGGCAUGGUGGUGUGCGGCGUGGGUGUUGGCAGCAGCACGUCAAGGAUGCAGCUCUGUGUGGCUUGGAGGCAUUGUGGUAGCGCAACCAAGGGUGGUUCGCGCGAGUCUUGCUAGCGACACCAUGGUGGUAAAGCCAUGGAGGUGUGGUUGGGCAGCAACUAGCACGAGACUAUAUAUAUGUUAAUGCAAAUGAAAACUGUAUAAAUGUUCAUGCAAGUGUCAUAUAUGUGUGUGUGUUCAUUCAAAAAGUCGUAAGGCAGCAACUAGCACGAGACUAUAUAUAUGUUCAUGCAAAAGGUCGUAGGGCAGCAACUAGCACGAGACUAUGUAUAUGUUAAUGCAAGUGAAAAUUGUAUAAAUGUUCAUGCAAGUGUCAUAUAUAUAUAUAUAUAUAUAUAUAUAUAUAUAUAUAUAUAUGUGUGUGUGUGUGUGUGUGUGUGUGUGUGUGUGUGUGUUCAUUCAAAAAGUCGUAGGGCAGGCACUAGCACGAUACUAUAUAUAUGUUCAUGCAAGUAGUGUCUCAUUAAUCAUAGCGACGUAACGCCAAAACACAUCAACCAGUUGCAUGCGUAUAUCUAGGCGUUUUUGACCUGGUGUCACUACUACAUACAUAGUUCAGCUAUAACCAACGCUUUUAGAAAGAGUGAUAAUUUCGGCACCGUUACAAAGACCGCAAAAGACCUCUUUCAGAAAGAGCUUAUAAUGUUGCCAUGAUGCACCCACAAACGUCGAUCGCAAAGUCAGGACAGCAAGACAAUUAAGCAAGGAAUCAAAUACUCCUUGGCAUCAUCAACACCCGAAUCACCCUACUAGCUAGCUAGCUACUUGUACAUUCAGAAUUCAGAGCAGCCCUGAACUAUCCUGCUGGGGAAAAGGGGAUAGCCGAGAGACGCUUGCUACCGGCCAGACUCCAAUCUCAGGCCACCGACUGGAUCAAAGCUACCGUACCCUUGAUAAGAAUCCUAAUGAGUUGGAGAGAGAGAGAGAGAGAGACGGAGCCCAAGAACUCACCUUUCUGCAGGGGUCUGUAGCCUCUGGACGCUUCCUCCUCGUCCUAUACUCUUCCGAGCCCAGGCCUCUCCUUCCCCUUUGUUUCUUCCUCGAACCCCUGCAGUUCUUGGAAGUUAUAUUAUGCCGCACUCGCUUCGCAAGAACCCCUGCAGUUGAAUUUUAUGUUAGAAUAUUGUAUGGGCGAAUCAAAGAUGAUAUGACCAGUUCGUUCAAAAAAAAAGAUGAUAUGACCAAGGCAUAUAUAAUAAUCUCUAAUUAAAGGACUCAAGCUGUUUCGCGUACCAUAAUUAUUCUCGGAAUUUAUAUCAAAAGAAACUCUUAAUUUUAAUUCUUCACACAAACUAUUUUAAUAGAAAUAUUCUAGAGAAUACACAAACUAUAGCACAUAUUUACCGUAGCAUCACAUAACCAAGCCAUCACAUAUUUCACUACUUCAGCAGACUGAAUAUAUAUAGAAACUCCAUGUACAAGCAAGAGUGCGUUGCACGUAGGCAAAGGCAGACACUUCUCCAAAUUUUGGUCCCAGCAGAACCAAAAGAUUAAUUAGAGCCACGCGCUUAGGACACAAAAGGUGUCUUUCCCUAUCAACUUGAUCUUUUGUACUACUUAAAUGGUCCAUGACGAUGAAACUCGAUGCUUGAAAUAGGAGAGCCCUCAUGAUUACACACAUGAGUUCUUUCUGUUGGAACAUGAAGAUGUGAGUGUACUGAAUUCGAUCUAAUGAUCUGCAUGAGGUGUUCUGUCAAAGCAUAUAAUCAUUCACCUACAACGCUUCCAAGUUCUGUCUUUCUGAGUAUAUAAAAACCAUGGUAUGUAUGAAUCUAACUCUGUCCAUACGUCUGGUAGUUCAGUCCCUGCUAUUUUUACUAACCUUGUCCUCUAGGUAGAAGUACGGUGGACUUUCAGCGUUGGGUCCUGCAGAGCGAUGGACUUUUCGGUAUGGUGCAGUGUGCUCCUUUCUUGACUUAUGCUAACAGUCUAACACAAAGUUAUGAUUAGGAGAUUGACGACCGUGUGUGUGAUCUGAGGCUGACAACGGCAUGGUGGAGAAGUUCUAGUAGCUACACGGCUUGCAGCGGACUGUGGCGGCCAGUCCUGCAUGGCAGCGACUGGUUUGGCGUGGGGCAUCAUCAGAAACGAUGGCGCUGGCGAUAAGGGCUACUUGCCGGCUUUUUCUGCUAGGUGGUAGUGGUGCAGAGUGGUGGUGGUGCGCAAUGAAGCUUCCAUAUGGCAGUCGUGUGUACAUGUGACUAUGUGAGUCCCCUCCUUUAUGCUUUUCCAGAAAAAAUGAAAAGCAUAAAGAGGGCACUCACAUGCCUCCUUGAUGAAGCUAGCAGCGUUGGGAUGGGUCUCAUGAUUCUUUCGAUUGUUAACAUGGAUCUCAUGGUUCUUUCGAUUGUUGGGAUGGGUGGGAUGGGCAAUGCCACCUUUAAUUUGUGCAACUCAUUUAUAAUGACCUUGCAAUCGUGAAGCAUUUUGAGCUUCAGAGGUGGUGCUCUGUGUCAGAUUAGAAAAAAUCAUUGCAAGGAUGCAUAUUAGUGAUGGAAACUUAUAGAAUGUUUAUCAUUCAACUAACUCAGAUUUUUAUUUGUUCGGUCUGCCUACGCGUCACCUGAGUGAAACAUUAGCCUUCCUCACUCGAACCUCACUCGAACAUCCGAUCCGACACCUUUCCUUCAUCUUCUAUCUUCUAGUGAAGUAUAUAUCUAGGCACGUAGCAAAAAUUAUGUAUCUAGAAAAAAUGACCUACAAUUUGAAACGGAGGGAUUACGUUGGAACAUCAACCAAACAAAUGGACAAACCCUUUAAAUUAUUUGGCCUCCAAGAAUGCCAUACGACCUGAAUGAAUAACUGAAAGCUAACAGUGCUUGUUGUACAUACCAGCUGAGCUGCUUGACUUAGCUAUGUUUAUUCGGUCUGUUCGUGACCCGCGCGUGAUCUAGAGUAUUCGUGUGUUGGCUAGAAAAAGCACCAACACUAUAUUUAUUUGCAAACAGGUUUUAAAUGCAAUACAAUAAUUCAGAAAUCUAGACAUCCUGAGCCAUGCGAGGGAUAAGAAGAAGCUUCUCCUUCCUGUGCACAUCCAACCCAUACGACUCUGCCAUGUCGAUGCCUGCCGACCCCGGCGGAAGCUCCCAGUUGAAGUGGUAGAUGAGGUUAGCAAGGAUGAUCUCGAAGGAGGCGGUGGUGAAGUUCACACCCGGGCACAUCCUUCGCCCGGACCCAAACGGCAGGAAACGGAAGUCGUUCCCCAGGAAGUCGGAGGCAGCAUCCACGGCUUCCUCCAUGAACCGCUCCGGCAUGAACUCCUCUGCACUCUCCCAGGUGGUGGCGUCCCUGCCGAGAGCCCACGCGUUGACGAUCACACGCGUCCCAGAGGGUAUGGUGUAGCCCUCCACGUCGCAUUCGGCCAUGGCCAGGUGGGGUAUCAGAAGAGCCCCCGGCACGUGCAGCCGCAUCGACUCUCUCAUCACGGCCUUGAGGUAGCUCAUGCCGCUGCUCAGGUCGUGUUCGGUGACCAGUUCCUUCUUCUUCCCCUUGGAUGCUGCACACCCCCUCACCUCGGCUUGAAGCUUGGUCAUCGCCUUGGGAUUACGCAUCAGCUCGGCCAUGGCGUAGUCUAGGGCUAUGUAGGUUGUGUCCGUCCCGGCUUCAAACAUGUCCUACAUGAACAUAUCGAUCAGUCAUAUGUACCUCUCGUGAGAAAUAAAGUGGAGCAUAUAUGCCUUGUUUACCGAGAGCAAUUAUUUUGCUGAGUGUUUCUCUGGCGGCACUUGGCAAACGUAUUGUUUACCGAGUGUCCGAUGGAAUGCACUCAGCAAAAACCACCAGACACACGGCAUAUCUACUAUUUGAUAAAUUAAACAUACCAUCAGUAUCGCCUUGACGUUGUCUGUGGUCAGGCCGUACUCUUGUUGAACGGCAAGCAGCACGUCGAUGAAGUCCUCCUCGUCCUCACCAUCGACGACCGUCUUGCUCUUGUGCUUGUCGAUGAGGCUGUCCAAGAGGUCAUCCCAUAUCUUCCUGUGCUUCACGGCCUUGGCCGACACCAUGUCGAACCUCGCCAAGCUCGGGAAGUAGUCGUCCAGGUUGAAUCCCCCCAGGAGCUUGGCGUUCGUCUCCAGCAGCUCCCGGAACAGCUGGUUCCGGCCUUGUUCCCUGGGGAGCCUGCCCGUCACGGCCUGGCACACGAUGUCGUUGGCGAAGAAGCUGAAGAGCUCGCUGACGUCGACCGCCAUGCCCAUGGUGGCGGCGGCCGUCACCUUUGCCAAAACCAGCUGGACCUCGUGCUCGCGGGCGGCGCGGUUGGACCGGACCUUCGCCGCGGUAAGGAGGUGGGUGGUGAUCACCUUCUUGGCCUGGCGCCAGUACUCACCGUAGGGGGCGAAGCCGACGUCGGUGCAGCCGUAGAACAGGACGUCGGCCACCGCGGAGCGCGGCCGGGAGGCGAAGACGUGGUCGUGCGUGCGCAGGACGGCCUUGGCGGCGCCGGGGGAGGAGACGACGAGCGUUGGCACGGCGCCGAGGCGGAGGAGCAGCACGUCGGGGCCAUGCCUCUUUGCGAGGUCGCGGAGGGAGUGGUGGGGAAGGGAUCCGAUGAGGUGGAGGUGGCCGAUGAUCGGGAGCUUGAACGGAGGCGAUGGGAGCUUGCUGAGCAGCUUCUCGGACCUGGACUUUGGCGUAGCCAGGCGAACGGCGACGACGAAGAGGAGGAAGACGAGGGCUAGGGACUGUGGAGAUGCGUGCUCGAAGAGGUGCUCUAGCACUGGAGCCAUGGCGGCUGCUGUGCUCGAUCAACAGCUAGCUUGUGGUACUGUGCCCGUUGCAAUUUCUAUAGCGCUCUGAAGUUGGCAUUCAUUCAUGAUGCAUCGGACGAAGUGAAAGAACAGUAAUUGUGGACUUAUGGUGUGUUUAGUUGACAUAUAUUUAAUUAGUUUCUAAGUACUAAUUGCACAUGGAGUAACACAAGUGAAGCUUUAAAAAAAAAUAGAAUGGAUACGGAGGGAUAAUUCAUCGGUAUCCAUGAAUUGACAAAGCACAUCUCUCAAAGCACAUCUCUCAUCCAUGAAUGGAUAUGGAGUAACAACAUAAAUAAUUCAUGGAUAUAUACGAAGGGAUUCGAUCCAUCGGUAUCCAUGAAUUGACAAAGCACAUCUCUCAAAAACCCACAAGUUCUUGAGUGCAACUGCAUUAUUUAAGAUCCCAUGCAUGUGCUAUUUUCGUUGUCCGUAUCCAUCAGAUGCACACAUCCAAAAGUGCAAACGUUGACAAAAACCCGGCCACAAGUUCUUGAUUUGCAACCCCAUGUGCUAACUGGAAGGCCACUAUUAUUUUUUUUUGUAAUUUCCGCACCAGCCUGUUGAAUGUUUGACAAAACAACGGCACCUGUUUUUGUAAUUUCCGCCACCGUGCCUCCCUCCUCUCCGCCGCGGGUCACCACCGCGCCUCCCUCCUCUCCCACGCAGGUCACCGCCGCGCCUCUCCCGUAGGCCGCUGCUGCACCUCCCUCCUCUCCCCUAUAGGCUCCACCGUAUCCAGUGCCGUGCCUCCCUCCUCGGUUAGUUUUUCUUUUUAUAAUCCGAUAAUCUUAAUUUUGAUGCACUAAAAUGAUUUUUAAAUAAUUUCAUGAAUUAAAGAUGAUGUUUGUGGAAUAAUCUAUCUUAUUGCAAUUUUGAUAUAUGACAAAGUGGAAUGAAAAAUGUUCUGUUGAUAUAUACAUGAGAUCUAAAACAAGAAUUGUAAAUUUCUUCCAUUAUUUUGUUGCCUAUCUUUUAUUCUUAGAAGUAUGGACAAUCUUUUAUUCUUAGCAUUUCGUAAAUUAUGAUGUUUUAUGGCGUAAUGAUUAUUGAGUAGAUGUUUGUGGGAUAAUCUAACUUAUUACAAUUAUAUUUGGAUAGUUUGGGUUAACGCGCAAGUUGUCAUUCUUUCCGCCAUGAUGUUGGCGGCCGUGGUGGUGGUGGCGGCCGUGGAAGUGACAGUGGACGCUACAUUUUUGUGGAGCCACCAUUAGCUCAUCCUCCAUGAAUUCACUUUCCUUUUCACGCCAUUGACUUGCCUACCGGUGAUCGAAGUAAAGGAGUAAUUCUCAACAUAGUAAUAUUAUUUCCUUCUUAUAAUUGAUAUUUUUACUACACAUGAAUAAUUCAUAAAUUUACUUACAUACAAUGUAGCUUAUCAACCCUAUUAGAUGGCUCAAAGAAAUUGGCUCAAAGAUGUUGUCGAAGCUCUAGGUGGCACUUCUCCUUCAGUGCAAUUUGAGGCCUACCUACAACAGCUUAAGGAUCAUGGGUACUAUGUGCUAGUCUUAUCAUAUUUUUGAAUAAAGGCACUUUAGGUGGGAGAAAGCAAUGUGACAAUAACUACCGAGAGACUUUGUUAGCCGAAUGAAAAUGACAUGGUUUGGAACAUAUCUAAUAAAUCUUUUAUCUCUAGUUAUGUUACAUUUUUUAACUUUCAUCGUGUUAUUCUCAUUUUUAUGUUAUCUUUGGUCAAACCAUUGCAGCAAUAAGCUUUCAUGCGAUUCUGGGAUCAACUCUUGGAUGUGUUGAAUUAUAGUUACAUAAAUGGAAAUCCGAUACGCCCCAGAGAUUCCAAGCUCCAGAUUCAUCUCACUUUCUAAAGGGUAUAUGAGUUUACCUCCCUGUUGUUCGAGAUUUAUGGUAGUGCAUGUGACUGUUCAUGUGAAGCGAUAGAAAGUGCACUAAUCCAUGUUGUAGUUCAUAUUGAUGAAGUUAAAGGCUUUAGGAUUGGAGACUUAAACUAUGUUGAAUAUCUAAGGAAGCGAAGCGGAGUAUGAAAUAUGUAGCGAGCACUGCCUUGGUCGGCAUUGUCGCGGUCCUUGCGCAGCUGCUAGCACUAGUCUCUUGCUGCAUCUGCGUUAGCAACGGAUUGUUGUUGGGCGUUGACUUGCUCCUGCUGGCACCGUGCUGCACGGUUUUGAUUCUUGGCAUUACGGCCUUCUUCCUAAGAUUCCAUUUUGCCAUCAUGUGGUGGCUCAUCAGCGGAGACCAUGAAAGCUUCAUGAUCGGGCGUGAAGGAGUUGCUCUCAUCAUCGCUUCCAUAAGGAUUUGGUGUCAGGACGAUGCGGGGCACCUACAAUUCAUCAUAGUUUGGAAACUGGGUGGAUUUGGGCAGGUCUCUAGAUUGCAUCUGGAAAACCUAGUCAAGCUUACCGGAGUACUCGACGGCCGAGUUCCGUAGACUGAAAGGGAUGGGGAACGGACCCUACGCCAACCUUGUUGAGCAUAGUGCCACCUCAGAUAACUCUAUGCACUCAGCAAUAGUGCUGCUGAUGCGAUCUAGCUCCACGAUCAGAUUGUUGGGCAUGCGUGGGCGGGCGCCGACGAGUAGAUCUGGAACCUUCUUGGACAAAGAGAGAGUUCGCCGCCUUGCUAGGAGAGUGGCAUGACGAUCCUUGGGUGGAGAAUUUUUUUUGCUGCAACAGAUCCGACGGAAGCCAAGCUGGUUGUGGACGCUGAUUCGAUGGAAGACGCCAAGUCAACAGAACAAGCGGUCGGAUCGAAAUCUGCCAGCAUGGACCUGAAGUGAAUCUAGAUUGGGUUGUUGAGGAUGUCCUUCAUGCUCUCGGAGAAAACAACAUCGGGAUGGGAUGCCAUCAAGGUCGCAAAAAGGACCUCACAACCCCCUACCUGGUACACCAACUGUUCGAUUUAGUAGCCCGACAGUCCACAAGGUGGUUACCUAAGUAGUUAAUUUGUAGGCGAGGGUGAUUGCGAAACCAUGAACUCGAAGGUAAUUGCGAGAACAUGAAGGGGAUACGAGGGUUUUUAGACAGCUUCUGGCCUCUAGAGAGAGUAAUACCCUACGUCUUGUAUGCUUGGUAGUUUGUAUUGAUUAGUGGUUCGAUGCGAUUCGAUUGGAUUGCCCUCGGGACUACAAUUUAGUUUAAAUCUAAUCUACUUGGUAUUAACAUGGAAGGUAAUCUGAGUUGGACUACAAAACGUGUUCCAUGAUAUCCAGAUAGAUUUGGACUGUCUCAUUGCCUUCAAGUAACUUCAUGUCCUCAGCCCGCACGCUCUGGUCGGGCAGGCCCACUUGUCAGGUCCAGCCAGUAUCCUAGUCGGUGGGGACCCAUGGGGUACCCAUAUCCCUUAGAUGUACUCGGUACCAUUUUCACAUGGAUUUGAAGUUGUUCUCUCUAAUACCUUAAAUAUUGAUGUAAGAACUUGUGAGACUGGUUAUAUAUAUAUAUAUAUAAAUAUAUAUAUAUAUACAUAUAUCUAUAUAUAUUUCAUUGCAUAUACAUUGUUCUAUGAUUGUCUGAUCUGAAUGGGUUGAUACUAGUGAGACUUGGAUUUAAAUGGGUUGAUACAUGGGAGAACCACUUUUAAAAAUUUGGUGUGAAAAUGGCACUGAAUUUGGGGUUUGCUGAGUGUCAAAAAAUAAGGGGUUUGCCGAGUGUCAAAAAAUUACACUCGGCAGGGGGGGUGUUGCCGAGUGUAAAAAACCAACACUCUGCGAACAUUAAAAACCAAAAAAACCACCCCCUCCACGCCCCUAAAAUCACGCGCACCUGGCCCCCUCCGCCUUCCCCAUCCCAACCCCUCUGCGUUCCCCACUCCCUCUACCUCCCCCGCUCCCUCUCCCACGCCUGCCGCCAGGGGCCGCCCCCCGCCCCACGCGCGCGCCGCCAGCCACGCCCCCCAGCCCCGCCGGCCGCCGGCCCCUCCCCUCCCCUUCUUCUUCCCUGGUGCCAGCCCUCCCCCUCCCCUUCUUCUUUCCCGACGCCGACCCUCCCCCUCCCCUCCCUCACCCUCCUCCCACCCUCCCUCGCCAAAUCCGGCGCCCCCUUCCCGGAUCCGGCGGCGUAGUGGAAUGGGUGGUGGUGGCACAGCAUGUGGCGGUGUUGGCUUGGUGGUGGCAGUGGUGGAGCCGGUGGAAGAGGUGGCGUUGGUGGCGGCGGCCUUCGGGGUGGCGGAUUCGCCGCCUCCUCGCCGGAUCCGGCGGAUCCACCGUGCCCCUCCCCAGAUCCACUGCGCCCCUCCUCGCAGAGCCGUCUGAAAGCGUGGUGAAGGCGGUGGUCGGUGGUGGCGUGGUGAAGGUGGCGUCGGGGAGUGGCAUGGUGAAGGCGGCGUCCUUGAGUGACUUUUUCACCAAGCCAGCGGGGAACAUGGGGGCUUCGGCCAGCAGCAUCAAGCCGGCGGCAAAGGUGGAUGGCAAGGCCAAGCAAGCGGCGGCGAGCAGCUUCGAGCCGGUGGCGAGGUCGGAGGGCAAGACCAAGCAUGCGGCGGAAAGCAGCUCUGAGACGGCGGCGAAGGUGGAGGGCAAGCACGUGGCGUAGGUUGUGCAGGCGGCAGCGAAGACCGAUGGCGGCCAGCGGAUACUGGCCGCUGGUGUUUUUUUUCGAAAAAAUGGUUUGCGGAGUGUUUUCUGGGCACUCGGCAAAGUGCCCGACAGAAAAUACUCGGAAAACACUUUGCCGGAAGAAUUUUUACCGCUUUGCCGAGGGUUCGCCAAGUAUUUUAGGGGCUUUGCAGAGCUUCUGUUCCCCGUAGUGGAAGCAUUUCUUUUUUCUUUGGUUAUACUCUUGUGUUAGUUAUCCUCAUCCCCUCGUGUUAUGGAACCCGUUUGUAAGUGUUGCGUUCUCUCUGUCUCUCCACAGCUUUUCAGUUGUCUCUUUUACUAUUGUUUUUAUUCCUUUUUUCCUUUCUACUAGGUCCCGUUUGGUUUCCUCAACUUAUUUUUAGCACCCGUCACAUCCGUUUGGUUUCCUCAACUUAUUUUUAGCACCCGUCACAUCAAAUGUUUAGAUACUAAUUAAUUAGGAGUAUUAAACGUUGACUGUUUACAAAACCUAUUACACAGAUGGAGGCUAAAUGACAAGACGAAUCUAUUAAGCCUAAUUAGUUCAUGAUUUGACAAUGUGCUGCUGCAGUAACAUGAUAAUCCUCUUGCCAUCUUUUUGGUGAAAAAAAUGUGGUACGCUGCUUGAUGAAGCUAGAAACUGGAUCUCAUGGUUCUUUCGGUUGUUGGGAUGGGUGGGAUGGGCAAGACCACCUUUAAUUUGUGCAACUCAUUUAUAUGACCAUGCAAUUGUGAAGCAUUUUGAGCUUCAGAGGUGGCGCUGUGUGUCAGAUUAGAAAAACAUUUGCAAGGGUGCAGAUUAGUGAUGGAAACGUAUAGAAUGCUUAUCAUUCAACUAGAGUGUCUAUAGCUCACCCAAGUGAAACAAAGAUCCUCCUCACACGAUUUUUUGUGCCAGUGUAUCAAAAAUCAGCGGCUCAGAUCCCUCCUCAAUGUCUACCUUAUCUCCUCCCCCACCCCUUCGCUACCCGCCGCCUAAACCCUCCCCGACCCCUCCGGCGCGGGCGGGCUAGGAUCCGCCAGAGCUCCGUGCCGACCGGCCCCAAGCCCGCCGGCGCAGACCGCCUCCUGCCCCUCUCGCCGCCACCUCCCACCGCCGCCUCCCACCAUCGGCACCCCCGCUCUGGCACCGCCCAACCGCUAUCUUCCGCCGCCUGGCUGGCAGCGCCCAAGCCGCCACGCCUCGCCGCCGGCAGCCCUCCCUCUAAGGCCAGCAGUGAGGAGCCCCACCCCGGCAACCCCUAUACCCCUAAUCCCGAAACCCUAACCUCGAACCCCUAACCUUGCCGGAAUCUUGCUGGAGUUGGAGAAGAAAGGGGGAUGGGGUAAAGAAAAAUUGGGUGACGAGAGGCUUUAUUUCAAUCGGGUGAGAUUUAGCUUUCCCUUUCAACUAACUCACAUUUUUUUGGGUCUGUCUAUGCGUCACCUGAGUGAAACAUGAGCCUUCCUCACUCGAUUUUUUUAGCUGUCAGAUGAACAUCCGACGCCUUUCCUUACUAGGUGAAACAUGAGCCUUCCUCACUCAAUUUUUUUAGCUGUCAGAUGAACAUCCGACGCCUUUCCUUCAUAUUCUAGUAAGUAUAUGUCUAGGCGUAUAGCAAAAAUUAUGUAUCUAAAAAAAAUAACCUACAAUUUGAGAUAAAGGGAUUACAUUCGAUCAUCAACCAAACAAAUGGACAAAACCGUUUAUUUGGCCUACAAGAAUGCCAUACGACCUGAAUAAUUGAAGCUAACAAGGCACUUUAUUGUUGUACAUAGCAGCUGAGCUUGACUGUCGGGCGUACAUCCUCGGGCCCACGAGUACACCUUGUACAGCCCAUCCAAGGACGUACUUGGACCUGAUCAGGACAUAGAGGCUACGUCACAGGGUAACGUAGCCUACACGGACUCCUGAAGACUAGUCGCAGUGUAUAAGGAAACUGCUCUGCCUAGUCAGAGUAGGACUCUAUAAUCGUACUCGACUAGGAUUCCACCCUGUAACCCUGCUCUUCCAGAUAUAUAAGGGUGGGCAGGGACCCCCUCCAAAACAAUCCCAUACCAACGCAAUAUACUCGAUCAUACAUACCACACAGGAUGUAGGGUAUUACGCGAUCUAGCGUCCCAAACCUGUCUAAAUCGUGUGCCUUGCGUCACCAUCGUCUCCUUGAUUCUCGAUAUCCCCACCGCACAAAAUACCUCCUAGGGGCCUCCCUAGACGGGUUGCCAGUCUAAAACAUCGACAACUAGCACACCAGGUAGGGGAGUUGCCAAGUUUAUCCACGCGAGAUCGAUGGCAUCAAUCAUCAUCAAGCCGGCGUUCACUUUCGAAGCGGGCACAACUUUCAUCUUCGGCUCCUAGCUUUGCAUCGCUGACGACGCUGGAUCCUUCCAAUACUGCAUCAUCAACAACCGGGAGAAGAAGCAUCUCGACAAAAAUUCUCUUCGACAAAAAGUAGACGAUCUCGUCGAGAAAAUCAACAGUUUUGAUCUAUUCAAACAUCCAGUUCGACUACAGCUCGAACUCGAUCAUGGCUCGGACUAGUCCACGUAAGCUAGCAAAGAAGUCACUGCGCAGAUCGGUUUCAACUCCAAAUCAAUUUCCAUUUGGACUCCAUAAUACAGCCAUGGUCCAUCAAGCACUCCUUACUCGAAUCAAAUCUGGACUAGAGUCAGAGGAGGACUACGACUAUGACUUGGAUACACCAGAAGAGUACACCAGCAACUAUCGCGGCUUCAUUGACGAUGACUUCAACUACUCAUCUCGACGACUUCGACGGGCGGCUCCCUGACGACUUCUUCGGCUACGUCGUGGCGCCCGCCGAUGAUGACCUCGUCAUGAAGCUCGCCGACAACUACUCCAACUACAUCACGGCAGUCAGCGAUGACUACUCCAACUAGGUCGUGAUGUCCGUCAGUGAUUUCUCUGACUACGUCGCGACGCUCGACGACGACAACUUCGAUAGGCGAUUCGCCAGCGGCUACUUUGACUAUGCCAUGACGCCCGCCGAUGAUGACUCUGAUUACUUUGUCGGGCAGCUCGGCGACGACUACUCUGGCUACAUUGUGACACUCCCCGACAACUUCUUCGACUACAUCGUAGCACCCGCCACCGACUACUCUAACUUCAACGGGUGACACGCCGAAAACUUCUCCAACUACGUCACGACACUCACCGUCAACUACUCUGACCGCAUCGAGCCACCGCCGACUACAUCAACCUCGCGGGGGCGCUUGGCAACUCACCGACGACUACUUGGCUCGGCGACACACCAACGACUACUUUGUCGUGACGCUUGCCAACGACUCCUAUGGCGUUGUGACGCUCACCGACGACUACAUCGAUGAGCAACUCGUCGACAGCUACUUCGACUACUCGUCUCGACUAGAAAACUAGUCGAGGGCGGGCCUCCCACCAUCGACAACUAGUUGGAAUCGACUCCGACUAGUCGGCUUCAUCAAACAACUGUCGCGGUUUCAUCGACGACCGCCACAGUUUCAUCACAAUCGGCCACGAAUCAAGCUAAGUCACUUAUCUUACUACUUCCUAGGUUGCUUUCCUCUCGCGCACAACACACACUCUAUUUGCCGGAGGGUAGCAAACGCUUGCACACAACAUGCGCUCUACUCGCUGGAGGGCAGCAAACUCUUGCGCACUCGCACUCUCUUUUUGUCGUAGCAGUGACUACUCUUUUUUGUCUUCUCUUAAGGUCACUAAUCUUCUCGAGCAGAACAUGCCUUAACUCGUGAAAGUGUCAGGUGCACCUGUGACACCAAAUGCUAGCACACAUACACGAGACCACGCUCUCAGCUAUGCACAUACACGUAUAUGAGACAACGCACUCACACACGUAGUGCCUAUGGCUAAACGGGGACGGAGAGCCUAAAACGUAACAGGCUAACUGCUCAAGAAGAAUAUGACCGAAACAAGAGCUUGACACACAACUUUCAUAUUAAUCGCUGAAUAACUAUAAGUAGUUUCAAUAUUUUACAAAAAUGCUACAUAAUGUACGCAUCUUUUCUUUCAGGUCAAACUUUGGCGAUGACGCUCAUCAUGUCGCUAAGCGUGCAUUCAACGGCACAUACUACUUGCCGAACUCGGGGGCUAAGCACCAAUCACUACUCGAAAUAUCUCCAAUGGCUCAGCUAGCUCCAAAGAUCGAGGGCUGAACGCCGCAAUAACUACUCGAUGUGGCUCCUACGGCUCGCCCAGCACAUAAGCUCGGGGGUUGGAUGCUGCAAAAAUUACUAGGAUGAUGACUUGUGCAUAGAUUCAAGAUCCUUGAGUUGAUUAUUCAAUCAAUUCAAGGCUCGGGGGCUGCAUAUACCGUUACCCAUCAAACAAAGAUUUCUUUUUCUCAAGACAAGGAGAAGACGAAGCAAAAUUACAAGUAUGACCCUCAUCUUGAUUCUUCGGUUCAACCUAAGGUUCGGGGGCUACUCCACAUGGAGUGCGAUUGUCAUCGCACUUCCAUAUAAAGAUUCAAGCCAAGUCUACACGAAGCAACUUCAAGAGAAGCGAAGAAUACCUUGCAGCCAUGUGACAGUACUCGGGCACUCGAAGUUUGGUCUGUUGGAGGUAUGCCCUAGAGGCAAUCAUAGAGAUGAUGAUAUCUGAUUGUAUCCAUGAUUUGUAUAUUGUGUUCAUUGAAUAUCCAUUAAAGGCUACUUGAAUUGAUCUGCAAUUAUGUGAAUUGUAUGUAGAACUCUUUACUUGUAUGGUUAUUCUAAAAGUUGUCCCUAGUCGGAGUUCAUGUGUGGACACACAUGAAUAUUAGACUGGUACAUGUAUUAGUUGAUGACUAUGUUUCACAAGUCAUGGACAUGGAAAUGUCAAACUAAUAAUGUAGGCAUAUGUAGAGACAUGUGCUAGGACUGACCCAACGAGAGAAGUAGUUCUCUCUUUACACAACAUGUACGCUUUAUCCUUAGACCUGAGAUUGUCGCAUGUACUCAAGAUGUGGUUUGACUUACUUAGGGGCUAUCAAACGCUACACCGUAACAGGGUAGUUAAAAAGGUAGCGUUCGGGUUGGUCAGGAAGCAUGCUGUGAGGCAUGGUCAAUCAAGAUGGGAUUUGCCCCUCUCUGAUUGAGAGUGAUAUCUCUGGAGCCCUCGAGUGAUCAGAUUCGAAAAUGCAUGGCCAUGCUACGUACGGUUAAGAGUUAACCUACAAAGGGAUUUCAAAUCAUAGUAUCGAGAAAGAGCGGUCGGUUUGAAGCUAGACCAAAUAUCGUGAGGCAAAGGGAAUAUCAUGUACAUGAUGUUGUGACGGUUCGUCUGAUAUGAUCUUCGUGUGCGUAUAGGAGUUGGCACGUCUUGCUAGAGGCUGCUACCGACUAUUGGGCCGAGUAGGAAUACUCGGGCCAUGUCUAUACGUAUCCGAACCUAAAGGGUCACACACUUAAGGGGCUAGAAGCCCAAUUUGGAUAUGAUCCGAGUUGGAUCAGGUUUAGAAGUACUAAUGGGCCUCAGACCUAGAGGCCCGUCAGGAACCUCUAUAAAUAGAGGGGUGGGGCGCCCUAGGGUUUCAUCCCUUUGGCCGAAACACAUCUGCCGUGCCUCCCACACCCUCGCCCUGUUGCAACUUGCGAACCUAGCAGUCUGGCUUGCGACUCUUCCUCCCUGCACGUGUGGAUACCUUGGAGGUGUUGCACCUGUAGCACUUGGACGAGCCGCGACGAGCCACGACGAGCCGCCGACGAGCCAUGGCACGAGGACGACCUUGCUGCACGUGGACGAGCUACUGAGGAGCUGCUCGAUGUCGACAUGAUCGACUACGUGUUUGACUACGCUGAUCGACUUCGCUGCCCCAACGCGAUUUUACAUCUUCCGCACCAGUGCGUCGAGUGGUAAUCCCGUGAUCCAUAUACGACAGUUUUCCUGGUUUACGCGGUAGAAAAUUUUUGUUUUGCGCUAGCGUAGCCUACCUCGUAGCCCCACAUGGUCACCACGAGGAAGCGCUCAAAAAACACAGGCUACAAGUACUCGGAGCUCUUCCACUCGACUACAAAGUAUUCGGGGGCUUGUCGGGUGUACUCGGACGUGAUCAGGACUUGGAGGCUACGUCACAGGGUAACAUAGCCUACACUGACUCUUGAAGACUAGUCGCGGUGCAUAAGGAAAUAGCUCUGCCCUGUCGGAGUAAGACUCUGUAAUCGUACUCGACUAGGAUUCCAUCCUGUAACCCUGCUCCCCCAGAUAUACAAGGGAGGGCAGGGACCCCCUCCAAAACAAUCCCAUACCAACGCAAUAUACUUGAUCAUACAUACCACACAGUACGUAGGUUAUUACGCAAUCUAGUGGCCCAAACCGCACAAAAGACCUCCUAGGGGGCUCCCUAGGCAGGUUGCCGGUCUACAACACCGACAUUGACUUAGUUAUAUUUAUUUGCAAACAGGUGUGAAAUGCCAUACAAUAAUUUCAACCCCAGAAAGCUACCAGUUGAAGUGGUAGAUGAGGUUGGCAAGAAUGAAUUCAAAGUGGCGGUGGUGAAGUUUAUACCCGGGCACAUCCUUCCCCUAGAAGUCGGAAGAAGCAUCCACGGCUUCUUCCAUGAACUUCUCGGGCAUGAACUCCUCUGCACUCUCCCAGUAGGUGGUGGCCCUGCCUAGAGCCCAUGUGUUGACGAUUACACAUGUCCCAGAGCGGUGGGACGGAGUGGUCGGAUCCGGGUGGCGUGGAGUGGAGCAGAGCUGGCGGUGUGGGCGGAGCAAACUAGGGGAGGGAGGCGGAGCCGAUGGGGCCGCAGGCGACGAUCGGGGGGCUCGCGGGGGCAGCGGUCGGCUGGCGUGGUGCGUUUUUUUUCGAAAUUUUUUUAGAACUGGGACUAAACGGGACCCCUUUUGUCUCAAAAAAUAUAAUUAGUCCUGGUUGGUCAUUGGAGAGAUAUGCUCCUUCCCGAUUGGGACUAAGAGCAACUCCAAGAGACUGUUAAUUUUACCCCAAUACCUUUUUUAGGGAAAAAGAAAAAAAAUAACUCCAACGGUCCACCAAAUAUUCGGGGCGUCCCCAUCUUCCCCAAUCCGCUCCCAUGGUCUUUCCCUUGGGCGUCGUCAGGAUCUGCAAAGUCCCGCCGUUAGCGUCGUCAGGGGACCAUGCACCGGAUCUCAGUGGCCAUGGCGAGAUCUCACUAGGGCACGGGCACGGGCAAGGGAUGCAUCAUCAUCGCUACCACCAGUUCGGCGUUGAGGGGAAGCUGCUGGACGGUGGCGGCGCCGCUGCCGCGGCACAGCAGCUCGACGCCAGGGUUUUUUCUCCAGUCCCGUCGUGGAUAACGGUGAGUGCCAUUGGUGCUGCUCUCCCGUCUUUGUUUGUCUCCACCCGCAACAACACCAAACUACAAAAACGUUGCUCUUUACUCUCUUCAAACUACACAUGAUUCUUGAUGAGCUAGCUAUCUGGACUAGAUUAAUCUAUGUCGUUGUGUCAUUGGCAUUUCGAACUUCCUACGAAUCUCGCUUUUGGAAUUCUCUCCUAGAUUUCUGUCUGACAGGAAAUAACAUCAUCAUUUUCUUUAUUUCGACCUGUCUGAUAUCGAUUCGAGUGUAGAAGGAGGUAUGUUCGGUAGGUCCAAUUACGAUGAUGUGGCAAAUAUUAAUUGAGGAGUAUUUUUAACGUUCUGCUGUGGCCUGAGGGAAAAUUUUUAGCAUAGCUCCCAAUAUCUUAUUUUCGGGAAAAAUUUUUUGGGAACUUUUGAAGUUGCUCUAAUAGUCAAUUUUCUACCACUGGUUGCAUAGAGGGGGAGGAGGCGAGGGUUUUAGGUGAGGACGAUGAGGUGGCGCCCCCCUCCCUUUCUCCGAUUCCUCCAAUCUGUUGUGCGAUGCUUUAACUGUCUCUAUAAAAUUGAUAUGGUUAGAUAUGUCAUAUUCUGUGGGUGGCACCUCACGAUCAGAAUGUGUGCCUCUAUAUAUGUUGUGCCAAUGCAGUCCAUUCGAGGUAGUACCAUAGCCUGACUGAACUACUGAAAAUGAAAAGCCUACCAGACUCCUUCUGCAACAGCACAGUCUACCCCUAUGUUUACAACCUGACUUCCUCCUACAUCGACCAGAACAAUGAGGCCACCAUGGUGACCACCACCUUGGCCAUGUUCAUGCUGGCCGUGUUCUUCUUCAACCUCAACCUCUUCAGCCGCUUCUCCGACGUGAGCGCGAUUCUCAACCCUAGCGUCCGCCUCUUCCUCUCCACCUCCCUGUCCCUCUUCCUGCCGGUCAUGUCCUACCUCUUCUCCGAGGCCAAGAACCAAGGUGCAACGACCAUGGCUGCUACUACUAGCAGUAGCUCCAGUUAUGGCGAGCUCGGCGACGAGCUGUCGCUUCGAGCUAGGACGAUCCUCAUGUGGAUGCUUCUUGUGGAGCUCCUCCGCAAGAAGGUGGAGGCCGUCCUGGUCAGCGUGGGCAUGCAGUGGUACUCAGGCGCCAUCGAUCGCUUCGCCCGCAUCGUUUGGCUCGGCUACCUCGUCUUCUACAAUGUCAAAAGCCCCGGCAAGAAGGCGAUCUAUGGCACCUUAUGGGUCCUCACUGCUGCCAAGUUCCUGCAAAGGGUCGUCGUCAAGAUGGUGCUGGAGCGUUCCUUCGCCUACGGAAGGAACACCCAGCUGCUCAACUCAUACAUGGCCCAGAUCAUCCAACAAGAGCAAGAGCAAGAGCAAGAGGAGCACUCGGGAUCAUCGUCGUCGGCGGAGCUGUUGAAGAAGUGCGAGUACACCGUGAUGGGAGAAGAAAAUCUGGAGAGGACGGCUGGCCGGCAUGGCUACCAGGUGGAGCUGAACAAGGCGGCCGUUGUCACCGUUGGUGACAUUUGGACGCAGGCAGCAGCCGAGCCGGACAGCCUCCUCCGGAGAGAACACCUUAGAAGGCUCUGCCUCUCCUUUGCUCUCUACAAGCUGCUGCGCCGGAGGUUCGAGGACAUCCCCACAACAAGAGAGGAGACCCGGAACUGCCGGAACCUCAUCUUCAAGGGCUUGUUGAAGGAGCAAGAAGGUGCCGAGGUCGCACUGUUCCAAGUCUUCAACGAUGAGACCCAGUUCGUUUGCGAGUACUACCAUUCCGUCCUACCCGUCGUCUUGUCCGACCCUUUCUUCUUCCUGGUCAACUACAUCCUGUUUCCCAUUGUAGUUUCUGCCUUCUGCCUCCUAACACUGAUCAUCUGCGGCAAUGGGAGCGUCCGCUACGCCUACCAGAGCAUCACAAGUGACAACUACAUCAUAUACACUGGCGCGACGACGCUGACCAGAUGCCUCCUGAGAAACAUCGCCCAUUCACCCGAGGUGCUGUUCGCCAGCAUCGACCUAGGCACCACCACUCUGCUCAUCCUGGCCUUCGUCUACGAGGAAGUCGUGGAGGUCCUCGUCUUUAUCCUCUCCAAUUGGCUCAUCGUGUCGCUCCUCUGUCAGUACACCGCCAAGCGCCACUGGCGGCAGAGCCGCAUGGUAUGUUGGCUCAUCCGCGGCAUCCUGUGGGUGCGAAGCAUGCUAAGCCACCCUAACCUCAGCUUCAAGCAGCUCUCCGUGCUAAGGUUCUUCCAACUGUCGUCGCCUUCGCCGAUCAUGGUGCCAACCAAGGCAGUGCCCAAGGAAGUGAUGGAGUCGAUCGUGGAUUAUCUGGUGGUUCACUUGGAUGUCUACGGCAUCGAUGGCCAUGACGACCCUCUCAAUUCGGCCUGGUCCUCCACACUGCAACAGGAGAAGCACAGGGCAUACCGUCCCCUGCUCUUGCCGGUGUGUGAGAGCAAGAGCAUCGCUGAGUUCAUCCUCACCUGUCACAUUGCCACCGCCCUAAUGGAGGUGAGGUACCCGCAGGACGAAAAGGAAAUGGGAUCUCAUCGCAAGGUGGCGACGACGCUGUCCAAGUACUGCACUUACUUGGUGGGCUUUUACCCAGGGCUUCUUCCGGACGACAAGAAUGGGACAAAGCACACUUACAAGAAGAUGAAGGAGGACAUGAACAAGGAGCUUGGAGGGUGCUGGUGGUACCACCUGUCGCUGCAGGGAACCAGGUACAAGAGGCUGAUGGAGAUCGGCGAAUCGAAGCAGAAGGCCGUGACAAUGGUGCGCAACGGGGCCAGGUUAGGGACAGCACUGAUCGAGAAGGCCGAGGAGAACAACGAGGCGCGUGAUCGCGUGUGGGAGCUGCUGAACGACCUUUGGACGGAGGUCAUGGUGUAUGUGGCGCCGUCGGCCGGCGACCUCCACGUGAAAGCCCACAAGGAGGCGCUGGCGCGCGGCGGUGAGUUCAUCACCGUGCUUUGGGUGCUGUGUACGCACACCGGCAUGACCAGGCCAGCCCUCGCACCGUGGGAGGUAGCACGUCAUGCGUUUGAACCAUAGAGCAUUAUUGGCUUCCCGUGUGUGCCGAUCUUUCGAGGACAGCUUGCUUGGGAUGGUUCAUCUCACAUGCUCCAUUCCGCUACUAACGCUAACAUUAGUACCGCGUCAUAAUGUGACCGGUACUAAGGGAGUGGACGAAAGAUAUAUUAAAAAUAGAUAUAUAGCCACCCGUUGUGAAUGCAUGGGUUGAUGCCAGUAAUUCCUAGAAAACGAGGCCAACCACAACCUCUUCAUCCACUUCUCCGACGUGAGCGCACAAUUCUCAACACUAGUAAGAAACAGAGCUUUAGUCCCGGUUUUUUAGUCCCGGUUGGUAAGGAUCAUAGAUCCCAAAAAUCCAAUCGAGACUAACUAUUCAAGGCUAAAUGACUCCUUUAGUCCCGGGUCAUUCACCUGGGACUAAAGGUGCCCUUUAGUUCCGGUUGGUGUUACCAAGCGAGACUAAAAAAAUUCCAAAAAAAAUAAAAAAAGCCAUCCGCGCCCGCCGCCCGCCUGCCUCCCACGGCCGCGCUGGCCUCAUGCUGCCCGCCCGCGCCCACGCCGACCACGUGCUACGACCCGCCCGCACCCACCCGACCGACCGCCCGCGUCGGAGCAUGGAAGAAAGGGAGAGGAGGAAGAAGAAGAGAUAAGGUGGAGAGGCCCUGCGUGGGAGAUAAGAAAGGGAGGGGAGGAGAUAAGUGGAGAGAAAGGGAGGCGACGAGAUUUUGUCUUGGUUGGAAUUUCCAACCGCGACAAAAGAUUUACUUCCGGUUGGAAUUUCCAACCGGGAUAAGGGUGGCGUCGAUGUCAGAUUUUUUAGCUGUUAGAACCAAGCCUACAACCGUGACUAAAGCCCCUUCAGUCGGUGGCCUUUGGUGCCUCAUACCUGGGACUAAAGUCACUUUAGUUCCGAGUCCAAAGUCAACCAAGAUAAAAGCAUCAAGAUGGAAGGUCAGUUCUCUAGUAUUGCAAGCCUAGUGUCUGCCACCUCCUCUCCACCAACAUGUCCCUCUUUCUGCAUGUAACACUUUCACACAUGCAUGUAACUUGAUUAAUCUUCUCAUGCGUGUUCACAACAAACGCAUGGAUGAAAAACAUGUCAAGAUUAAUUUCCAACACUUUUUUCUUCUAUAGAUAGUUUCCACUAAGUGGUUCACCACAUAAUAAAAUUUAGAUACUUGUCUCUGCAUAUCAUCGAUCAAUGUUGUUAGAGGGAUACAACAUUAUCAUUGUGUACAUCAUAUCAAUGACCGAACUUCAACUAUUAUAGAUACUGUUAUACUGUUAGCAAUGCAUAUAUCUCAAAUAUUAUUGCUUCUCUUUAAUUAGCUAAAGAAUAGGAUGCUAGAAUGAAAACGUCAAAAGAAAAAACAUAAUGAUGAAGGCAUCAGGUCCUCUCUUUUGGGGGCCAAGAUUCCUGCUGAUAUUGAUAACAAAAGAAGGAUACCAUGGGUUCUCUCCCAUUUGGAACUAUAUGUGACAAAAGUUAUGCCAGUACCUUAAAUGCUAAGGCUUGCUCAUCUUUUGAAUUUUUGUUCUUUGGCGGCCCCUGUCAUUUGAGCCUUUUGAUAAAGUAAAGGAGAGGAGAAUAAGCGCUAAAGGAAAGACCAACUGCUAUGGUGUUACCCGAACACCAUUGGCGGCAUCUUUCGAUUUACAGUACAUGCAGGCACGCCAAUACUCUCCUUCAAUCGUGUGCUUGCAGAACCUAUGAAAACGAUGCUCAUGCUUUGCAAGGGCACGGAAAUUUCGACUCAGAACGUGUCCAGAGGAAAUGGGCCCACUCGUAUGAUUCAUGGGAACAUGAACAAACAGAGACGUUCAGAUUCAGAAGUAUGGAAUUUGCAAGUCCCCGCAACCCACCGCCCCCACGUUGCUCCCGCAUGAGUGACACUGGUGGACGAAACCCUCGCCGCUGCCGCCCCUUCCUCCCUCUCCCCACCGCUGUGCCACCGCCCAAGCCGGCCGCUGAAAGCCUACGCGUCUCAUGAGGACGGCGGCGGUGGGGCGGCCUGCUUCUCCCCUUGAUCUCCUGGUGGGCGUGGCCGCUGUGGAGGUCAGAGGGAGUCGCCCGUAGGGCGACACACGGCCGUGACAGCGAGGCCGGAUCCGGGGCCCCUGUGGCCGGAUCCGGGGCCCUCGAUGCCGGAUCUGUCUCCAAGUGCGGUGGCGGUGGCUUCCCCCACGCGGGGCAGUGGUCACCCUGCCCGGUGCGGAAGCUGCACGAGCGGUGUGCGCCAGGGUGGAUGCCGCGCGGUGGCGGCUGCGUGGGCCAAGGCUGAGCAAGGGGCGAAGUGGGCGGCCGCGGUCCUAUGGCAAGGUGGGGUCAACGUGCAGGCCUCCUUCGAUGACUACCUCCAGGACCGCACCAUGUUCCCCGACGAGAGCAAGAGCCAGCGGAUCAGUGAUGGGGAGUGGCGGGUCCAGAUGCUGCUGCUGCAAUUCCUCCUCGUCACAGUGCGCCCUGUGGUCAUCAUGCAGCUGCAACACCGCACUGGUGGGCUCGACCCCAGUGGCGACAUCUGCAGUCCUCGGCGGUGAGCUCCUAGGGAGCGGUGACAGUGUGAAGGCGACAACGGCGAUCUGGGUGGUGCGGCGGUGGUCCCGAUGCGAGGCAAAGAAGGCACAUGGUAGCAGGGGCCGCUAGGAGGUGGGGACACGGAGGAGGCGCCGAAGGACAAGACGAGGAGGAGGUGUCGGGCAUACACCUCAGGGCCACGAGUAGGCCUUGUACGGCCCACCCAGGGGCGUACUCGGACAUGAGCAGGAGUUGGAAGCUAUGUCACAGGGUAACGUAGCCUACACGGACUACUGAAGACUAGUCUUGGUGCAUAAGGAAACUACUCUACCUAGUUGGAGUAGGACUCUGUAAUCAUAAUCGACUAGGAUUCCACCCUGUAACCCUGCUCCCCCGAUAUAUAAGGGUAGGCAGGGACCCCCUCCAAAGAACCAACUCAUACGCAAUACAAACAUCACACAAGACGUAGGGUAUUACGCGUUCUAGCGGCCCAAACCUGUCUAAAUCGUGUGCCUUGCAUCACCAUCAACUCCUUGAUUCUCGACGUCUCCACCACACAAAAUACCUCCUAGAGGACUCCCUAAGCGGGUUGCCGGUCUAAAACACCAACAGCUGGCGCACCAGGUAGGGGAAGUCGCCGAGUUUCUUAGCGCGAGAUCGAUGGCACCAAUUGUCAUCAAGCCAGCGCUCGCUUUCAAAGCAGGCGCAACUUUCAUCUUCGACUCCUGGCUUUGCAUCACCAACGGCGCCGGAUCCUUCCAGUGCUACCUCAUCGACAACCGGGAGAAAGAGCAUCUCAACGAAAACCCUCUUCGUAAAGAAGCAGACAGCCUCAUCGAGAAAAUCGACAAAUUCAAUCUCAGAUCAAGAUUCGACUACAACUCGAAGUCCAACGACGACUCCGAGUUCGACUACAACUCGAAGUCUGACUAUGACUCCAUUUUUAGUUUCGAGUUCAACCCCAACUUGGGGUCCAACUACAACUCCAAAUCAUAUCCAGGUCAAACUCCAUUCGGACUCCACAACGCAGCCACGGUCCAUCACUCCUUACUCGAAUCCAAUUCGGACUAGAGUCGAAGGAAGACUAUGCUACGACUCGGAUACACCCGAAGAGUUCAUCAGCAACUGCCACAGCUUCGUCGAUGACGACUUCCACGGGCGGCUCGCCGGUGACUUCUCCGACUACGUCGCGGCGCUCACUUAUGACUAUGGGCGGCUUGCUAACAAUUUCUUGGACUAUGUCAUGGUACUCGCCGACGACUACUUCAACAGGUGGCUCACCGGUGACUUCUCUGACUACGUCGUGGUGCUCACUGAUGAGUACGGGCGGCUCACCGACAAUUUCUCAGACUACGUCAUGGCACUCACCGACGACUACUUCGCUUGGCGACACACCGACGAAAACUUUGUCUGCUCACUGACGACUUCUCCGACUACGACACAGCGCUGGCUGACGACUAUGGGCGGCUCGCCGAUGAUUUCUCGGACUACAUCGUGGCACUCGACGACGGCUACUUCGACGGACGGCUCCCCGACGACUAAUCCGACUUUGCGACGUCCCUCGGCGACCCACCGAUGACUACUUCAACUUCGCGCGGGCGCUCGACAACUCGUUGAUGGCUACUUCGCUCGGCGCACACCAACGAAUACUUCGACUGCUCACCGACGACUUCUUCGACUACGUUGCGAUGCUCGUCAACGACUACUUCGACGGGUGACUCGCUAGUGACUACGUCGACUACUUGUCCCGACUAGAAAACUAGUCGGGGCAGAUUUCGCACCAUCAACGACUGGUCGGAACCGACUCCGACUAGUCAGCUUCGUCAACAACCGUCAUGGUUUCAUUGACGACCACCUUGGCUUCAUCGACAAUCAUCGACGAAUCAAGCUAAGUCUCUUUUCUGACAAUUUCCUAGCUUGAUUUCCUCUUGCGCACAAUACGCGCUCUACUCGCUAGAGGGCAGCAAACUCUCGCGCACAACACGCACUCUACUCACCGGAGGGCAGCAAAACUCUUGUGCAAUCGUGCUUGCUUUUUGUCGCAGCAGCGACUACUCACUUUUGUCUUCUCUUAAGAUCACUACUCUUCUCAAGAUGAACUUGCCUUGACACGUGAACGCCUCAGGUGCACCUGUGACGCCAAAUGCUAGCACACAUACACGAGACCACGCUCUUAGUUGUGCACAUAGCAAUGCCCAUACAUGUAUAUGAGACAACGCUCUCACACAUGCAAUGGCUACGGCUAAAUGGGGACUAAGAGCCUAAACGUAAUAGGCUAAAUGCUCGAGAAGAAUAUGAUCAAAAUAAGAGCAUGACACACAAUAUUUCAUAUUGAUCACUGAAUAACUUUCAGUAGUUUCAAUAUUCUACAAAAAUGCUACAUAUUGUACGCAUCUUUUCUUUCAAGUCAAACUUUGGCGAUGACGCUCGUCGUGUCACUAAGCAUGCCUCUAACGGCAUAGACUAGUUCCCGAACUCGGGGACUAAGCACCAAUCACUACUCGGGAUAUCUCUAGUGACUCAGCUAGCUCCUAGGCUCGGGGGCUAGACGCCGCAAAACUACUCGAUGUGGCUCCUACGGCUCGCCCAGCGCAUAAGCUCGGGGGCUGGAUGCCGCAAAACUACUCGGAUGAUGACUUACGCAGAGAUUCAAGAUCCUUGAGAUGAUUAUUCAAUCAAUUCAAGGCUCGAGGGCUGAUAAGCUACACCCAUCAGUUGAUUUUUUGUCAAGCCGGAAGAAAAAGUUUCAAGAUUUUGACCCUCAGCCUGAUUCUACGAGUCAACCUAAGGCUCAGGGGCUCCUCCAUAUGGAGUGUGAUUGUCAUCGCACUAUCAUAUAAAGAUUCAAGACAAAGGCUACUUGAAGCAACGUUACGCAAAGCAGAGAGUACCUUCCAGCCAUGUGACAGUACUCGGUUACUCGAAGGCUAGCCACCACGAGAAGCGCUCAAAAAGCACCAGAUAGUACUCGGGCAACCUCUUCAAGUACUCUGAGCUGUUCCACUCGACUACAAAGUACUCGGGGGCUUGUCAGGCAUACAUCCCCAGCCCCACGAGUAGGCCUUGUACGGCCCACCUAGGGGCAUAGUCGGACGUGAUCAAUACUUGGAGGCUACGUCAUAGGGUAACAUAGCCUAAACGGACUCCUGAAGACUAGUCACGGUGCAUAAGGAAACUAUUCUACCCAGUUGGAGUAAGACUCUGUAAUCGUACUCGACGAGGAUUCCACCCUGUAACUCUGCUCCCCCGAUAUAUAAAGGCGGACAGGGACCCCUUCCAAAGAACCAACUCAUAAGCAAUACAAGCAUCAUACAGGAUGUAGGGUAUUACGCGAUCUAGCGGCCCAAACCUAUCUAAAUCGUGUGCCUUACGUGACCAUCGACUUCUUGAUUCUCGACAUCCCCACCGCACAAAAGACCUCAUAGGGGACUCCCUAGGUGGGUUAUCAGUCUAAAACACCGAUAGGAGGUGCGAUGGACAAUAGUGACCCAUCUAGAAGAGCUGCAUGGAGAGGAUGCCGGUGCAGAGGACGGCAACGUGGAGAUGGUCGUGCAAGCGAUGAGGAGCGGAGCGGCGGCUCGAAUGCCACGAGGCCAUUCUGGUGCCGCGGGAACCACUCACAUGCUGACGUUGUGGUGGUGUGAGGAUCUACGCUGGUGGUAGUGGGGGCCAUUGUCGCAGAAAGCUUUGUGUUUGCGCACAUGGUACAACUGAGAUUAUGACGGCGGCAAGGUGGAGGUGAAGUUAUUAGAGUAGCUCGGUGGGACCAUGUCACCCUGAUGGAAAAUCAUGUCUGGAUCCUUGGUAUGGAGUCCAGCGGUGGAAGUGGUGAGAUCCCCGUUUGCUUUAAGGUGAUGUGUACGAGGAGUUGUGUGUGGCGGUGAAUGUGGCUAGAACCCCACACAUUUUGAGUUGCCUUGGAGGGCCAGGAUCCGGUGCAGUGUUUUGAUGGUUGGUGUGUACGGUGCGAUAGCAGUGCUUCGGCGUUGGGUCCUGCAGUGCGGUGGUCGUUUCAGUGUGGUGCAGUGUGCUCCUCCUUUGACUUAUGCUAAUACAAAGCCGUGGAUUGGGAGAUCGAUGACCGUGUGUGUGUGACCUGAGGACGACGACGACAUGGUAGAGAAGCCCUAGUAGCUACACGACUUGCAGCGGACUGCGACGGCCAGUCCUACGUGGCUUCGGCUGGUUUGGCUGGGACAUCGUCGGGGACGAUGGCGCUAGCGAUGAGGGCUACUUGGCGGCUUUUCCUGCUCAGUGGUGGUGGCAUGGUGGUCGCUGCUAGCUCAAGCGUUAGCGUUGAGUGGCUUUGCGUCGACGACCACCCAUAGAGUUCUUUUUUUGUUUUGAGUUGAGUCGGCAUUAUCUGUUGGGAGCUACUUCGGUGGCUCUGUUGUUAUACCCAGUCUAGGAUCUUUCUUCUUUUUAAAUAAUCGACAGCUCUCCUGCCUGGUUUGUUUGAAAAAAAUUCAAAAAUACGGUUGGAUGUAAGAUUAACGAGUUAAUCUUCAUGUAGCAUGUACAUAGACAUGUAACCAAGAAACACAAACUUUUUUACAACGGAACUCAAGUGUAUUUGAGUUGUACAGGCAGAGAUAUGACUAUAGAAAUUGGGGAAGCAGCACUUUGCAUGUAAUAUAGGGUUGAAUAAAUCACCUCUACCGUGGUUUAUACGUCAGUACUGUACAACAAAACCUGGCCACCAUCCCUAAAUUACAUGAUAAAAACUCUAUCAUCUACAACCAACAACUCUAGGUACGGUAGUUGUACACAUUACACGAUAUUGGUACGUAUGUUUAACUUGACCUGAAUGCAUAUGUUUAACCUUGGAGAAGAUAGUCCGAUUCAACCCUUAGAAAUCCUUUAAGAGAUGUGUCCAUGUUAAUCUUGCUACUACUAAUUGGAGAUACCGGAGGAUUCUCAAGUUAAGACGCAUGGGCGGCCGUGCUAGAAAAAAUAAGAUCUCAAAAACUCAUGAAAACAGAAAUUGCACCUCAUCACAAGGUGGACACGGUGCCCUACUGCAGCCCAAGCAACUACUACACUUGCAUUGGUGUUCUUUUCAGACAGUGCUCGCUGCAGGACAAAACGCUGACAGAGAUUUGUUGUUGCCAUUCUAGAAUCGUUUUAGCUGUGGCUUCGUUUCAUUCAGGAUUAAUUUGCAAAAAAAAUGUAUUUUCAGUGGAAAAUAAUGUAACCAGAUUGGCUCGAUUGCCCCAGAAAGAUAUAAUAACUCCAUGCAGUAACAUAUACAUGGUCAUACUUUAAUUAUUGUGCGUACAGUUGUACUACAGCAAGGCAUAUAUCUUAGCUGUCUCUUCGCUUUAACUAAAGAAUUGGAUGCUAGGAUGAAAGAUCCAUGGUUUGGGGCCACUAUUACUAGCUUUCUGCUGAUAUUGAUAACGAACGUAGGAUGGCAUGGGUUCCCUCCCUUUCUACAAAUGGGAGAGAACCCUGGUAUCCUUCUUUCGCUAUCAAUAUCAGCAGGAAUCUUGGCCCCAAAAGAGAGGACCUAAUGCCUUCAUCAUUAUGUUUUUCUUUUGACGCUUUCAUUCUAGCAUCGAUCCUAUUCUUUAGCUAAAGCGAAGCAAUAUUUGAGAUAUAUGCAUUGCUACAGUAUCUAUAAUAAUUGAAGUUCGAUCGUUGAUGUACACAGUAAUGUUAUAUUCCUCUAACAACAUUGAUCGAUGAUAUGCAGAGACAAGUAUCUAAAUUUUAGCUCCAAGUAAGUUUUAACCAAAAGUUUAUCUUAAGGGGUUCCACGACCCAAAUCUGUACUCCCCUAAAAAUAAACUUCAAUGGUAGUCCGACGGACUAUAGGGCCACCUGAUUAAACCUAUGAUUAACGACCAACAUAUCUAUCACUUACUCUCACUAUUUCCUUAUUAUUUGGUGAACCGCUUAGUGGAAACAAUCUAUAGAAGAAAAAUGUGUUGGAAACUAAUCUUGACAUGUUUUUCAUCCAUGCGUUAGUUGUGAACGCGCAUGAGAAGAUUAAUCAAGCUACAUGCAUGUGUGAAAGGGUUACAUGCAUGUGUGUGAAUGCAGUGCAUGCAUGCGCGUAUGGAGAAGACUAGGAUCUGCAUGCAUAUGGAAGCUUAGGGAGUUAUGUGUUACUCAAAGAGUCUCUAGACAAUGUGAAUCGAACGUGUCUUGGUACACUGGUAGAAAACUGAGUAUUAGUCCCAGUUGGAACGUUGCAAAUCUCCCAAAAAACCAUCCGGGAUAAAGCAAUCGAGAUAAAAGGGGGUGUCUUUUAUCCCAGGUCCCUCAACCGGGACUAAAGACACCCUUUAGUCCCAGUUGGUAAUACCAACCAGGACUAAAUGGUUUUGCAAAAAAAAUUAAAAAAUAAAUAAAUUCCUGUGGGGUCCUAGGGAGGCCUCCCCGCGACAAGCCACAAGUCAUGCGAUUUUCACGCGAAAUAUGCGCAUGCGCGGCUCGUGGGAUUCGAACCCACGACCUCAAGCCUCGCGCGUAGCUUCCUUGCCAUCCAACCUACACAUCAUAUCUAACUAUAUAGGGGAUCCAAUCCUUUUAUACUAACUUGUGGGGAACCCUUUAAUCCCGGUUGGAGAUACCAAACGGGAUAAAAGACCCCCUUUUAUCCCGGUUUGCAUUACAAACUGAGAUAAAAGGGUCUGGAACAUUUAUUCCUUCCCCGGAGCACAUGUGGGGGACCAUUUUAUCCCAGUUGGAAACACCAACCGGGAUAAAAGACCCUAUUUUAUUCCGGUUGGUAUUACAAACCGGGAUAAAAGGGUCCGAGGCCUUUAGUUCCUUUUCAGCCACCCGUGAGGGACCCUUUUAUCCCGGUUGGAGUUUCCAACCGGGAUAAAAGACCCCAUUUUAUCCCGUUGGUGUUGUGAGCUUUAGUCCCGGAUGAUAACACCAACCGGGAUUAAAAGGGUGACCUUUAGUCCUGGUUAUUCUUACCAUCCGGGACAAAAGGGUCCCCCACAGGUAGCUAAUUUUUUCACCCGGGACUAAAGGGUCCCCCACGGGUGGCUGAUUUUUGAACUGGGACAAAAGGUAACUUUUAGUUCCGGUUGCAAAUACCAACCGGGAGUAAAGCUCUGCGAACGCCCUUUUGUACCAGCCUUCUUUAAACCGGGAUUAAAAGGAAGCGCAUCGAAAGUUAGUUCUCUACUAAUGGUAGUGUGAAACCCGGUAGUUCCUCAGCUUCUCCUGCUUCGAAUCUGAACUCCCCUCCCCGUGCUGACAGAAAAAGGGGUAUUUAUACCCUAGAGACGCCAUGGUAUAAAAGAGAAGUGGGCGAGGUGAAAGCCCAUGCCGAUCGGCCUAGGUGGGUCCAAGCCGAUCGACCUGGCCCUUCCUUUCAUCCCCAAUUGCUCAAUGGAAACUCUCAUUUCAUCAAGUCUCUCAAAGCCUAUGCUAGAACAUUGUCAACCUAUUCUACUUACAAACAAGUGGUAGGCUUAUCUGGAUCUUGGUAGGUAGAAACAGUCCUUGCAAAGUAUAAUAGUCAGAAUAUUAUCAAAUUAGGAAACACUUCUAUUGGGUUGUCAAAAAGGUCAUGGAGAAAUAGUUGCUUAUAGAGAGAGAAUGGAACACACACUUUUUUAGAUGGCGGACAUGUGCAAGGGAAAAUAGGUGAUCCCGAGACACAAAUGAAGUUAUUGUUAUCGAGUUGCAUAUGGUUAGAAAAUUUUAGUGUUAACCCUGCUCUUAAUCAUAUGUAACAAGACAUGGCACUCCAUUUAGAUGUUCAAUUAAUAUUCUAGCUUAUUAUUAUGGAGGAUAGACAUUUUUCAAUGAUGAACAAGCCACAAAGAAUUUAGAACAAUGCUCUCAAAUUUAAAUCAACUUCAGAACUUUUCUUUCAAUGGAGCAUAAUUUUCAAACAGGACUAGAUCAACAUCAGCAACAGAAUUCUUGCAAUUGCUCAAUGGAAACUCUCAGCUCAUCAAAUCUCUCAGAGCCUAUGCUAGAACAUUGUCAACCUAUUCUACUCAUAUAAACAAGUGGUAGGCUUAUCCGGAUCUUGGUAGGUAGAAACAGUCCUUGCAAAGUAUAAUAGUCAGAAUAUUAUCAAAUUAGGAAAUACUUCUAUUGGGUUGUCAAAAAGGUCAUGGAGAAAUAGUUGCUUAUGGAGAGGGAGAGACUGGAACACACACUUUUUUAGAAUGUUGACAUGUGCAAGGGCAAAUAGGUGAUCCCGAGACACAAGUGAAGUUCUUGUUAUCUAGUUGCACAUGGUUGGAAAAUGAGUAUGGAUUUACCUUUAGGGGACUGGGAAAUUUAUGAAGCUCAAAGAACUAUUGAGAAUUUUUAUUAUCAUCUUUCUUUUUGCUCUUUUUCUUCUUUUUCUCAUCUCAUUUUUAAUUUUAUUUUUUAAUUUUUUUCUUUUGCUUCCUUAGAACUUUUUGCAACAUAAUACUUACUUAGCAGUGGUCAGAGAUAACGCGAUGACUCCAACCCCCAUGCUUGAACGAUGCUCGUCCUCGAGUAUGAAAGAGAGAACUAUUGUGACCCUUUUGAGAUUCAUUUGAUGCUUUCAUGAUCAAGAUCACCUGCACUCCACCUAUAUAUGCUAAACUCCUACACUAGUAGUUCACAACAAUUAUCACCCAUCCAUUCCACAAAAUAAAUACUCCACUACAUAUGUUGAUUUCUCUCAAGUUAUCAUUACAAAAGAAACAUGGGCUAUUGAAAAAGAGAGGGACACAUGAAGGUCCCAGUAUAGAAAAAAAUAUGAACACAUGAAGGUCCAAGUAUUAAAAAAAUGAAGAAAAAAAGGAGUCGGACACAUGAAGGUCCAAGUAUGUGAAUAAAGUGGAAGAUAGCCAUGUUCUCAAUAUUAAAUAUGUCCAAAGGGAGAGAGAUUAUAUAAAAUGGAGUUUCCAUACAUUCCCUAUCCACCACCCACAUAUUCACACACAUGCACAUCUUGAUCUGAUUGUAUGACUUGUUUUCUCCUUAAAUCCGGUUUUUGAAUUUGCAAUAUAUGUAAUACAAGUAUGCUUUAUUUUCAUCCCCUACCUUGAGCUCCACAAAAAGCUUUAUUAGAAGUAGGAAGGAAAAGAGGCAAACAAAUGCCUCGGUAAGGAACCAUACACAUUGAGCGAUCUGAGAUAAUCAUUCGAGGAGCAAGUCUAUGCUUUGUUCUGAGAAUAUUUCAAAAACCUAAGAUAUCUGAGUACGAGAAGUUUGUUACUUCUCUUCUUCCUUUUUAUAUAUGUGCUCUUUUAUUGUACACAAUACUAAGCUAUACUACUGUUCAAAAAGGACUAGUAUACAAAUAUUUGACGGUUAAGAUUAAUUGUAUACUACUGAAACCUUCACCUGUGGUAUGGGUAGUAUACAUGACUAGUAUAAGGGUAUUAUGGUAAAAGAACACAAAUGAUAUCACUAAAAUUUUAUUUUUGACACUAGCAUAAAGUUUAAAAUGCCAUUUCAUUUGAAAUAUCACUUUUCACAUGUAAUAAUUACUAAAUCAUGAAUAUUUAUAUCUUAUAUAUACUUAUAUACUACUAAGUAGUAUAAGCAGCAGGGGAUUACCCCUCGUGUUCCUAAAGAUAAAAUAGAUUACAACUCCAGCGGACGUGCUACAAUUCUUCAGGGCGCCGUGCCUGCCCUGAAAAAUUCCUGAAUGAGGGACGAUUUGCCGAUGAAUACUGCUGAAAUCAACAAGCUGGCCAAGAGCCUUAAAAAGUGGUUGAAUGUUGAAAGCUAAAGUAAGCAAAGCGCACUUGAUCAGUCCAACACACAACUUCCACAAAUUAAACAUGAGCUAGCACGAAGCAGUUCAUCACGAGAUCGACACACGACUGUGCGGACAUGAAGUUGUUGAUGCAUGCGGUCUCUGAUCAUCACGUACCAGCAGGCGGUGAUUUACCAUUACCGCCUGCCACUGCUGGCGGAGGAGACGGUGCCGGCGGAGUGCUCCCCCAUGAGACCGGGUACUCCAGUUCUUCUUCCGUCUUGCAAGGGACCUUGCCGCCGUCCGGGGUGCUUGCAUCGCUACGGAGGAAGGUAACCGGCCAGCAGUAAUAGGUCUUGUUGAUGAUCUUCUCCGAGUGAGCACGCUUGUAGCUGGUCUCCACCACCACCAUCACGGGGAAGCUGCGGUGGUGCCUGUCGGAGAGGUAGUGCACCGACGCGUAUUGUCCUUGCCUGUAGAGGCUUACCCACCUCCUGUACCUGUGCGAGCUGUGCGGCUGCAGGUCGAAGAUGACGUUCGUCUCCGGCUGGUACCAUAAGAACUGCACCAUCUCCGUGAAGGAAGCAUUGGGGUUGUCUAUGACCCUGAUGAUGCUGAUGUUGCACUGGAUCUGGCCGCGGCCGCUGGGGUUGAGGGCGUCGACGAUGAUCAGCAUCGGCACCUCUCCCGCUGGCGAGUACACAGACGUGGUGUUGUCGUAAAUCCACCACCAUUGUUGUGUCUGGACAUAGCCGUAGCUCUGGAGGUCCAUCUCCACGGGGCGGUUGACGAAGACGAUCACCAUCACCACCACCGCGACGGCGAGCACGGAGACCACGACGGCCACCAGUGAGCGCACCGUGGCUAGGAAGGGGAAUGUAGUGUUCUGGCCAGCGCGGCAUGUUGCCAUUUUUUCUCACGUAGGUAGCUAGGGCGGUGGAUGAUGGACUUGUCCGCUAGGGACCUGCAGCCAUAUAUACACAUAAAUUACUGACCGAAUGUUCAUUCCCUUUUUUUGGUUAGAUGACUCAGAUUAGUCUACCGGUUAACAGGGGGCUUGGCUAACAAUUAGGCUGCCUAUUAACCUCCUGUUAGGAUCAGCCAUGGCAAAGUUUUGACGGUUAACGAUCUCCCUAUAUAUCUAAACAAGUUCUUAGGUCAUGUUCCGUUCUUUAGGAGCUCCUAAAAUUCAUGUCACAUUCGAUGUGACAUGAAUUUUAGUCUGGACUAAAGAACCAAACACCCCAUUACUCCCCUCCCCCUCCCACCUCCCACACCAAUGUUCAAAAUUUUGGCCGAAAUUUCAUGAAAUUUGAUCUUUUGGUAGUGACCGAAAUUACUAUUUGCCCGAAAUUUCGGUAUGUCAACCGAAAGAUGCACUUUUUGCACCAAAUUUCACAUGAAAUUUCAUGAAAUUAGGUGUUUUCGAUGGGGACUGAAACUUUUCUGAAAACAAAAUCCCAAUCCCUGCCCCACACCGUCCAAGUAGAAUUAGGACACACUCUUUAUACAGUGAUAAUUCAGGCUUCUGCCAACCACAGGAACCGGAGUUGUUUAAUUUUUUGGCAAAAUGUCGUGCAGAUGCUUACAUACAAAGCAUUCGUACAUGCACCAAUUAUGAGUACUUCUGCAACACCGUGUCAUUAUGCUUUCAAUAUCUGGUCUUUAAAAACCUUAGAUUUACCUAUGAUGACUUGGUUAAUUAAUCUCAAGAUCAUCUGCUACCUAGAGUUUUGGUGGCACUGGAUCAUAGGGCACAGUUGUAUGUGUAUUCAUCAGAAUGAGUGCAUGUGCAUCUAUAUGAUGUCCGUGUUUUUUUUAAAAAAAUAAACCUGCGCAGGUCAUGAUGCUUCCACUAUCCUGUCUUAUCUGUUUGGAUACCAGGGGCUAUACUUUAGCUCCUGUCAUAUCAGAUGUUUGAUACUAAUUAGAAGUAUUAAAUAUUGACUAAUCACAAAACUAAUUGCACAGAUGGAGGCUAAUUCGCGAGACGAAUCUAUUGAGCCUAAUUAGUCCAUAAUUUGACAAUAAGGUGCUACAGUAACCAUUUGUUAAUGAUAGAUUAAUUAGGCUACGUCUCGCGAGUUGGUCCAGAAUUUGUGCAAUUAGAUUUAAAAUUAGCUCAUGUUUAAUUCUCCUAAUUAGCAUCAAAACAUUAACUGUGACAAGGGCUAAACUUUAGCCAAGGACAACCAAGCAACAUGCACGCCUAUAUAUGCUCUUUGAUCAGAAAAGGAAAGAAAUAUUCCCAAAAAAAAGGAAUAUGUGCUGCGGUCCAUACACGUUCUUUGAAGAAAUAUUCCAUACUUAUUUUAUGUCAUUGUAGAAGGACUUUGAAUAAGGUUCGAUGGAGUCACGUGGCUGCGUCUGCUGGCAGCUGAUCGAUGAGUCAUAUUACUAUUGGACUUGUGUUUUGGAUGCUUAUGUUUUGGAUUACAUUCAGAAUGUACGGGCAGGGGCGAAGCCACGUAUAAGAUUUUUAUUUACCACUAAUUAGACUCAAAAUUACCAUAUAAUCCUAGCUUGUAAAUUAAAAUUUACAAGUCUCUUGAGCAGUGCACCACGGUCAAUUCAGCGCUAGCUUCGCCCCUUUGUACGGGGAUUAUGCAACCCAGAAACGACGACUAAGAGCCUCAUUUCCGGACAUGCGUCCCUAUGAUCCUUUAUAUACUCCAAAUGUCUGAGUGGCCGGCUCAUACUUGCCAUGGCGAUGUCUAUCCCUCCUCUCAAAGGAUGGAGCAGCAAGCUCCUUGUAGUUGCGGCCAUGAUAGGAACCCUGGUCGUGGUCGCCAUCGCCGCCGUCAUCAUCGUCGGCCUCACUCCGCCACUGGUCUUCUUCUCCAUCCAAGAUGCAAGCCUCCAAGGCGGGCAGUUGAAACAGCAAAAAUUCUACAACUUCACCCUCUAUGCCAACAACACCAGCCGGCGCAUGGAGGUGCACUAUACCAACCUCAACACCGAGAUCUGGAUAGCCCCGUCUGAGUGGUACCCGGCCGAGGUGAGCAUGAGCGGGUUCGAGCAGCCACCGGUGAGCAUCAACGGGUACAAGCAGCCACCGGACAACGUGACCAAGGUCGCCGGGUGGGCCGAGUUCUAUCAGACGACGUCGUUGACGGCGGCGGCGCAGGGCGGCGGCGCGGGGAAUUGGCCAAACUGCACUGUGGUGGUGAUGGCCAAGGUGUUGUUCAAGGUCGGGCUGGCACGCACACGGCCGUACCACAUCAGGGUGUUCUGCUUCCCCGUCAACUUCCUCAAUACGACUCGGUACGCCAAUUGUACAUACUGAUCUCGAUCGACGUGUAUGCAUGCAUCCAUGUUGUUGAACGUGUACAUGACUGUUGUGACGUGCUCCUUUACCAUAGCUUCAGAUCCUGACUUGUAGCAUUGACAGAGUAUGCGUCUAUUAUGGCAGAGAGCCUCUUGUACAUGUAUUUAACUCAAUCCAGAGAUCAAUAAUGAAAGGAUGCGGUUUUUUUUUAGGAAACAGGAGGGGAAGUACCCCUGCUGAUUAUAUAUUAAUAUAUAGUUGACAGUACACUAGUGAUACAAACCUUGUUUAUGACACAAAGAAAGAAACAAAAAAGAUUAAGAAAAUUACAGUGAAUGCUCUAACCAUUGAACCAUUGAUUGUUUCCAAGACUCUCUGACACGAAAUACUACCAAACUGAAAAUCUGUUUGAACCGUUCCUUUGCAGCUUGAUAAGCUGGCACUAGGGCCUUUGAAGAUGCAGUCAUUGCGUGUCAUCCAAAUACUCCAGCUCAUAAUUACGAUAAUUUCCAUAAAGAAAGGCACUUGCAACUGGUUCCAGCUCAUAAUUACGAUAAUUUCCAUAAAGAAAGGCACUUGCAACUGGUUCCAGAAGCUAACGAGAAUAUCAUAAGGUUGUUGCUGCAAAUCCACAAAGAGGCCGAGAUUGAUCCAACACUCCUGUGCGAAUGGACAAUCUAGUAAUAGAUGAAAGAGGGUUUCUUCCUUGUUGUGGUUCCAGAGGACGCAGUUAUAGGAAGGGAGAGCCAUCUGCUUUCGUUUAAGCUCCACUGGCGGCAGAGCCGCAUCCUGUGUCGGCUCAUCCGCGGCAUCCUGUGGGUGCGAAGCAUGCUAAGCCACCCUAACCUCUGCUUCAAGCAGCUCUCCGUGCUAGGGUUCUUCCAACUGUCGUCGCCUUCGCCGUUCAUGGUGCCAACCAAGGCAGUGCCCAAGGAGGUAAUUAAAGAUUUCUUCAUCGGUAAUGUCGCGCGGUUCUUGGUUUCAAGUACUGCCUGUAUUUUUUUAUUUUUUAUUUUUGCCUUGUCAUUUGGUCCGUCAGAACUAAGUUUGUCGAAUUCCUUCUGAAUAAGCUUGAGACGCUGGUCGUGCUUGUUUGUUGGUGUGCCUACGUGCCGCGUAGUUGUCGUAGCAAAUACUUUCGGUUCCAUAUCGCCUGUGACUGGACCGGGAUGUUCUUCAAUCUGUUAUGGCCCUGUAUUCUGUUUUUAUAUGGAUCCCACAUAUAAUCAAUUUCCAACAUUUGCUUUCCUCUGUACAUUCAGCAUGUUGUCUUUUUUUUUUUUUUGAAGCGCAUUCAGCAUGUUUCGCAGAUGUUUGGAAGGAUGAUCCAAAUUCUGAAUGCACAGACCCUGUUGGGAAAUUGAUUUCCCCACUGCGUGUCUGUGUUUACAUGCAUCUUCUAACUGUGGUUCCAAUGGCCCGUCUAGGCCCAUACAGGCCUAUCAGGUGGAUGGGCCGGCCGGCCUCCUGGAUCAACAAGACCGGUAUCCCUUCUUGGCCCGUCCGCCCCCGCUGUAGAAACAAAACCAGAACCAGCAGAUCCCCCGGGCCCUGAAGAGAAAGACGAUGGCAACAGAAGAAAGAGCUCGCGACGAAGCCGGCGAAAGCCCCCCAAACCCUCCCCAGCCCAGGCAGCGGCGGCGCGACGAGAUGGCCGACGACCCCACCGCCGGCGGCGGGAACACCGUCGAGGACGUCGUCCGCGCGGAGGUGAGCAUCCCCGGCCGGCCCUCGUCCUCUUUGCUGCGAGUGCCGGGGAAUCCGAUCUCCGCCCGGGCCGACCUGGCUCUGCUCGGCUGCCUCCCGAUCUGCCCGCGCGGGUGGCGGCGCCUCGCCCCUAGUUCGGUUUCGGGUUAGAGGUGUCCCAGCGUGGUGUCUGGGCGGGGGGAAUCCGGCGACGAGGCGUUCUCCCUCCCGUUGGCUCGGUUGGCGCGGACGGACGCGGUGGGCCUGGUUGGGGAAAUCUGUGCCCGUUUCGAUUUGGGUGUAGAAUAGGUAUACGUCUUCAAAAUUGAUAGAAUUAGGCCCGUUUAUAAAAAAUUGAUAGAAUCUGCCUGCAAGGCGCGGUUUCCCAGCUGGCCCGUCCUCAUUUACUAAUCCCCACCAAGCUUAGCAUCUUUCCUUUCGAUGAAAUAAAAAAAUGUUAAUGUCAACAGCUCCUCGAUUACCGCAUAGAUUAACACCUCUUUAGCCUUUGUGGCACGGCACCUAAUACUUUCCUCACCUUUGCAGUGCCGUGGGCCCGCCACUUCCCUUCUGGCCCACAAGUCAUGGAGGCGCGCGAGGAGGGGUAUCGGUUUCACGAUGAUUAAUCAAGAAAGGCCCAAGACACGUCACGCUGGGGGUGGGGGAGGGAAGACACCGCACCGCAUGCACCUGCAUGCACCUUUGCCUUUGCUUUUCCCCGGCGUCCUAGGGACCUCGAGCUCGCCCGCCUAGGAGCUCCAGCAGCCGGGCCGCUCCGCCGCCGGUGCGGCAACCACGCCGCCGUCAGACCACCUCGCGCGGCCACCCCGCGCCGGUGCGCCGUGCGCGGCGGUGCUGUCCCGCCGCUCCUCCGCCUACCGUCCUCCUGCGCCACCACCAGCUAGCGCACCGGCAGCACCGCGAGCUGCCGCGCCGCCCCGACGACGUUGGUCAUUCCGGAGCCCGGUGUCGUCACCAGCGUCGCCGGAGAAGGUAAUUACCUGAAGCAAUUUGUAGAAACGAAUAGUACUGGUUCGUUCACUUAUUUCAUUGCUCAAACUUAAUUUCUGCUUAUUAGAGUUUGUGCCUUGUCGUGAGACUAAAUUAGCUGCUUAUUCUGCAGGUUGCAUUCAGGAGAUCGAGCUGCCGGAUCGGAGGAGGUCAUAUCAGCCGUGUUGGUUGUGCACUUGUGUUGCUGCCGGCGGAGAAGGAACCAUGGUGAUCGGGCCACUGAUCUCCAUAAUGUAGUUGAACUAAAAUAAUCCCCUUCUGAGUUUAGCAUCUUUCCUUUGGAUGAAAUAAAAAAUUGUUAUUCCGGAUCCGUAAUCUCAACUGCUCCUCCAUUACACAUAGCAUCUUUCCUUGAGUUUAGCAUAUUAUUUCAACAUUUCAAAACUCUAGAUUCAACAUUUCUUGAAACUUAGUGCAACAUUUUAGAUAAAUCGAUUCAACAUUUAGCAUAGUAUUGUUGAAAAUGUUGAGCUAGUAUAUGUUAUUUCAACAUUUCUGCAAAGCUAGCUCAACAUUGAGGUAAUGUAGUUCAACAUUUUGUGUAGUAUUGUUAAAAUAGUGUAUCUAAAAUGUUGAGCUAAUACACAAAAAGUGUUGAGCUAGUAUAUAUUAUUUAAACAUUUCAAAAGUCUAGAUUCAACAUUUAUGGAAACCACAUUUUAGAUAAACUGGUUCAAUAUUUUGCAUAGCAUUGUUGAAAUAGUGUACCUUAAACGUUGAGCUAAAUAUAUAAAAAUGUUGAGCUAAUAUAUCUAAAAUGAUGAAACUAAGAAAAUAAAAAUGAAAAAAAUAUAUACAGUCAUGUGGGAUCUUAAUCCGUUAGAAAAAUUUCGAAAAGGCUCAUAGUUUAAUCGGAAUUAAAAUUAAAUGCACCGUUAGAGAGAUAAGUAAGUUGAAAAGUUCGAAAUCAAAACUCACAUCACCCAACAAGUAGCUGAAACCUAUCCGUCCUUUCAGCAGCUCCACCCACCUCGCACCAGCAUACUAGCACAUGGUGGUCCCCAGCCACCUCGAUGCCGUUGCGUCGAAGGAGAGGGCGGAACCGACGAGGGUCGCCGGCGGCUCCCACCCCGGCCGAACGCGUCCUGACCGACUCCGGCAGGGGGCGGCAGGGCCUCCCGCAGGUGAGCGCUUCCAUCCGUGGUCCGCAGCAGUAAUGUCUGAUUUUUCGCUUUCUUCUCCAGAAUUCGUCGCAUAUACUUAUAUGUCAUCGUCCUCUUAUUUUUCGCUUUCUUCUCCAGAAUUCGUCACAUAUACAAAGCUUUCACGAUUUCGAUGAGAGAUUUGGUCAUGUUUGUGGCCACGGAGACACAGUCUAGCUAGCGUAGUGAAAAGUGGCACUAGUGAUUGCAAUACGCACGGAAAUUGGUUUUUUGUCUGUUCUUUCUCCAUCUCAAUCAUCAAUCAAAUGGGGGUAGUCGUCGGUACGCCGGGUGGGCCGAGUUGGCCAAACUGCACAGUGGUGGUGGCAGCCAAGGUGUUGUUCAAGGUCGGGCUGGCACGCACACGGCCGUACCAUAUCAGGGUGUGUCCUGCUUCCCCGUCAACUUGGGGAGGUGGGCCAAGCGACAGCUAGCUGUGGUGUGGUGGGCAUCCAGCAGGCGCGCAGGGCCCAGCCGUGGCCGUGAUUAUGCGCCGGGGUGAGAGAAGAAGACACGGCACCUAAUACUUUCCUCACCUUUGCAGUGCCGUGGGCCCACCACUUCCCUUCUGGCCCACAUGUCAUGGAGACACGUCAGGCUGUGGUGGACAAGGGAAGACACCGCACCGCACGCACCUCCACCACUUGCCUUGCCUUUGCCUUCGCUUUUCCCACUUGUGCUGUGGGAAGACACCGCAUACACCUCCAGCUCGAGCUCGCCCGCCUAGCUAGGAGCUCCAGCAUCCGGUCCGCUCCGCCGCCGGUGCAGCAACCACGCCGCCGUCAGACCGCCUCGCGCGGCCACCGGUCGUCCCCGCGAUACACCGCCGCCGGUGCGCCGUGCGCGGCGGCGCUGUCCCGCCGCUCCUCCGCCUACCGUCCGCCUGCGCCACCACCAGCGCACCGGCAGCACCGCGAGCUGCUGCGCCGCCCCGACGUUGGUCCUUCCUGAGCCCGGUGUCGUCACCAGCGUCGCGGAGAAGCUAAUUACCUGGAGCAAUUUGUAGAAACAAAUAGUACUGGUUCGUUCACUUAUUUCUUUGCUGAAACUUAAUUUCUGCUUAGAGUUUGUGCCUAAAUUAGCUGCUUAUUCUGCUGGUUGCACGCAGGAGAUCGAGCUACGGGCGUACGGCCGGAUCGGAGGAGGACAUAUCAGCCGGGUUCCUGUUGGUUGUGUACUUGUGUUCCUGCCGGCAGAGAAGCAACCAUGGCCGAGUUACUGAUCGGGCCACUGAUCUCCAUGGUGAAGGAGAAGGCAUCCAGCUACCUGCUGGACCAAUACAAGGUGAUGGAAGGCAUGGAGGAGCAGCGCAAGACCCUGGAGCGCAUGCUGCCAGCAAUCCUGCAAAUCAUCCAGGAUGCGGAGGAGAAAGGAGCCUCCCGAUCUAAAGUUGCAGUUUGGCUUAAAGACCUCAAGACAGCGGCCUAUGAGGCCAACGACGUCUUUGAUGAGUUCAAGUACGAGGCGCUUCGGCGAGAAGCCAAGAAGAAGGGCCACCAAAGCAAGCUUGGAGCGGAGGUAGCAAGACUCCUAGUCCCCGCUCGUAAUUCCAUUGUAUUCCGUUACAGGAUGGGCAAGAAGCUAAGCAGGAUUGUGCAGACCAUCGAGGCCCUGGUCACCGAGAUGAAUAAAUUUGGUUUCAGACACUUGCAGCAAGCACAGCCAUCAAGGCAGUGGCGACAGACAGAUUCCAUAAUCAUUGACUCCGACACAGAUAUUCUUAGCAGAUCUAGAGAUCGGGAGAAGAAGAAAAUCGUGGGGAUGCUCCUUGAUCAAGCUAGCAACAUGGAUCUCAUGGUUCUUCCAAUUGUUGGGAUGGGUGGGAUGGGCAAGUCCACCUUUGUGCAACUCAUUUACAAUGACCCUGCAAUCGAGAAGCACUUUGAGCUUCGGAGGUGGUGCUGCGUGUCAGAUGAUUUCGAUGUCAGUACCAUUGCAAGCAACAUCUGCCAGACCAAUGAGAAAUAUCGUGAAAAAUCAUUGCAGGAGCUCCAGAGUACAAUAAGUGGAAAAAGAUACCUCAUUGUGUUAGAUGAUGUAUGGAAUCGGGAUGCUGAUAAGUGGGGAAAACUAAAGACCUGCCUUAAGCAGGGUGGCAAGGGCAGUGCGGUACUAACAACAACUCGUGAUGCAGAAGUGGCUCGCAUUAUGACCAUGGGUGUAGCUCAAGCCCAUAAUAUCGAGAAUCUGAGUGACGAGCAUUUAAAGGAAAUUGUCCAGAGCAGAGCAUUCAGCUUGCAAAAUCCAAAUAUGGAAGAGCAAGAUGGCAUUCUCAGUGGAUUUGUUCGUCGAUGCGUUGGAUCUCCCUUGGCUGCCAAAGCCUUUGGCUCUAUGUUGAGUAACAGGACUAGUGUAAAUGAAUGGAAGGAUGUAUUAGCUAAAAGUGACAUUUGUAGUGAGAAAACCGGAAUUUUACCGAUCCUCAAGCUCAGUUUUGAUGACCUAUCCUCAGAUAUGAAGCAGUGCUUUGCAUUUUGUGCUUUAUUUCCUAAAGAUUAUGAGAUUGAUGUGGACCUCUUGAUUCGACUGUGGAUGGCACAUGACUUCAUACCUGUGCAGGAGGAUGACAAUCUAGAAACCAUAGGAAAAUAUAUUUUUGAGGAGCUAACUCGGAGGUCAUUCUUUCAAGAUGUCAGGCAAACACUUCAAUUUGACUAUUUUGGAAGCAGGUUGUCGCUUCGUAAGUCAACCAUAUGCAAGAUACAUGAUCUCAUGCAUGACAUUGCUCUAUCUGUUCUGGGGAAAGAAUGUGUCACUAUAGUUGGUAAGCCGAGCGUCAACAAGCUGUUGCUAAAUCCGACCCGCCACGUCUUCUUAUCACUAUAUGGUUUCAAUCCUACUUUCUGGAAAGAACAGGUUACAAGUCUACUAGAUCAUCUAUUGAAGAAACAAACUGCAAUGCUCCAUACGUUGUUUAUCAAAGAUUAUGGUCAACCCCUUGAUAUAUCAAAGUACACUUCACUGCGAGCAUUACACCUUCCAGCAAAUGAAGAGCUAAGGUAUCCUAAUCUGUCGCCACAUGAACAGCUUACAAGACACAUACAACACCUAAGGUAUCUUAAUCUGUCAUCACAUUGGUUCGAGAAACUUCCUGAAGGUAUAAGCAUUAUGUAUCAUCUACAAACGUUGGACCUCUCUCAUUGCAAAUACCUUCGUCACCUUCCAAAGGAUAUGAAGUAUAUGGCAAACCUCCGACACCUCUAUACCCAUGGAUGCAUAUCAUUGACAUGCAUGCCUCCAGGACUUGGACAGAUCACUUCUCUGCAGACUCUAACAUAUUUUGUUAUUGGUGAUGGCUUGGGAUGUAGUACUAUUGGGGAACUUCAAAACUUAAACCUUGGUGGAGAGUUAGAGUUAAGUGGUCUGCAAAAUGUAACAGAAGUGCUUGCAAAAGCAGCCAGUCUUGAAAAUAAAGAGAGACUCACACACUUAUCUCUCGCGUGGAAUGAUGAUGCCCGUGAGAAACCAGAUUCUCAUAAUGAGGUGUUAGAUGCCCUUAAACCUCAUCACCGGCUAGAGAUGCUAAGAAUAAAGUCCUACAAAGGCACCAAAUUACCGUCAUGGAUAACAGAUCUUAGUCUGUUGCAGCACUUGACUGAGCUCCAACUGGUUGGUUGUAGGCUGUGCGAGGAAUUUCCUCAAUUCUGCCAUUUCAAAGCCCUUGAAGUUCUGUAUUUGAAAAAGUUGGACAAAUUGCAAAGCCUAUGCAGUCAUAUGGUGUCUACGCCAUUUCCAGCACUGAAGCAACUCCAGUUACAUGAUUUGGAGAGCUUGGAGAGAUGGGUCGCAACAGAAGGAAAAGAAGAUGAAUUAUCCUUUCCUGUACUUGAGGAGGUUGAAAUAGAGAACUGUCCAAAGUUGACUAGCCUACCUGAAGCACCAAAGCUCAAGGUUGUAAAGCUGGAUGAAGGCAAGCCGCUGCUCUCCUUAGGAAUAGUUAAAUCAAGGCACAUGUCUUCAAUUUCUAAGCUACUACUGCGUGUCCGUGACACAGAAGCACUGCCUCAGAUAGAUUAUAAUUGGGAUUCAUCACAGAAACUGGAACUAUCUUUGGGUGGCACAGAAGCCGCACCUCUGUCACAACUGAGCAUAUUUGGCUGCAACUUUUUAUUCGUAUCAAGCCACUCACAGCUAACACCUGGGGUCUGGAAAUGGUUUGAACAUCUUGCAGUUUUAACAAUUGCAAAAUGUGAUGUGCUCAUCUACUGGCCAGAAGAAGUGUUCCAAAGCUUGGUAUCUUUGAAGUACUUGUUCAUUUUCUCCUGCAACAAGCUAAUAGGGCCCACACAAGCGAAAGGUGACAAACCUACACAAACAACAGAUCAAGUCCUGCCACAUCUAAACAUGAUACGUAUACACAAUUGUGAAAGCAUGGCACAGCUCUUCAUUCUUCCCCCAUCUAUCAGAAUUAUUCAUAUUUUUGAGUGCCCUAAGCUUGAGUUCAUAUGGGGAAAAGAGGAGCAUCUUGACACAUAUGCAUCGCUGGAACAUUGCCGCGACCCUGCAUCCACCACUGGUAACCUAGAGCAAUCGCCGUCUCCAAUUAUUCGCCGUCCAUGCCUUGUAGAUCUAACUAUAAGAGGAUGUGAUAGCCUGGUAACACUUCCAAAUCUACCACCGUCCCUCAAGGAAUUAUUCAUCCGGAAGUGUGAGAAGCUCUGCUCUGUGUCAGGAGACCUGUGUGCACUCGAGACCCUACAGAUUGUUAACUGCAAUAAGUUACAGUCAGUCAAUUCCUUGGGAGACCACCCAUCAUUAGAAACACUGUUUCUUUCUGGCUGCCGAUGCCUUGCAUCUUUAGGAUGUGAUGGUGGUCGUGGGAGUUACUCUGCUCUUCAGUGCCGUGAGAUCGAAGACUGCCCAGCCAUAGAUAUGAAGCAGUUUUACUAACGCCAUCAAACAGCUGCUUGACAGCUUUGAAUAUGAAGACGUAUCACACGUUCAUUCAAGCAGCUCUGAUGAAGGUACGACCUUUCACUUUCCUCUUAUUCAAUUUGUUUCCUUCAAAUUUCCCUUCUUUGCAUGCCCUCCUAUUUUGUUGACGAUCUGGUUUAUAGAUGGGCUUGCGGGGUGGGAUUUUGGGGUUUCAUCUUCGUUCCGGCUUUUAGACGGUCCUUUCUCACUGACGUGACCCCACAUAUAUUUUAGUUUAUACGGCUAUUGGUUUUCAGUCUUCGAUGCAGUUGAAGUGCAUAGGGAAAUUCUGGAAACAUGUUCUAUCCCUUGGUGUUGAGAUCAGCUGAUGCGGAAUCACUGAAGUACUACUGAAACGAGAUCCUGAUCGGUCUCAGUUGUGGAGAGCAAUUUGUGAUGAAUGGAAGCAGUCCCAAGGCUUCAAGAACUCAUGGAGUCGUGCUGUACCAUUCUCCACUGCCAGGGCCUAAACUAGGUACAUGGAAGGCGCACAGGUUGGGAUAGUAAAAAACCAUACCUUUGUCUGUGUUAGAGCAACUCCAAGAGGCUGCUAAUCUUACCCCAAUACCUUUUUUAGGAAAAAAAAAGAGAAAAAAUGAACUCCAACAAUCCACCUAAACCUUCCCCAAUUUUUUAGCGACGCUAAAAAACAGCCUGCCAUCGCGUAUAUUUUAGCGUUGGCGUUCCUUCCCCAAUCCUGAUUCCCGCACACCCGCGCGUCCCUUCCGAUGGGCCCAAUACGAUGACGUGGCCUGUGUUUGAAAUAUUGGGGGCUAUUUAUUAGCGAUCUGUUGUGGACUGAUAUGCUUUUGGGGGAAAUUUUUUUUGGGAGAACCCCCAAUACAUAGUUUUGGGGAAGAAUUUUUUAGGAUACUCUUGGAGUUGCUCUUAGAGCAUCUUCAAGAGUCUGCCAAAAAACUCUUCCCCAAAACCACAUCAUCCCACAAUAGAUCCCUAAUAAUAAAUUUUCCAAUAUUUUAAAAUUUGCCACAUCAGCAUGCGUGGACCCUAAGCUGGGCUGCCCCCUUCCCCCGCUGGAGCGUUUUCGCGCUUUCGCACUGUGGCUGCCUGAGCAGGGGUUGGUCUGUGCUGAUUUGCUGAACCAUGCAUAUUAUAUGCACUGGGACUGUCAUGCCCUCAGAAAAGCAUCAUCAUCUACUGGUAUGACGUCAAUUCAGCCUCAAACUCUCAACACUGAAGGCCUUCGAGGACUAGGACUACGCCAGCGCCACCCAUUGAAUCCCAUCCCCAUCUCGGCCACGUGCCAUGCCAUGCCCAGCCGUGGGGCACUGGGCAGCCCACGUGCAGCCACUUGUGGCCACGGACGCCCAGCCAGACCAUCACCCCCAAGAGGAGGAACGCCUUAUCUUUUCACCAUGAGAAAGCAGAGUCUAACGGUCCGUGGGCAAUAGGAAAAUCAGCACCGGCGGACUCCUGUGUUCACCUUCAUAUUUUUCGUGGUCUAUAUUAUGCGAGUUAUAGCAGUCCUAGGGAAUUUGUUUGGUGUCUCGGAGUUGUCAUAUUCCUAUUAAUGAUUGUGACAGCUUUUAUAGGAUACGUACCACCUUGGGGUCAGAUGAGCUUUCGGGGAGCAACAGUAAUUACAAGCUUAGCUAGCGCCAUACCAGUAGUAGGAGAUACCAUAGUGACUUGGCUUUGGGGUGGUUUCUCCGUGGACAAGGCUCUUGGAGUUGCUCUUAAUCAAUUCUCAUUUAGCACUCUGUUGUUAACAUGUUACCCCCAUGCUUUUCAUUUUUUCUGUGCAGACAUGACCCAUUUAUCCUUAAAAGGCAUAAAGGAGGGCACUCACAUGUACGCACGACUGGCAACUGGAAGCUUCGUUGCAAGCCUCUGCUAACGACCAAGUUUGUUUUCACGCCACUAUACCAGCUGCUGGUAAUUCUCUUGUCACUAAUGUCAUCCUGUCAUCCAUCAAAGCCGUGGAGAAUAUGAUGCCACUCUGAGUCCUUCAGUUUGCCACGUGAGCCGAUGAAGCAGAAACAGAUGAUGAUGAUGGAUGAUAUAACUGCGGGGAUGCAGACUUGCUUUCAACGGUCGAAAUGGAGCUACAAAUGAUUAGUCGUAGUCGUGUGUGGUCCUUCCAUCACCUUGUGUUAUUGAUCCCGUUUGUAUGUGUUGCGUUCUCUAUAUCCCUCCAUAGCUUUUCAGUUGUUGUCUCUUUUACGACUAUUUUGAUUCCUCUUUUCCUUUUUAUUAAUAUAACACAAAAAUCCUCUUGCCAUGUUUUUGAAAAAACAAAAUCGUGAGGAUGCUGCUUCAUGAAGCUAGCAACAUGGAUCUCAUAUGGUUCUUCCGAUUGUUGGGAUUGGUGGGAUGGGCAAGACCACCUUUAAUUUGUGCAACUCAUUUAUGACCCUGAUCGUGAUGCAUUUUGAGCUUCAGAGGUGGUGCUGUGUGUCAGAUUCGAAAAUGUUUUUUGACUCUUUCAUCACCGCCUUCAGUAGCUCAUGCCGGUCAGGUCUUCUCCAGUGACCAGUUCCUUCACCUUGGUUGCGCACCCCCUCACCUGGGCUUGCAGCUAGGUCAUAGCCUUGGCAUUCCGCAUCAUCUCAGCCAUGGCAUAGUCUAGUGCUACGUAGGUUGUGUCCGUCCCGGCUUCAAACAUGUCCUUCAUGAACAUAUCCGUAGAACUCCAAUCAAAUUUAACCAAACUAGUCAUGAAACAUGUCAUAUGUACCUCUUGUGAGAAUUAAAUUGGAGGCUUAAAAUCCUUCAAUUAGUAACAGUAAGAAAUUAAUUAAAAUUUGGAGUUUUGUUGCAUACAAGUUGCCAGUCACCAGUACAGAAAUGACCUUUAGUCCUGGUUAGGAAACCUUGGGAAACCUCAAAGAGCUCGGUUUUCCCGACCGGGAUUAAGUAUUCGGGAUUUAGUCCUGUAACACCAUGUGCUUUGCCUUAUAAUGAAAGCCACUAAAAAUUCGAACUUCUAAAAUUUUCCUAUAAACUAAAAUGUGCCUUGCUAUUUCAUACCUCAAAACCCUUUCAAAAUAAAUUUUACAAAACAACCUUCAUCAAAAUUCACCAUAUGCAUUUUAUUGUGCUUGUUUGAGUGUUGUUUGCUUGUGUGCUUUGUUGAAUCUUUUGGUGGCAACCAACCCCUUGACCUCCUUUCCAAAUUUCCCACAAAUCCUUGUUAAACAUCCCUUCGAAUUCCUCAAAUCCAUUCAAACUCCAUUUCAAAUCUCUUCCAAAAUUAUUCAAACCAUUUCCUUGGGUGCAGGCUCAAUUUCCCUCUCCUCUCCUUUCGGCCUGGCGUGGCUUGCUUCUCCUUCUCCCUUUCAGCCCAGCUCGGCCCGCCCCUCCUCGCCUUCUUCUUUCCCGAGCAGGCCACCUCCUCCUCCUCCUUUACUUCCGCACGGCCCGGUCCAGCCCACAACGGCCGCCACCUCUCUCUUCCUCUCCGCACCAGCACCGCCCAUGAGAAUGGCCCGUGACGACCCGGCUCCCACUCCAUGUCAGCAUUGCGUCCGCACACAGCCGCUGAUGAGUAGGUCCCACUCAAUAGCGUCAUCCCCAACCUCGUGUCGUCUUCCCCAAUGCGUCUCGUUGCCGCCGCCUUGUCCCAUCUCCGCCCGUCGCCUAUGCCGUCGUGCCGGCCCCGAAGAAAUAUCUCGCCGCUCCAUCCCAUCAUGGCCCCACCUGUCAUCCCGCACGGUCCUAAAAGAUCUCCGCCGCCCGCUCCACGGACCUCUGUGCACAAUCGACCUCUCGCGGCUAUAAAAGCUGGCGAGCCCCGCCAUCGCUCCCCGCACCUCAAGCUCGAGCUCCCUCCCUCUUCUUCUGCUCGAGCUCGCCUCCUCCCUCUUUAGUCCUCUCCUCCCUCCACCGGAGCACGGCUUCCUCCGAAGCCACGCCUCGCCGAGCCCUGCCCUUCCCUCUUCCUGUCUAGCGCGCCACCGCACAGAACUGCCAGCCAAGCACUAGCGCCGCCACCGUGACAAACUCGAGGAGGACAAAGUGCCGAGCGACGUUGGAUCGGUAACAAGCGGCCCUGAUCUGCCUGAGCUAAUUCGCGUCCCACACCCGAUGACAAGUAGGCCCGAGUCUAACGCCGAAAAUGCCGUCUGUUGGUGACCAGUGGGCACCACAUCAGCAAGCAAGCUCCCAGACAUCACCAUGGCACUGGGAGGGUGCCUCGCAAGCACCACGCGGACACACCCGUAGCAAAUGACACGUCAUCAUGGGUCCACAUGUGAGUUACUGUGUGACACUGUGCGGUCAACAGUCAACACUGACCAGGGACACACCUGGAGUAACUGUGUCGACGGUAAAAUUACUACGCGUACUCAGGUUAGUGUACACGGAAGUCUCGUUUACCCCUUUCCUUGCACAAGCAAGCUCCCAGACAAAUUGUCACUCGCCAUGGCACUGGGAGGGUGCCUCGCAAGCGCCACGCGGACACACCCGUAGCAAAUGACACGUCAUCAUGGGCCCACAUGUGAGUUACUGUGUGACACUGUGCGGUCAAUAGUCAACACUGACCAGGGACACACCUGGAGUAACUGUGUCGACGGUAAAAUUACUACGCGUACUCAGGUUAGUGUACACGGAAGUCUCGUUUACCCCUUUCCUUGCACAGAAAAAUUUCCAAAAAAUUCCUAAAAAUACUAGAGCCACCCUAUAACCCAUCCAAACCUUUUGCACCCCAUUUCCAUCAUACAAAAUUAUGGGAAAAUAAAUUUCACCACUCAGGCACUCAUAAAUUCCAAUAAAUCACAUAAAUUCCCGAUAAAUUCCCAAAAAUCAUCUCUCCUGUCAAACUCCGUUUCUGUCAAUUCUUCCACCAAAAUUCUUCUAAAAUUAAAUCCUUGAUAUCCCUUCCGGUGCCACCAUUAGUUUCUUUGUUUGAUUCUUGAUUUGUUCAUGUAUUGCUCUUCGACCUGUUAGUCACUAACAUCACACAAACCCCUUAUGCUCAUGCAUGCAUAUACACUGUAGCAUGUAUACAACUAUAUGAGUAUACAUACACCCCCCUUCACACACCUACCACCGAUACUUUUUUUAUUUUUGUUUUUGCAAAAAAAAAAUCAAAACUAUUUAGUCCCAGUUGGUAAUACCAACAGGGACUAAAAGGGGCGGGAGGUAGCCACUGGCGCCGUGAUCGUUUUCUUCCGGUUGGUAUUACCAACUGGGACUAAAAGGGGAUAUUAUAUCCCGGUUUUGGGACCCGUGAUAAAAGACCCCCCUAUCUCGACAAGUUAAUCCUAGAUGCAUUUUCGGAAGAUAUGCACCCUACAAACCGGUACUAAUACCGAAUUUUCUAAUAGUGAAUGGUGCCGGUAGGCGUCCCCUUCAGCUGCAUUCUCUUCCAACCUGCAUACAAAGAGUCACUGGAGAUAGCGUGAUACAACCUCGGUUAGUCAGGCGAUCAAAUGAUAUAACCUCGAGUUAAUCUAGGCCGAAGCCAAUUAGCUUCCGUGUUUCUAUCUGAAGCUGGCAGAGUUAGCGCCUUGUCUGGGCGAGCUAAGACCCGGGUUAUAGGCGAAGGGGAUGAGUUUUGGACAGAUCCCCAACAUCUCGAAAAAUUAAUCUCGGUUGGGCAUUGGAGAGUUAUGCUCCUUCCCAACCGGGACUAAUAGUCAGUUUUCUACUACUGGUUGUGUAGAGGUGAGGAGGCGAGGGUUUUAGGUGAGGACGAUGAGGUGGCACCGCUCCCUUUCUCCGAUUCAACUGUCUCUAUAAAAUUGAUAUGGUUAGAUAUGUCAUAUUCUGUGGUACCACCUCGCGAUCACGAUGUGUGUGCCUCUAUAUAUGUUGUGCCAUUGCAGUCCAUUCGAUCGAGGGAGUACCAUAGCGUGACUGAACUACUGAAAAUGAAAAGCCUACACUUCUGCAACAACACAGUCUACCCCUAUGUUUACAACCUGACUUCCUCCUACAUCGACCAGAACAAUGAGGCCACCAUGGUGACCACCACCUUGGUCAUGUUUAUGCUGGCCGUGUUCGUCUUCAACCUCAACCUCUUCAGCCGCUUCUUGGACGUGAGCGCGAUUCUCAACCCUAGCGUCCGCCUCUUCCUCUCCACCUCCCUGUCCCUCUUCCUGCCGGUCAUGUCCUACCUCUUCUCCGAGGCCAAGAACCAAGGUGCAACGACGACCAUGGCUGCUAGUACUAGUAGCUCCAGUUAUGGCGAGCUCGGUGACGAGCUGUCACUUCGAGCUAGGACGAUCCUCAUGUGGAUGCUUCUUGUGGAGCUCCUACGCAAGAAGGUGGAGGCCGUCCUGGUCAACGUGGGCAUGCAGUGGUACUCAGGCGCCAUCGAUCGCUUCGCCCGCAUUGUUUGGCUCUGCUAGCUCGUCUUCUACAAUGUCAAAAGCCCCGGCAAGAAGGCGAUCUACGGCACCUUAUGGGUCCUCACUGCUGCCAAGUUCCUGCAAAGGGUCGUCGUCAAGAUGGUGCUGGAGCGUUCCUUCGCCUACGGAAGGAACACCCAGCUGCUCAACUCAUACAUGGCCCAGAUCAUCCAACAACAAGAGCAAGAGGAGCACUUGGGGUCAUCGUAGGCGGAGCUGUUGAAGAAGUGCGAGUACACCGUGAUGGGAGAAGACAACCUGGAGAGGACGGCUGGCCGGCAUGCAUGGCUACCAGGUCGAGCUGAACAAGGCAGCCGUUGUCACCGUUGGUGACAUUUGGACGCAGGCAGCAGCCGAGCCGGACAGCCUCCUCCGGAGAGAACACCUCAGAAGGCUCUGCCUCUCCUUUGUUCUCUACAAGCUGCUGCGCCGGAGGUUCGAGGACAUCCCCACAACAAGGGAGGAGACCCGGAACUGCCGGAACCUCAUCUUCAAGGGCAUGUUGAAGGAGGAGGCGGAGCAAGGUGCCGAGGUCGCACUGUUCCAGUCUUCAACGAUGAGACCCAGUUCGUUUGCGAGUACUACCAUUCCGUCCUACCCGUCGUCUUGUCCGACCCUUUCUUCUUCAUAGCCAACUACAUCUUGUUUCCCAUUGUAGUUUGUGCCUUCUGCCUCCUAACAUUGAUCAUCUGCGGCAAUGGGAGCGUCCACUACGCCUACCAGAGCAUCAAAAGUGACAACUACAUCAUAUACACUGGCGCGACGACGCUGACCAGAUGCCUCCUGAGAAACAUCGCCCAUUCACCCGAGGUGCUAGCUGUUCGCCAGCAUCGACCUAGGCACCACCACUCUGCUCAUCCUGGCCUUCGUCUACGAGGAAGUCGUGGAGGUCCUCGUCUUUAUCCUCUCCAAUUGGCUCAUCGUGUCGCUCAUCUGUCAGUACACCGCCAAGCUCCACUGGCGGCAGAGCCGCAUCCUGUGUCGGCUCAUCCGCGGCAUCCUGUGGGUGCGAAGCAUGCUAUAAGCCACCCUAACCUCUGCUUCAAGCAGCUCUCCGUGCUAGGGUUCUUCCAACUGUCGUCGCCUUCGCCGUUCAUGGUGCCAACCAAGGCAGUGCCCAAGGAGGUAAUUAAAGAUUCUUCAUCGGUAAUGUCGCGCGGUUCUUGGUUUCAAGUACUGCCUGUAUUUUUUUUAUUUUUUUUUUGCCUUGUCAUUUGGUCCGUCAGAACUAAGUUUGUCGAAUUCCUUCUGAAUAAGCUUGAGACGCUGGUCGUGCUUGUUUGUUGGUGUGCCUACGUGCCGCGUAGUUGUCGUAGCAAAUACUUUCGGUUCCAUAUCGCCUGUGACAUUCAGCAUGUUGUCUUUUUUUUUUUGAAGCGCAUUCAGCAUGUUUCGCAGAUGUUUGGAAGGAUGAUCCAAAUUCUGAAUGCACAGACCAUGUUGGGAAAUUGAUUUCCCCACUGCGUGUCUGUGUUUACAUGCAUCUUCUUACUGUGGUUCCAAUGGCCCGUCUAGGCCCAUACAGGCCUAUCAGGUGGAUGGGCCGGCCGGCCUCCUGGAUCAACAAGGCCGGUAUCCCUUCUUGCCCGUCCGCCCCCGCUGUAGAAACAAAACCAGAACCAGCAGAUCCCCCGGGCCCUGAAGAGAAAGACGAUGGCAACAGAAGAAAGAGCUCGCGACGAAGCCGGCGAAAGCCCCCCAAACCCUCCCCAGCCCAGGCAGCGGCGGCGCGACGAGAUGGCCGACGACCCCACCGCCGGCGGCGGGAACACCGUCGAGGACGUCGUCCGCGCGGAGGUGAGCAUCCCCGGCCGGCCCUCGUCCUCUUUGCUGCGAGUGCCGGGGAAUCCGAUCUCCGCCCGUGCCGACCUGGCUCUGCUCGGCUGCCCCCGAUCUGCCCGCGCAGGUGGCGGCGCCUCGCCCCCAGUUCGGUUUCGGGUUAGAGGUGUCCCAUCGUGGUGUCUGGGCGGGGGGAAUCCGGCGACGAGGCGUUCUCCCUCCCGUUGGCUCGGUUGGCGCGGACGGACGCGGUGGGCCUGGUUGGGGAAUCUGUGCCCGUUUCGAUUUGGGUGUAGAAUAGGUAUACGUCUGCAAAAUUGAUAGAAUUAGGCCCGUUUAUAUCGGUCCUGGUACUUGGGCCAUGACGCUUUGGAUCGCCCACAAAAAUCCACAAACGCAGGCAGGGCCGGUCAUCCCGGAUAAAUCCAAAAUGAUUUUUACCGGUUACCGACCCCGGCGGUUUCGAUUUUUACCGAAAACCGGUCGGUAACCGGUAAAAACUGGACGAAUUCAAAAGACGAAUUGCCAGCGCAACUGGUAAAAACCGCUCGGUAACCCGCCCGAAUUCAAACCGCUUGGUAACGGUAAAAACCGCAUAGUAAACUGCCUGAAUUCAAAAUUUGAAAAUUUUGAAUUCGAGCGGUUUACUGUGCAGCUGAACCGGUGCUGGACCGGAGCGGUUGUUUUCGUCGGUUUUGUAAAUCCUAUUUGUGAUUCGGUGGGAGCAUUGCGCUAAAGACUCGGGCAUAAAGAUAGAUAAAAGCAACAAAAGAAACGGUUUCCCAGCUAAAGGUGGUGGGCCAAGUGACAGCUAGCAGUGGAGAGGGGGGCAUUCCAGCGGCCUGCAAGGCGGUUUCCCAGCUGGCCCGUCCUCAUUUACUAAUCCCCACCAAGCUUAGGGGGUGUUUGGAUCCCGGACUAAAUUUUAAUCCCUGUCACAUCGAAUGUUUGACACUAAUUAGGAGUAUUAAACAUAGGCUAAUUACAAAACCAAUUUCACAACCCCUAGGCUAAAUCACGAGACGAAUCUAUUAAGCCUAAUUAGUCCAUGAUUUGACACUAUGGUGCUACAGUAAACAUUCGCUAAUGAUGGAUUAAUUAGGCUUAAUAGAUUCGUCUCGCGAUUUAGCCUAGGGGUUCUGCAAUUAGUUUUGUAAUUAGCUCAUGUUUAGUCCUCCUAAUUAGCAUCCGAACAUCCGAUGUGACACAGACUAAACUUUAGCUCCAGGAUCCAAACACCCCCUUAGCAUCUUUCCUUUCGAUGAAAUAAAAAAAUUGUUAAUCUCAACUGCUCCUCGAUUACCGCAUAGAUUAACACCUCUUUAGCCUUUGUGGCACGGCACCUAAGGCUCCGUUUUCUUCCAUUGACUUAUUUUUAGCACCCGUCACAUCAAAUAUUUAGAUACUAAUUAGGAGUAUUAAACGUAGACUAUUUACAAAACCCAUUACAUAAGACGAAUCUAAACGGCGAGACGAAUCUAUUAAGCCUAAUUAGUCCAUGAUUUGACAAUGUGUUGCUACAGUACCAUAGUGUCGUAUCGAUGGCAUUAAUGAGCCUUAAUUAGGCUUAAUAGAUUCGUCUCGCCGUUUAGAUUCCACUUAUGUAAUUGGUUUUGUAAAUAGUCUACGUUUACUACUCCUAAUUAGUAUCUAAACAUUCGAUGUGACACGUGCUAAAAAUAAGACACGGGAAGAAAACGCCCCCUAAUACUUUCCUCACCUUUGCAGUGCCGUGGGCCCGCCACUUCCCUUCUGGCCCACAAGUCAUGGAGGCGCGCGAGGAGGGGUAUCGGUUUCACGAUGAUUAAUAAAGAAAGACACCGGCACACCGCACCGCAUGCACCUCCACCACUUGCGUUGCCUUUGCCUUUGCUUUUCCCCGAGCUCGCCCGCCUAGGAGCUCCAGCAGCCGGUCCGCUCCGCCACCGGUGCGGCAACCACGCCGCCGUCAGAUCGCCUCGCGCGGCCACCGGUCGUCCCCGCGAUACACCGCCGCCGGUGCGCCGUGCGCGGCGGCGCUGUCCCGCCGCUCCUCCGCCUACCGUCGGCCUGCGCCACCACCAGCGCACCGGCAGCACCGCGAGCUGCCGCGACGCCCCGACGUUGGUCCUUCCUGAGCCCGGUGUCGUCACCAGCGUAGCGGAGAAGCUAAUUACCUGAAGCAAUUUGUAGAAACGAAUAGUACUGGUUCGUUCACUUAUUUCUUUGCUCAAACUUAAUUUCUGCUUAGAGUUUGUGCCUAAAUUAGCUGCUUAUUCUGCUGGUUGCACGCAGGAGAUCGAGCUACGGGCGUACGGCCGGAUCGGAGGAGGACAUAUCAGCCGGGUUCCUGUUGGUUGUGUACUUGUGUUCCUGCCGACGGAGAAGCAACCAUGGCCGAGUUACUGAUCGGGCCACUGAUCUCCAUGGUGAAGGAGAAGGCAUCCAGCUACCUGCUGGACCAAUACAAGGUGAUGGAAGGCAUGGAGGAGCAGCGCAAGACCCUGGAGCGCAAGCUGCCAGCAAUCCUGCACAUCAUCCAGGAUGCGGAGGAGAAAGGAGCCUCCCGACCUGAAGUUGCAGUUUGGCUUAAAGACCUCAAGACAGCGGCCUAUGAGGCCAACGACGUCUUUGAUGAGUUCAAGUACGAGGCGCUUCGGCGAGAAGCCAAGAAGAAGGGCCACCACAGCAAGCUUGGAAAUGAGGUAGCAAGACUCCUAGUCCCCGCUCGUAAUCCCAUUGUAUUCCGUUACAGGAUGGGCAAGAAGCUACGCAGGAUUGUGCAGACCAUCGAGGCCUUGGUCACCGAGAUGAAUACAUUUGGUUUCAGGCACUUGCAGCAAGCACAGCCAUCAAGGCAGUGGCGACAGACAGAUUCCAUAAUCAUUGACUCCGACAGAGAUAUUCUUAGCAGAUCUAGAGAUCGGGAGAAGAAGAAAAUCGUGGGGAUGCUCCUUGAUCAAGCUAGCAACAGGGAUCUCAUGGUUCUUCCAAUUGUUGGGAUGGGUGGGAUGGGCAAGACCACCUUUGUGCAACUCAUUUACAAUGACCCUGCAAUCGAGAAGCACUUUGAGUUUCGGAGGUGGUACUGCGUGUCAGAUGAUUUCGAUGUCAGUACCAUUGCAAGCAACAUCUGCCAGACCAAUGAGAAAUAUCGUGAAAAAUCAUUGCAGGAGCUCCAUAGUACAAUAAGUGGAAAAAGGUACCUCAUUGUGUUAGAUGAUGUAUGGAAUCGGGAUGCUGAUAAGUGGGGAAAACUAAAGACCUGCCUUAAGCAGGGUGGCAAGGGCAGUGCAGUACUAACAACAACUCGUGAUGCAGAAGUGGCUCGCAUUAUGACCAUGGGUGUAGCUAAAGCCCAUAAUAUCGAGAAUCUGAGCGAUGAGCAUUUAAAGGAAAUUGUCCAGAGCAGAGCAUUCAGCUUGCAAAAUCCAAAUAUGGAAGAGCAAGAUGGCAUUCUCAGUGGAUUUGUUCGUCGAUGCGUUGGAUCUCCCUUGGCUGCCAAAGCCUUUGGCUCUAUGUUGAGUAACAGGACUAGUAUAAAUGAAUGGAAGGAUAUAUUAGCUAAAAGUAACAUUUGUAGUGAGAAAACCGGAAUUUUACCGAUCCUCAAGCUCAGUUUUGAUGACCUAUCCUCAGAUAUGAAGCAGUGCUUUGCAUUUUGUGCUUUAUUUCCUAAAGAUUAUGAGAUCGAUGUGGACCUCUUGAUUCGACUGUGGAUGGCACAUGAUUUCAUACCUGUGCAGGAGGAUGACAAUCUAGAAACCGUAGGAAAAUAUAUUUUUGAGGAGCUAACUCGAAGGUCAUUCUUUCAAGAUGUCAAGCAAACACUUCCAAUAAUUGUCAAGCAAACACUUCCACUUCCAUAUCGCUCUGUUGGAAUUCUUCGUAAGUCAACCAUAUGCAAGAUACAUGAUCUCAUGCAUGACAUUGCUCUAUCUGUUCUGGGGAAAGAAUGUGUCACUAUAGUUGGUAAGCCGAGCAUCAACAAGCUGUUGCUAAAUCCGACCCGCCACGUCUUCUUAUCAAUAUAUACUACUUUCUGGAAAGAACAGGUUACAAGUCUACUGGAUCAUCUAUUGAAGAAACAAACUGCAAUGCUCCAUACGUUGUUUAUCAAAGAUUAUGGUCAACCCCUUGAUAUAUCAAAGUACACUUCACUGCGAGCAUUACACCUUCCAGCAUAUGAGUAUCUAAGUUUUGGACAGGAACAGCUUACAAGACACAUACAACACCUAAGGUAUCUUAAUCUGUCGUCACAUGAGUUCGAGAAACUUCCUGAAGGUAUAAGCAUGAUGUAUAAUCUACAAUCGUUGGACCUCUCUCAUUGCAUAAAGCUUCGUCAACUUCCAAAGGAUAUGAAAUAUAUGGCAAACCUCCGACACCUCUAUACCCAUGGAUGCAAAUCAUUGACGUGCAUGCCUCCAGGACUUGGACAGAUCACUUCUCUGCAGACUCUAACAUAUUUUGUUAUUGGUGAUUGCUUGGGAUGUAGUACUAUCGGAGAACUUCGAAACUUAAACCUUGGUGGAGAGUUAGAGUUAAGUGGUCUGCAAAAUGUAACAGAAGUGCUUGCAAAAGCAGCCAAUCUUGAAAAUAAAGAGAAACUCACACACUUAUCUCUCAAGUGGAAUGAUGAUGCCCCUGAGAAAACAGAUUCUCAUAAUGAGGUGUUAGAUGCCCUUAAACCUCAUCACCGGCUAGAGAUGCUAAGAAUAAAGUCCUACAAAGGCACCAAUUUACCGUCA
rnacentral:lncRNA from 1 species